rnacentral:lncRNA from 1 species
CUGCGAUAGGUAAUUUUAAUAAUUAUAUUCUUUUGUUUAAUUUAAUAAUUGUAAAGCAUUAGUAUUUAUGUGAUACUAAAAAUUAUCAAGUGCAGGUUGAAAUCUUUCACCAUUAUUUUAUAGUCAUGUUUUCUAACUUCUUGAUAAAUAAAACUAAAUAUUAUUUUCGAGUUAAUUUAUAAUUGAACCUUUCUGAUUUUCUUUAUAAAUUUGUUUUGCAGGAUUCAGAAUAUGUAAGGCGCAAGAAGAUUAUGGAUAUGACAAUAAAUGCACCAUCAAAUUUUCUAAAAUAAUGAGAUAAAAUUUAGUUUUUUCUUAAUUAUUCAUGAGCAUAUUUUCUAUUAUUAAGAGAGAAGACGUAGAAAUGAAUUCAAUCGUUUUUAUUAAUUAUUCAUGAGAUUUUUUUGUUAUUUGAAUAAAAUGUCAAUUCAAUCAUAAUUUUUAACUUAUAUAAUACCAAACUAGAUAUAAAUUAUUAAUUUAUAAUGUUAAUUGGACAAUAUUCUUACAUGAAUUUUCUAAAAAGUUAUUAUCUUUUUAUUUUAUCGAUUUGUGUCAUAUUUUAAACCGGCUCAAUUUAGAACUGAGAAAAAUUAUUACUUUAUAAUGGUUAUUAAUUUAUCGAAUAUUAAUUUAUAGGAUUUCUACUGUAUAUGUAUUUUUGCUGAGAUACAUAUAAAGUUAUUGCAAAAUUUUGAUAGAAUUACAAAAAAAAUCUACAGAAAUUACUUUUGUCACCCUGAAAGGAAGAAACAAGUGAGAUUACCAUUGAACGAUUUGACAAAGUCCUAAUUUCGAUCCAAAUGUACCAAAACCACAGGCUCUAAAUUCGCAAUCAAAUACGGAAUUUUCUUUGUAAGAAUAAUUGCGUAUAUAUCAACGAAUUACAAAAAAAUGUAAAGGAGAAACUGAUCAAACUCCUUUACAAAACCAUCAACAUUCUACAAAGCAAAGAAUAUGUACAGAUCUGCGAGUUGGAACCGUGCCACGGAAGACUACUCGUCCGCACCGCCCAAAGGAUUGUGGAUGGGCUCCAUGAUCGGUCCUCUUGACGAAGACGAGCCACCUUCCUACAAUAAUCCACCAGCGGAUGAGAUGGUUAAGAAAGAGAAGUCACCUGCCAAGUUCGCAGAAAAGGCUAUUCACAUCAUUCCUUUUGUUCUUCUUGCAUGUGCUCUCGUCCUUUGGCUCUUCUCAAAUCCAGGUAUAUAUAAUAUAUAUACACACAGAAAGGUUAGUGAACCAAAAACUCUACGUAUAGUAACAUAAUGGUUCAAUUUGAGGUGAACUUGCGGUCCUAGACUUUUUAUUGUCUUUUAAAAAAACACUAUACAACCAUGACCUUGUGUUUCCGAAAAAAAAAAAAAACAACCAUGACCUGCCUUGAGACUCAUGAUCGGCUUGAAACGAUUUAUCAAACAUAUAUUUUUCUUAGAAUACCCUUUUUCUUAAUCAUUUGGGACCGAGUGAUAUAUACAUAUUAAUUACUUUGGAGACCAAUGUUUUAUCUCGCUAUGGCAAAGACCGGCUCUGUAUGCAACCUCACUCAUUUGCAAUUAGCUAGUGUACAUGAAGUAUGAGUAAGUAAGAUCGUUGUAUGAGUAAUUUAUAACAGAACACAAUUUUGUAGAUGUGGUGGAUGUUGGGAUGAGAGAGGAAUCUAUUGCGGCUAGGAUUGAAGGACUGACAAUAGAAGGAGACAUCGACAAUGAUAGUGAUGGAACUCAGACUGGUUUCUUAGGCGCAACCUUAGAGCUCAGUGGUGAUUCAGACAAAACACAUUAUGCUGAUCGGAACAGACGAGCUUCAAGGAAACUGAUUAAAGGCUUCUACUAGUUAAUAAUAAAUCAACCACCAAUCCAUUUUUAUGCAUUUUGGAUCAUCAUUUCAAUCUAUAAGCUUUUCCAAAGUUUUUUUGGUUAAUAAAUGAGCAGCUUAAUUUAAAUCCAAGUGUAUUUAUCUGAUAUCAAAAACAAAAAAAAUCUACAUGAAUCCGAUUGACAAAACUUCUAAAUAUAGAGAUAUAUAUAUUCAUAUAAAACUGAUAAAAAAAUUGUAAUAUCACUUCACAUGAAUAAUGCAUGGAGGAGGAUCAAAAUUGUUAUUAGCCUCACUUCACAUGAAUGGUGCCAUGGGCAGUCAAGUCGGUUGAUCCGGUAGUUUGUGGAGGAGGAGGAGGCAAACCGAUAGCAAGUUCCAAACCGUCUUUCUUUGUCAUAUCAGAGACUUCAUUUAAAUGAGGUUGAGGCAUACUAAUCGGUACAUGCCUUGGUACAGGUAUACCGGAAGGGUGAACAUACCUAAUCGGUUCAGGGUUGGCGUAGUACAUUGGAUGGAACAUAAAAGGUGAAAAGUUGUAGUAAGGUGGUGCGUUUUGGUAGAUUGGCAUGUACCCCAUUGAUAGAUUCUGAAACCGGUUUGAUAUCUCAGUUUGAGUUUGAACUUGUACCGGUUCUUGAGAUCCGGUUAUUAGUUGUUUAGAUGAAGUCUUUGAUGAUGAUGCAUCUGGAAAAUUCUUCUCUUUCUCCUUCUACAAGUUAAUCAAAAAAUAAGACCCUAAAUAUCAAAAAGUUUGAGUAAUGGAUUAUUACUAAUUAAGCAAGGCAAAAACCUGAUCUUCUAUAGAGAUGUCAAAGAGACUAGCACGUCUUUUUCUCUUGUCGUUACCAUUUAACCUAAGAAAAUAUUUUUGAGCAUGACUCGCCACUUGUGUCGGUGUUCUUGUCGUCACGAAGCUCUUUGAGAUCCCUCUCCAAUCACCUUUCCCAAUCCUCUUCAAGCCGACCAAGAACAUACGAUGUUCUUCUUCCGUCCAUGGAUUCCCUAUAAAGUUUGAUUACAAGAACCGUAUAGACCAGUGAAACAUUGACAUUUGCUCCAAAAUAUUUAGAAUUAAUGUAUAUUAUUAUAGGUUCUCAAUUUUUUUUAAUUAAAAUUCUUAAAAGAUUGUUUAGUGAAUCAAGAAAAAGAAUAAAGAUUAGGUCAAGAGAAGCUUACCCUUUUUCUUCUCAUGAGAGGACCUCCUCUUCUUUGAAUGAAUCUGGCCAUCAGAAUAAUAACCCGUAUCUUCAACGGCGGCGGUUAGGUCACCAUUACCGUUAUCAAGAAGAGAAUCAAGAUUCCCUAAACUGAGACUCUUCCUUAACGCCGUUACCUCAGGCGACUUAAUAGGAUCAGAUGAUAUGUCAACGCCGAACAGUUUCACGCUUCCUUUGUUAACGCUGUUAAGACAACAAGUAGGUGCAUUAUGACCAUUGUUGCCACAGUGUGAACACGUCUUCGCCGUAGUCGCCAUCUUUCUCCGAUGAUCUCUCUCUACGUACGAUUUAUAACGAGUUGCAUUUAUACCUUUAAUCUCUGCGUGUAAUUUAUAGAUAUUUUAUAUAUAUACGAUAUUUAUAUCCGAAUAUAUGCGUUAGCUGGUUUUGUGAAUAUCUUUGGUGUGUUUACCUUAAGAGAUAAAGCGUUUCCUUAUUUAUCUUCUUUUAUUUAGAAAAUAUCCAGCAGUAUCAGCAUAAGAUCAUAACCUACGGUGUAGAUUUUUUACGUUAUGCAUUAGUGUAGAUUUCAGCCGUUAGAUGUUUUUUCCAGCUAACAUUGUGGUGAAUAUUAAUUCCGGGUAUAUUUGAGAGAGUAAAUCGUAUAUUCGAUUUUUCUUAAUUGAGUUUCCUAAGACAUCCAGACUUUUAUCAAUAUUUCCCAAUCUUAGUGCAGUUGAAAUUUACUUUUAUCUUUGUCUUAAGAUAUAUAGUAAAUUGUACAUGUUAGAAAAAUUAUGUUGAAGUCUUUUAACGCGAUAUGCCAUGUAUAUUAAUCGAGAAAUAUUACAAUUUCUUUUUGUAACCACGUGUCAUCAUUAUAAUGAUUCUUAGAAUCACUAGGAAAUAUGUUGAUUUAUCUAAUUAUAUAAUAAUUUUUUAUUAAACUAACAAUAAAUUCCAUAUUAAUUUUCUUUAUUAUUUCUUUAAAUAAAAGUUACGGAAUUGACUAAUAUGGCUAAAAUAUAUAUGACAACUAAUGAUUUUGAAUAAUAAGGAUUUGAUAAAAUUAGUAUAGCUUCUAUCAUAUUUAUUUAAUUUUAAAUUAUUAAAAUAAAUUAAACAAUCAUAUUAAUCAUAUAAUAAAAUUUAGAUUUUUGGGUAUGUUAUAUUUUGAAUUUUUAAAAACAAAUGUAACUUAUUAAAACUGUUAAAAGUCCCACAUUCAAAUUUUGUGAUCUAUGGUUUAAAAUUUUUGUUAUGACAAAAUACAAAUGAUUACAAAUUCAUAUAAGUAAAAAGUCUAAUUUAAUUAAAUAUUAAGAUUAAUAUAUAUAUAUAUAUAUAUAUAUAUAUCAUUUUAAAUUAAACUAUAUACAAUAUGAAAUGCAUAAAUAUUUUAAUUUUGAAAUUUACUUUGAACAAUUUUUUUGAUAAAAGUUUUGAACAAACAUUGACAACUUAGUUUAUUAAAAAUUAUAAAUUACUAAAACUAUUAAUCUCACAGUGUAAAUUUUGUUAUGAGUAAUUUAAAAAAAAAAUCUAUAAAAUAUACAAAUGAUCAAAAAAAAUAUGAUUAGAAAGCACCAUUUAGUAGAAGUUAAUAUUAAAAUAUACUAUGUAUGUUAAUAUCAUUUAAAUUUAAUUAUAUAUCCUAUCAAAUAUAAAAAAAUUAGGUGUUUUGCCUGCACAAGCGGGCAUAAUCAUUUUACUAAUAGUUAUUAAUAUAUGUAUUAUGAUUUAAACAUGAGGAUAACUUAUUAUUAAUCAUUUUAGUUUUCUUCGAUUUUUAUUUCGGUCUAGGUCUCUCUAACACAAAAAAAACUAUAAAAGUAUGAGACUAUAAGAGCAUAAUUACGUAUCAAAUAUUCUACACAAUAAUGUAAAUUCAGAAUUUGAAUUUUUGGUCUCUCUUAAUCUACUUUGUAUUUUUGAAUCAGAAACAUGUAUUAAAUUACCAAAAAAAAACUAAAACACACAAAAUCCAAGCGAGAACAAAAUAAAUAAAAAGUUAAUAAAAAUUAAAGUUAGACGAUAAUUUAGAAGAAAACUUUUUUAAAAAACCGAAUUGAGAAAAUGACAAUAUUUCAUUGGUUUACUUGAUCAAUAUAUACAUUGACUUAUCUUAAUAUUUCAUAAGUUUACUUUUAAUAAAAGAAAAAUAGAUAAUGAUAGUUUUAUUAUUAAAGUUAAAUUAUGGUUAAUUAUAUAAUGAUAAAUCUAAUUAUUAAUAAAACAUAUAUCAAUUUUAGCCGUUUCAUAACAUGAUUACAUAUGCAACUCUCUAAACUUAAUAUCAAAGCAUAUUUUUCUUUUAGAUUAAAUAAUAAUUAAACAUACACAUGAAAUAACUACAGAAGUUACUCAAAAUACUUAAUUCAUAAUUCCAAACUCCAUGUAACAAAAUCGACUUGCUCCUAGUUUGAUCAAACUCAAAGAAAGAAAAAAAAAUAUAGAAUUCCAACUAAAAAAACAAAUAUCAAAAGUACAUAAAUAUAUGUGUCAAAAACUAUAAUCGAGACAAUUUAGAAUGAAUGAGAAAAAUGAAACUAUAAAAUUUUAAAACAUCUUACAUCAUAUGAAAAUAAGAAUUGGUCCUAACUUGUGUAAAAUAAUUAUAAUUGUAAUUCCAGUUUGAAAAUUUGAAAUAAUUUAAUAUUAUUUAAAUUAAUGAUUUAUGUUAAAAACUAAUAAGAAUCUCGUGAAAGUUAAAAUAAUUAUAAUCAUAUUUCAAUUAGAAAUUUCGAAAUAUUUAUAUUAUUCAAAUUAAUGAAUUAAUUAGAAAAUUUGAAAUAUUUAUAUUAUCUAAAUUAAGAAACUGAUUAUUUAAUCUAAAAACUAAUAAAAAUAUGACAAAUAAGCAAAAUUAGCUAAAAUCAUGGAGAAUGUGACAAAUCAGCAAAAUCACUUCAUAAAUAAUAAUAAAAGAAAAACAGAUAAUGAUAGUUUUAUUAUUAAAUUUAAAUUAUGGUUAAUUAUAUAAUGAUAAAUCUAAUUAUUAAUUAAAAAUAUAUCUAUUUUAGCCGUUUCAUAACAUGAUUACAUAUGCAACUCUCUAAACUUAAUACCAAAGCAUAUUUUUCUUAUAGAUUAAACAAUAAUUAAACAUACACGAAAAAUAACUACAGAAGUAAUUCAUAAUUCCAAACUCCAUGUAACAAAACCGACUUGCUCCUAGUCUUUCAAACUCAAAGAAAGAAAAAAAAUAUAGAAUUCCAACUUAAAAACAUAUAUCAAAAGUACAUAUAUAUAUAUAUAUAUAUAUAUAUAUAUAUAUAUAUAUAUAUAUAUAUAUAUAUAUAUAUAUAUAUAUAUAUAUAUAUAUAUAUAUGUCAAAAACUAUAAUCGAGACAAUUUAGAAUGAAUGAGAAAAAUGAAACUAUAGAAUUUUAAAACAUCUUACAUCAUAUGAAAAUAGGAAUUGGUCAUAACUUGUGUAAAAUAAUUAUAAUUGUAAUUCCAGUUUGAAAAUUUGAAAUAGUUUUAUAUUAUUUAAAUUAAUGAUUUAUGCUAAAAACUAAUAAGAAUCUCGUGAAAGUUAAAAUAAUUAUAAUCAUAUGCCAAUUAGAAAUUUCGAAAUAUUUAUAUUAUUCAAAUUAAUGAAUUAACUAGAAAGUUUGAAAUAUUUAUAUUAUCUAAAUUAAGAAACUUAUUAUUUAAUCUAAAAACUAAUAAGAAUAUGACAAAUAAGCAAAAUUAGCUAAAAUCAUGGAGAAUGUGACAAAUCAGUAAAAUCACUUCAUAAAUAAUAGUAAAGAUUUGUUUGGAUUUAUAAAAUUGAUUUAUAUAACCACCAGACGUAUUCGGGCCCACAAUUGAUCUCUUAAAAGCCUUCUGUGGGAAAGUACGGUGUCCACCAAAGAUAAAACAUUUUUUAUGGCAAUUGGUAUCAGUGUGUAUUGCAGUCAAGAAAAAUUUACAAGCGAGAGGAAUACAAGGAAAUAUAUGUUGUGCAAGAUGUGGGGCUCCAGAGGAAUCGAUAAACCAUGUGUUUUUCGAAUGCCCUCCAGCGAUUCAGGUUUGGGCGCUAUCCAAGAUACCGUCGAACCCGGCCAUCUUCCCGGCCAACUCCCUCUUUACAAAUAUGGAUCAUCUUUUCUGGUGCGUUCUCCCGCAGAUAGAGGAUCACCAGUUCGCAUGGAUAUUGUGGUAUAUAUGGAAAGAGAGAAAUAAUAAAGUUUUCAGUAACUUUGAUAUGGAUCCACGAGACACCCUUAAAUUGGCAGAAACUGAAUCAACCUUGUGGGGCGAGGCACAACUGUUGAAUAUACAGAGGGUAACACCAACUACACAGGUCGCAAUAGUGCCGUCCAUUCCAGGACGAUGGUGCUUUACAGAUGGCUCAUGGAAGGAACAUGAUUGUCUAUCCGGACAAGGUUGGUAUAGUACUUUGGAAGGCUUUGAUGGACUGAUGGGCGCACGAAACGUCUAUGCUUGUCUUUCCUCUCUUUAUGCAGAGGUGGAAGCUUUAGUUUGGGCAAUGGAGUGCAUGCGAAAUUUACGUCAAACAUUUGUCACAUUUGCAACGGAUUGUUUUCAAUUGGUGAAGAUAGUUUCGGAACCAAAAGAAUGACCAGCUUUUGCAAGUUAUUUGGAAGACAUCAAGAUCAUCAGGGAAAGUUUUAUAAGCUCAGAGAUCAUUCAUAUAUCAAGGACGCAAAAUAUUAAGGCGGACAGCCUCGCAUGCAGUGAUAGGAGACAACCGUUUUUUAUUGUUCACAUGGAUACGGAGCACCCGACAUGGUUUACAGAGUCUGUUUAAGUUGACGACAAAAAAAAAGUUACUGAAUUUUAAUUAUUCAAUAUAUAUUUAUUAUUUCAUAAUAUAUAAAAAAUAUAAUACAUAAAAUAAUUUGUAUAUAUAAUGCUCAUCACGCGCAAUCUUAAUUUAGUUUAAUUAUUAUUUCUCUAUCGAUAGGAUAUUUUAUUUUUGACCGAAAGUUUCACAAUGACAUGUCGAAUAGGAAUUUUCACAUCCGUGAUUUCUUAAAUCUCAAUUCGUUGUAAAACUAUUUUAUUUACAAUGAAUUGUUCUUCUUUUGUGGGUGAAAAUUACCACAAAAGGUUUUUUCAAAAAAAUAUUAACCACAAAAGGGUUCUCUAUAACUGUCAAGGUUAUUUUGGUUUUGGUUUUCUUUUUUUUGAGGUUGCAUUAUGUCGUGGUAGUGAUGAUUUAGCUUUGUUUGUCUAUGUCGCGUUUAUAGUUUGGAUUUGGUUACUAAAAAAUUGAUACUAAAUGAGUAUUGAACAUCAAAACUACUACAAAAGUGGUGUAUGCAUGUUAACUUAGAAUUCCUAGCCACUAAUAUAUGUAUCCGUAUUGUUGAUACAAAUAUUAAAAGGCAAAGUAAUCACUAUGACGUAAAACAACUUGUUAAAUUAUAAAUACAUAUCAAUAAAUCAACUUCACUUAAAAUUAUGUCAAUAAUCCCUGUGUAUACACCAAAAACUUGAAACUCUGUAUAUUUAAAAAGUCUUGAAGAGAGUAAUCAUGAUAACUUGAUUAAUACUUUUAAAUGAUAGACAUGAUUAAAAUGACAUAAGUAGCCUCGUGUAGCGCUUUGAAACUAUUGUCCUUCCCCGUAACCGGUUCUCUUGUCCCCUUCUGACGACACACAUACAGUUUGAACAGAUUUAUUAAAAAAACGAAAUUGGUCCCGUGUGAGAUAGUUAAAAAAUGGGCUAUUAUACUAAGUACAGCAUUUCAAAACUUUAUUUGUCGAUUUUUGACAGAUUAGGUGAUGAUUUUAAUUUGCCUAACUUAUAAACCGUUGAAAUUUAAAGGUGAUCACGCCCUGUCAAAACUUUUUACACUAAAUCAUAAACGAUAAAUAUAGUUUACAAAAUACUUUCAAACUAGGACUAAAAUAGUUAACACUAAACUCAAAAUCCCAACCUCAUUUAACCCAAAAAAAAUAGGUUUGAAGUUGGAUAGGAUUUAAAACAAUGAACCAAAUAUUCUUUCUAGUUUUACCCCUAAUGAAUAAAAACAUUAAUACUAAACCCGUAAUAAAUAAUGGAACACCGUUAGGCAUAGGACGGAUCUGGAUAUCCUGGAAAUUGACUGUAUCCAGAUCCGUGGAUUUAAUAUCCGAAUCCGGAUUUGUGGUUUCCGGAUAUCCGAAUUUCGGAUAUUGGUCUCGAUAUUCUAUAAUCUGCGAAUAUCUGGAUCUGGAUCUGUAAAAAUAAUUAAAAAUAAUAAUUUUUUUAAAAAAUAUUAUUUUUUUAAUAUAAUACAUAAAUUAAAUAUUUAUACAGAUCUGGAUCUGUAAAAAUAAUUAAAAAUAAUAAUUUUUUUAAAAAAUAUUAUUUUUUUAAUAUAAUACAUAAAUUAAAUAUUUAUACAAGAUUUAUAUAUAUAUAUAUAUAUAUACAUAUAUAUGUCUUUAAUAUUGUAAAAACUAAAAUAUAAUAUUAUAAGAUUAAUUUUUAUAUAAUAAUAUAUCAAAUAUAAAUAUUAAUGAAAUUUAAAAAUGUAAUGAGUUUUAAAAAUUCGGAUCCGGAUUCGGAUAUCCGGACCUAAAAACUAAGAUAUCUAGAUCCGAAUUCGGUUUGAACGGAUCUAAAAUUUUACUAUCCGGAUUCAGAUCCGGACAUUUCAGAUAUCCUAUUUUCGGGGUGGAUCCGGAGCAGAUCUCGGAUCGAAUCCGGAUCUCGGAUAAUAAGUCUGAGGCCUAAACACCGUAACUCUUACACCAUGAUGAAAAUCCAUGCACUAAAUAUUAGAGGUAAAAUACAGAAAUUAUAAAAUAUAUCCCUACAACUUCUGAACCAUAGAGAUUAAAGUUUAUCACGCCUUCACCUAAUUAACCCUAAACUAAAUAUAGAUUGGUAAAAUUGUCAAACCAAUAUAAAAAAUAUAGAAAACUAAACCCUAAACCAGUACAUCACUUAACCCAAAUGGCAUAGGUUUUUUGUUUGUUUAUCAUUUAAACAAAUAAGCAAAAUACUAACUACAGCAACACAAAUUGAAAACCGUAUUGGUCGAUUUUGACAGAUUAGUUGAGAAUUUUAAUUUUCCUAACUUAUAAACCAUAGAAAUUGAAAGUUAAUCACGCGCUUUCAAAUCUUUUAACAUUAAAUCAUAAAGGAUAAAUAUAGUUUGCAAAAUACUUUCAAGCAAGGAGUAAAAUAAUUAACUUAACACUAAACCCAAAAGCCCAACCUCAAUUAACCCGAAAAAGAAUAAGUUUAAAGUUUGUUAGGAUUUAAAAAAAAAAAGAAAUCAAAUAUUCUUUAUAGAUUUACCCGUAAUGAAUAAAUGAUUAAUUUAGGCGAAAGUUUGAAAAAAAAAUUAUAGUCGAAAAGAAAAGUAUAAAAACAACACAAAUAAAAAAUAUUAAACCCUAAACUCCUACCUUCUUAACCCAAAUCAUCUAGUAAACAAAGUCAUUAUUCUAAGGCACUAGUUAUUAAGGUAAUUUAAAGAUAUAAGGAUCGUUGCAUUUUAUAAUAAAAAACGGUGAAUAGCCUAAUAAAUUUUCAAUACCCAAACUGAUUCCACUGUAAUAAUUUGGGAAGUUUUAUAUUCCAUAUACCCUAAUCAAUGCGUUCGAGAACUAGUCACGUACCCGAAGUAACCGAAAAUCAACCCGGGGUCACAAUUGUAGAGAUUUCAACAUACUAUACACUAUUUAACAAAAUUUAAAAAUUACGUGCUAUGUCUGAAGAAAAUGUUACCCGCGAUUAUUAACCAUCAACUAAGAAAAAUUUGAAUGACCUAUGAACAUAAAAAUUUACCAAUUUUCCAACCAACCGGCUAAAUCUAUAUAUACUAAAAUGAACCAGACAUCGUAAAAGUAUAAUGGAUUGCUAUUUCCAGUCCCUGAUUUCAGUAUACCAAUACACAACGAGCUUUAUUUAUAUUGAAGUCACAUACCCGUUGUAAACCAAAACGCAAACCGGGUCACUCUUGUGGAAGAAGACUUUUGUAAACCGUAAGAAAGAUAAUGAUCUGAUCAAAUAAUUUAAAACUAAAUAAAAAUGCAGAAGUUAUGUGUUGUCAUGUUAAAGAAGGACGUCAUCAUAGUCACUACAAAUUCCCUUUGUUGUUAUGCGACCGGUUGCAUAGGGGCAAUGUCGGCAUUAUAGCAAAUACACAGUAUGAUAGCCAUUUACCUAAUAAAAUAAUUUUUCAUAGCUAGUCACCGCAAAUUCCCUAUUUAAAAAGUCUUGAAGAGAGUAAUCAUGAUAACUUGAUUAAAUCUUUUAAAUGAUAAGAAGUCCAUGUCGCGCAAUAAGACAAAAGAAGGAAAAAGAGAAGAAAAAAAAAAGACAAGAUCUAAAGAUAAAGAAGACAACAAGUCAGAAGUCCACUACCAAAACAACCGAAGGUAGUAUGAUAGUUCUGGGACCGAUCCACGAAACUCCCUCAAACCCUUCCUUUCUAUAAGCUUUCUUCACUAUAUAAUUACCAUAUACUCAUCCUCACUCUACUUCACAUUUACAAACAUAUACAAAGAUCAAUAGGGUUAACUAGGAGUGAAGAUAGAUGGCAACUAAGCAAGAAGCUUUAGCCAUCGAGUUCAUAAGCCAACACCUUCUCACAGAUUUUGCAAGCCAAGAUCACCACCUUCACUCAGAAACAACCCCAAGAACCAUAGGAAACCAUAACCCUAAACCAAACUCUACUCUUAACCGUCGUAAACCUCCCUUACCGAACCUAUCCGUUCCGGUCUCUAGUACGAUGAAGAAGCCAGAGGAGGAGGAGGAGGAGGAGGAGGAGGAGAAAAGACACUACCGAGGAGUGAGGAGGAGGCCAUGGGGAAAGUAUGCAGCGGAGAUUAGGGAUCCUAACAAAAAGGGUUCUAGGCUUUGGCUUGGGACUUACGACACCGCCGUAGAAGCUGCAAGAGCUUACGACCUAGCGGCGUUUGAGUUGCGUGGGAGAAAAGCAAUCUUGAAUUUCCCUCUAGAUGUGAGGGCUACGUCAGAAAGUUGUUUCGUCGGAUUAGGGAAACGAAAGCGGCUUAAGAGCUUCGUGGCGGAGGAAGAGACGGUGCCGGUUAGGGUUAAAGCUGAGGAAAAGGAGAGUGAUACCACGGUGGCUGAGGUUGAAGCGGUUCCUUUGACGCCGUCAAGCUGGAAAGGGGUUUGGGACUUGGGAGCAGGAGACGGGAUAUUCAGUGUUCCUCCGUUAACUCCGACGUCUCCCAGCUCCGCUACUUGAAACUUCUGAAUUGUCAACGGUUGGUGACGCUUUCACCUGCUUCACUCUCAUAAUUUCUUUAUUCUUUAUAGUAUACUAAUACAAGCGGUAGUGUACAAACAUCAGAUUAGUGUUUUACUACCAAUCAUUUUAUUCGUUAAUUUUUUUUUUAUAGGGGAAGUGUGGAUGUUGAAAAUCUAAAAUGAUAUUUUGUAUUUGUUGAUAUUCUUGUGAAUUCGUUGAUUGUAUAAAAAUUCUUGUUCAUUAUAGUUUUUCUUCAAGUCAUAUCUACCCUCACUGCCAACUAAUUAGUCAAUAGAGUAUACAAUUAGAACAGGACAAAGGUAAACCUAGCUAUUAAAAAAAUGCUAAUUAGUCAAUAGAGUAUACAAUAAGUAGUUAUUUACACAUAAAAAUAAACGUCAAAGUUAAGAUUUUCAAAUUUUCAAUAGUGGAACACACCAUCAAUGGAUAAUGCCGCCUAAGAUUAUCUAAAAAGCAUCCAUAAAAAGGAUGUGUAAUCAACAUUAUCUUACACAUCAUUAUAAAAUUAAGAUCAUUUAUUAAUCUAUUCAUAAAAUAUGAUUAAUCUUAGGGCUGGGCAAAUAAACCGAACCCAAAAAUCCAAACCGAACCCGAUCCGAUAAAAAUGAAUCUGAACUGAUCCGAACCCGACAUAAAUACCGAAUGGAUCUUGUUUUAUGGUAUUUCGGGUUAUGGAUAAUAUCCGAAGCGAACCCGAAAUUAAAUGGAUAUCCGAUAUAACCCGAAACAUUCAAAAUGCCAAAAAAGAACUUGUACCAAACAUGAUCUCAAUUCCUGAUACGUUGCCAAAAUACACUAAUAUAUUAUUAAACAUCUACAAUAACUAUCUACUACAUGAAGGUUGAUAGUUGAAAGUGGCGGUUGAGGCUUGAAAUUUUUAGAUUUUGGUUUUAUUUUCAUUGAAUAAUUUUUUUCAUUUCAUGAGAAAUUAAUUUUUCGUUUUAUGAUUUCAUUUAUUGGUUUUCUUUCUAUCAAUAAUAACGUUUACCUUUUGUUUGACUUUUAAUGAUCAUGUUUGAUGUUUUUUUCCUUAUUUUUGAAUCGAUUUUACUUAUGUUUUGGUUACAAAAUAAGUACAAAUCAAGUACUUUAAACCCGAAGAACCGAUUUUACUUAUGUUUUGGUUACAAAAUGGAUAUAAAUCAAGUACUUUAAAACCGAAGAACCGGUUGGAACCCAAAACCUGGAAGUACAUCGGGUUGUACUGGUUCUUUGAAGAUUUACUAACCCCGAUCCGAACCCGAUAAAACCCGAACCGGUCCCGAACCGAACUUUUAUAUAAUCCGAAUGGGGAUGAUUUUGAUAAACCCGAAAAACCGAUACCCGAUUGGACAAAACCGAAACCCGAUUAGGAUCCCGAAUGCCUAUGCCUAAUUAAUCUAAUACUAUUAAAAUAGAAGUCACAACUUCUUUUGAUGUGUGAUUUUUUUUUUUUAAAUGUACUAUCUACUAGAAAGUCAUAAAAUUUAGUUGCCCUAUCAUUUAAUUUCAUAUUAACAUCACAUAAGUCCCACAUUGCAUAAAUCGGCUAAUGUCUAUGAUUUAAAAACAUAGCAAAACCUUGCUAUAUAAUAUAAGUCGUGACUACUAUAAUAAAACAUUUCUAUCAAACACUAUAUGAUUUUAACUCGUGUUUCUUCUUUAGGUUUACUUUUUUUCCCUGACAUCCUUCGACAUGUUUACUACAUCAAGAAACCUCAAAGUUUCUCCUUAGAGUAUCUCCAAAAAAACUCUCUAUUAUAGAGUUUUGCAAACUCUAUAUUUGAAGUUUCAAGGUGUUUUUCUCCAAAAGCAAAACUUCAAAUUUAACUUCAAAAUUAUUUAUAAUUUAUACUAUGCUCCUUAUAUUUGUCAUAAUUAAUAUAAAUCCAUAAAACUUUUGUAGAUAACUAGCACAUAUAUAAAAUAUUAUAGUAAUAUUAAUUAAUAAAAUAUUACACUAAAAUAUAAAAUUAUAAAUAGAAAUACAUAAUUAAAUAUUAAACUACAAGAAAAAUACCACAUUACUACAUAAAAUUAUUUUAAAAUGUUCUAUUUUCGGUUAUACAAAAUUUGUUUGGAAAAUAUUUUAAAAGUUCUGAAGAAAAUUUACUAGACUAGUAGUGUUGAUGUAAUAUUUAAAUUUGUGUAAUAAUUAUGUCUUCAUGUAUAUAUCUUCUUUAAAAAAAUUAUUAAGUUUCUUUUGUAAUAUUCUUGUUGUCUAAUUCUACUUUUAAAAUAUUAUAAAUCUUAUUUUGAUUUUUAAAAAAGCUUCUAUAUGUAAAAUUUUAAUUUAUAGAAAUAAAUUUGAAAUAUUUAAAGUAUAAAAAAGUUUUAAAGAUUAAAAUUAUGGAUGAGAAAAUACUUAAAAAUCAUAAAUGUGAUGUAUAAUUAAUUAUAAGGACCAAGAUGCAAAUAAAAAGAUGAAACUUCAAAUUUAGAGUUUUAAGAAGUGAAAACUCUAAAUUUGAAGUUUUGAAGUUUCUUUUUGGAGAGCAAAAAACUCUAUAUUUGAAGUUAUAGUGUUUCUUUUAGAGAGCAAAAAAACUCUAUAUUAAGAUCAUUUAUUAAUCUAUUCAUAAAAUAUGAUUAAUCUAAUACUAUUAAAAUAGAAGUCACAACUUUUUUUGAUGUGUGAUUUUUUUUUUUUUAAAUGGACUACCUACUAGAAAGUCAUAAAAACAUAGUAAAACCUUGCUAUAUAAUAUAAGUCGUGACUACUAUAAUAAAACAUUUCUAUCAAACACUAUAUGAUUUUAACUCGUGUUUCUUCUUUAGGUUUACUUUUUUUCCCUGACAUCCUUCGACAUGUUUACUACAUCAAGAAACCUCAAAGUUUCUCCUUAGUCCACAGACAUUAAGUGGAUCACUGAAACUACUCUAAACAUAUAUAUAGUAUAGUGCUGUGGCCAUGAACAAAUUAACACUCAAACACGACUUGAAAUGUUGCUAAUCGGGUAUUCUUUUUUAACUAUCGUGAUCCUAUUUUUUUUUAAUUGAAGUCAAUACUGUUUUCUUUGAACAUAAUGUUACAUCUUUAUACACCUUUACCACAUUAUUCACUUGGAGAAGAUGAACAUGGUGGAGUAUUCCGUAGUAAAAUCCGAAAUAUUCCAUUAAUAAUAUGGAUAUAUUCUUCUAAUUAACCUUAAACCGAAAUUGGCUCGCAUUAAAAAAACAACUAAUUAUUGUACACAAGUUUCGGUAUUUAUAACCAUUUUUGGUUAACUAAUCAAUUAAUAUCAACGAAAAUAUUGCCAAAUAGUUAAAUAUAUCUUCAAAUUAAAUUAUUCCCCAAAUCGUGCUCAAAUAUCGUCAAUGUAUUGAUUUUAUAUAUUAAAACAAAAGUCACAACCUUGAUUCAUGUGUAAUUUUUUUUUUUUAAAUGGACCUAAUGGACAUAUUCCUACAAAGUCAUGUUACAUUUAAUCUCUAAUCUUAUCAUUUAAAUAUUGGGUCUACCAGAAAUUUUUAUUGGGCUAUCAGUAAUCUUAUAUAUUAAAACAGAAGUCACAACAUUGAUUCAUGUGUGAUUUUUUAAAAAAUGAACCUAAUUGACAUAUUCCUACAAAGUCAUGUUACAUUUAAUCUCUAAUCUUAUCAUUUAAAUUUUGGGCCUACCAGAAAUUUUUAUUGGGUUCUCAAUAAUUGGAUUUAAAGAAUAGAAGAUCCAUUGAAUUUAUAGAUAUUAUAAAUUAAAUAGAUAUAAUUUAAUGUUGUAAUACUAUACCCCAUAUGUUAAAUAUUUAAAUAUUUGUCGAUGUUAACUUUUAAAAUUAUAAAGUUUUUUUUUAAAAAAAUAACAAAAAUCAGAUUAUCUAACAAUGGUUAGUCUUUACUAUCUUAAACCAAUGAAAACAAAUUUUAAACUAUAUAGUUUAUUUUAAAAAUUAAACAAAAACUAAAUGUUUAAUUAUUUACUUGAUAAUAUAAAUCUAUGAAGCGAAAAGUUUAAUUUUUAAAAAACUUUCUAAAUUUGUGAAAUGUUACAAUAUCUUUGAAUAUGACAAUAAAACAAUAUUUUACUAAUCUUUAUAUAUAUAGUUACGAUUUUAAUAAUGAAAUAAUAAUCCGAAAAUAUAUAUAUAGAAGAAGAUACAAAUACAUGUAAAAGUUUAAAAUAAUCUAUUCAAUGAAAAAAAAUAUACCGUAAACUUAUUAUGUUUUUAAAAUUGAUAGACAUAUAUAUUAUAAUAUAUGCCAAUUUAGAACCGAAAACAAAAUAUUUAUAUAAAAAUCAAUGAAAACAAAAAUCUACGCGGUUGCGCGGGUCGAGUUCUAGUCUAUACUAUUAAAAGAGAAAGAAUCCUAAAAAAUCUACUUAAACAAGGUUGUUGGACCAAUUCAUUAAAUUUAAAUAUGUUUUAUUUUAUAAUGCUUUAGUUGAUCAAAAUAUUUACUUAAUUAAAUUAGAUUUUCAUUUUCAGAUUGAUAGAUUUUGAACGUACAAAAUAUAUGGUGUGCCCUUACCUAACUUGCAACAACUUUUUAAUGUUAUAGCUAAAUUAUAAAUAAGUUUGAAUCAAUUCUAAUUCAUCACCCACGUAUAAAUCAAAACGACCAUUGAACCAAUCCUAAUUCAUCUAAAUUUAUUUCUAUGAAAGUGGAUUAUCACUACUACUAUGAUUAGAACUUAAACGACCUUGACACAUAUAAGACUCAAUCCAUAAUCACAAACAAAUUAUUUUAUUCAGAAUAUAAAAUUAAAAGUAUAUUAGAAUUUUAACUAAUUAAAAAAAUAUAUAUAUAUAAUUAAUUUAUUUUAGGUUUUUACCAGGUCAACUAAUACCGAAUCGCGGUUAAUGGCGGUUUUCAGAAUUAGUAUGCUUUAAAUUAAUUAGUUUUCAUUAAAUUCACGUUUAUCUGUUUGACUGCGUUGUACAAAAACAUUAAUCUUAUCUAAUUUAAAAUAGAUGUGCUAAGUGCUAGUUAAAAAUGAAAUGAUCACAAAAUAUAUAAACUAAAAUUAAAUUAAAAAAUUACAAAUAUAAUUUCAUAACUAAUUAAAAUAAGAUAAUAGAACACAAUAUAUACAUAUAUAUAUUCAUGAGUUAGAAAAAAUACAUAUUAUAUACAUCGAAAGAUGAUAAAAGUUUAGUGUAAAUUAUAGUUAGUGAUACCAAAAUAUAUUAUAAAGGACUCGAGCUGUGUCUAUUUUUUCUCAAAAAAAAGAGCAAUGUCCUAAUGCUUUUAAAUAUCAUUGGUAUAAAAACCAAACUAGGUAUUUGAAGUUUUGUGGUUUAAGUUCGAAUUGGUUCCUUUUAGAUUCGGGUCAGUUCGAAUCCAUAAUUUUAAUAUCUAGGAAAUCCUUGUAAUAUUUGGGUACGUAACGCGUCCGGAUUGGUUUGAUUAUUUAGAAACCAAAGCAAGCCUUGAUAUACCUAAAACCCCUAUGAAAGAGUUAUAUAAAAGUGUACACAAAAUUUUAAAUAAACUAAUUCAUGAACAUUCAUCCAUUAAAGUACAUAGCUUCUAGAGUUUCGAUCUAGAAAAAAAGGCACAAUCUUUGCUGCAAAAAAAAGAUCUUAUCUCGUUGUUGUCGGCAAAUUAAAAAUAUUAGCCUUUAACUUAACAAAGCGAAUUUAACUGUUAAAACUCAUUUAAGUUAAAAAAUAUAACAAACUCAAUUAACUUCAGACCCAUUUUCAAUUCUUUUUUUUAAAGCCCAAAUUAUGAAGACAAUUUUAUACAUAAAUACAUAUAAAUAUAACAUUAUUUAAAUAGUAUAGAUUUUUAAUAAUAAAACAUUUGUCUCAAACUGAUUUUUUUAAAGAUUUAUAAUAUAGUUACUAUUAAUAAAAAAAAAAAAAUUGGUUCACUAUUUUGGUACAUUGAUAGUUAAUGUACUUACAAAUAAACUUAAUAACAGUUGUUAUUUAAUAAUUAACAUGUUGGUAUUAAUCUUCAGAUUUUACGUACGAAAAAAUAUUUCUUAUGCAAUUCAAAUAUAUAUUGAUAUAUCAAAAUUCUAAAACAAAAAUUAAAAUUAUAUUCUUCUCAGUGGGUUAAUAACGGUUUUUUUUUAUUUUAAGAUAUUUUUAGCAUAUUCGUUUUAUUAUAUACUACCCUCACUAUAUAUGAAUAACUGGAUCUGUCAGUUCGGCACAGACUCGGAUAUGAAAACUCAAUAAAAAUAUUGUACCGGACUGAAAUAAUAAUAAUAUAACAUAUUUUAAAUAUUAUAGAUAUCUAAUAAUAGACAUAAAUUCAUUUAAUAUUUGGUUUUACGGUCAAUAAAAAAAUACAAGUGCUUCUUAAACACGGAUCAAAAUCUAGUUAAUAUUAUUACUAGGUUAGGAGUGUAAUUGUCAAGCAACUGAGCAAGGUGGGGCUUGGUUUUGGUUUAUAUAUGUGGAGCCCUAGAUAAUUAAGUAGAAAAUCAAGUUGCUUCAAAUCAUAUCCUAGCAAGUAGCUGGCAAGGUAACCCUACAUGAAAAGCAACUUGACGAAUUUGUCUCUCCUCUAGUCCUCUUUCGGGUGAACGUUAUUAUACAUGAUGUAUCUUGAUAUGUUAGGAGGACAUUCACCCAUAAUAAGCUAAAACCCACCACCGUUUUAGCAAAUAACUUAGGAUUUGAACCAUAUGUGGCUCAAGAGAAUGAACUCUACAAGAAUCAAACUAGAUGCUAGUGAAGUUAGUCACCAUCAGAGACAAAAUCAAGUUGGCACAACUUGAAUGAGUACUGACAAAAGAUCUUAACUUGUCUCCAUAAAUGGUUAAUGGGUAUAUAGGAAUGGGGGUCCACUAGAGUAAACCAGAGAGACAGAGAAAGACUAAUGACACCUUACACCAAUGGCUGCCAAACACAAGUUGGAUGCAGGAAAAUAUGAUGCUCCGGUCAAUUCUUGCCAGAAGAGGAGAAAGAAGUGAUGCACCAGAGUCUCAAGCAUCGUCAUCAAACUACUGGGACUAGUGAUUCUUAAGUUUGAUUAGUAUAUGUAAAUAUCAUGUACAGAACCAAGCAAGUGUUUAAUUAUAUAAGAUCAUUAUUUUUUUUUUCUUUUUGACAAAUAAGGUUAUUAAUUUUACGUACAAAACUCAAUUUUUUCAAAUGUAUAAAAAUCAACAUUUAUCUACUCGUGUAGUCGCGUGUGUAUGUGCAGUGUUGAGGAAAAAAAACACAAUAAUGCAUGUUAAUUGGCGAGUUUAGCCUUGUAACGUUUAACCUUUUUCUAUUUAAUUAGAUGUGAUCUCCACUCCUUAAUAGCAGAAAGAAGAGACUGAUUAGGUAGAAGAGUUUGGUUGGGGAAGGGCGCAUCCGUCAUUGGAGAUUUAUGAUUCUUCUCGAGCCAUUCCAUAAUGGCUUUCUUCUCGUAUGUGUAUCCAUCCGAAGCAACACAUGGAUUAUCCAUCACAUCCUAAAAUUACCAUACUAAAAUGAUCAAAACCAAACACAAAAAAAAAACAAUAUAUAUGUAGUAAAGAUUCGAUCAUUAUCAUUACCUUAGUUAUUGGACAGUAGAAAUGGCCCGGAGCGUGGUGGUUAUGGUCAACUAGGGUUUCAGUAAACAUGUUUCUUGCGUUACAAGAAACGUCCUUUAACCGUUCAAGAACCGGUAGAAUCUCUUUCCCUAGAUCAGGACGGUCAAGCUUCCUCAUCUCCGCACAUCUAAGCCCUAUCAUAACCAUCUCUUUCGCUUCCUUAACCGGCCAAUCACCAGCAGUCUUAUCCAAGAUCUCUGAAAAUUUCCCGGUUUGAUCUCUCAACGCUUUCUCUAACGAAUGAGCCAACCCCAUGGCUGACCUAGCCGUGGCUAGCUGAAGAAGUAUGAUUCCAAACGCGUAGAUAUCGGACUCAGGAGUCACCACACCGGUUCUUUGGUACUCCGGAUCAAUGUAGAAGAACGUUCCUACCGGACCGGUUUGGUUAAAAACCGUUGAGGCAUGAGAAGGAUCGAGAUUAACCAUUUUGGAGAGGCCUACGUCUCCGAUUUUGCUCACGUUGUUCCGGUCUAGGAGUAUAUUUGCCGGUUUAAGAUCGCGGUGGACGAUUGGUCUUGGCUCGUUUGUGUGGAGAAAGUAGAGAGCUGAAGCUAUCUCCCAAGCGAUUCUUAACCGCUCAAACCACCUUAACGGCGGUUGCGGUGCGUCAGAGUUUGGUCUGCGUGUCAUGAGUCUUUCCUCGAGGCUUCCGUUGUGCAUAUACUCGUAGACUAAGCUGCCGUGGUCAGGACAUGCGCCUAGGAGGAGAAGCAAGUGUGGGUGACGAAUCUUGCUAAGAAUCUCAAGCUGAAGAAGUAUCAACCAAAAGAGCAAUCGUUUGAGAAAAUAGCAAUAUUCCAAAAAAAACAACAAUUUUCUUAAAUCAAUGCAAAUAGGUUUAAAUCUGCUAAACAAAUUCAAAUCGUUCUAUAUGGUUUAAAACAAUUUAAAUUAGUCUAAAUCAAAUAAAAUCAAAAUAAAUUAUGACUAAUUUAAUUACACUAUCUUCACAGUCAAUUUAUCUGUAAACAAGUGAUGAUUUUCUAAUCUCUCAAUUUUGUUUCUUUUUCUUUUUCUUAUAUUUAAAAUAUUUCAACAAAAUUGUUUUCUAAUUUAACAUUAUUUAUAAAAAUAUGCAAUAUAUAUAUAAAAAUAAACGAAUAAUUCGUUGAAAGCUAAAGCUUAGACUUGAUUUCGAAUAAUCUGCCUAAUAGUUAAUAAUCUAUAUUACAGCUUAACCAAGGAAAAUAGUAAUCUUGCUUGAAGGUUAUAAAAAGUAAAAGGAAAAUUGUUUUAUUUACCUCUUGGUGAAACUGUUUGGUUAAGUUACUUUUGUCUGAAUGAAGAACCUUGACAGCUACUGUCGUGUGAUGCAAGUUACACCGAUACACGCUUCCGUACCCGCCCAUUCCAAUUUUAAGCUCAUCAGAGAACGAGGAAGUAGCCUGAACGAUCUCAUCCCACUCAAAUUUCAUGUAUUGUUGGCGUUGAAGCGGUCCUCCUUCAAGUGCAUCCUCUAGCCUCUGCUUCUCCUUUCUAACCUCUUCGGCUCUUGCUUGCGCCUCAAGUUUGUCCUCAGUUUCUCUCUCAACGCAUCUUCUCACGAGCUCAGCUUCGUUUUCCGCCUGCUCUUGUCUCUCCCUCUCCAUCUCCACCACUUCGUCCGCGUCUUCUUCUCUUAUCGUUAAGUUCUUGAGCCUCGUAGCUUCCUCUGACCUACGCUGGUUCAGAUCUUGAACCUUUUUAGAAGCAUCCAUGACUUCUCCUUGAGCAACUGCAUACAUUCCUUUAAUAUGGCGGAGUUCAAUCUUCAGCUUCUCUAGCUCAAAGUCUUUAUUCACCUACAUGUUAACAAUGCCACAUUCAAAAACUAUAAAUAUACUUAAAUGAAUCAACUCCACUCCUUGUACCUGGCUACUAGAUGAAGUAGGGUCGCUGGAGCAACUUGAGCUUGAACCCUCAUCUGUAUAAGACCUUCUCCUGCCUUGUAUAUCACUUCCUCCAUACCCGAUUCCCGAGCUGUUUGUUCGGUAAAAGCCCUUCUGGUUAAGCAUCUUUGUAUCCACAUCUAGAGAGGCAGUUCUGUUAUGGUGUGUAUCAAUGUUGUUAUUUGUUCCAAUCUUUGUGCCAACCUUCUGGUUAACGGUUGAAAGAGCUUGCAUUCUUUGGAAGAGUAAAGGUGUAGAUGAGAAUUGAUGACUUGAUGUGGAACUUACUGACCCUAGAAUGUUUAUAAAAUAAAAUAAAAAAAUCAAACCGGUUUUCAAGAACUUCUUGUGUCCUAAAGAAGUAGUUAUUACCUGAAUGGCUACUUGAAGUGAACUGGUUUUCGCUUCUAUCAUCUGUAAUGCUUGUUUCAAUGUCUAUAUCGGAUUUACGAACAUUGAGAAGCUUUCCUUUAGAGAUAACGUGAACGGUGCAGAAUCUUGGUGUAACAUCUGAAAUCUUUGAAGACAAGUUGCUUCUCUUCAACUUCCUGCAAAAAACAAAAAAAACAAAAUAUAAUUUAAGGAAUUGAAAAAUUCCGAAAGAUUUAAAACUUGUUUUGGAUAUUUUAUACCAUGAGAAGAUAACAGAAGAGGAAGCUCCAAUGACUAGCUCACUGAUUCCAUGAUCUUGAACCGCUUUAUAGAUUGCAUCUGCUACAUCAUCUGAUUCAAGCACCAUUAUAUCCAUUUGUACCUAUCACAUUUUCACAAGAUACAAGUUCUUGAUAACAAAAAUAAGAAACAAGAAAUUAAAUCAAGUGGUCCAGAUUAAAAUACCUCUCUAUGAGCGAACAUGUCUCUGCUUGGAAGAAGCAUUUCUCUUGUUUUCCUGUCAACAUCUUUCUUGUAAACCGUUGUGGUUGAAUAUUUUCUUGCGGUUGAAACCGAAAUUGAAUCUCCUAUUUUUUUCACAAAAUAUGGAUCAAGUGUUUUUUUUAGUAAAAUGUUAAAUUUUAUAUUAAUUUUUAUAUUUUUUGAAAAAUUAUAAUGAGAAUUCAUGGCGGAAUGCAAAAAUGAAACUAAACAGCUAGAAACUAGGACGGCAAAUAACUGAACCCAACGUAGAACCGGACUUAGCCUAAUAACCAGCUAGACAACGAGACUGGCUCGGACCGAAGAAAACGGGUGAGCCUAAUAUCAGAUCAAGUUUUAACUUAAAAGGUUGUAACGUUUUGUAAUAUUCUUACUUGGCUGGACAUGUAAGAGUUUGAAGACGACAUGUUCUUGAGAAGCGAAUUGUUGAAGUGCCCAACGAACAACGCCUUUUGUUUUGCUGUUGUUUCCUUUGAUCGCCACCGCUACGAUUAAAGCUCCAUCUCCCAUUUCUUCAACUUCAGCGGCUAAGAUCUGAUGAUCCAAGAAACUACAGAAACCAAGAAACGGUUAGAGAUAAGUUCUGAAGAUAGCUGAUGGAUUUGACUUAUUUCAAGCUUUUUGUUUCCUUAAUCUGGUUGUUGAAAUGAUUUAAGAGCUUAGAGAGACAAAGAGAGGUGAAGAGAGAGAGUCAUGACUUGGUAUGUUUUUUACUUUUGGAACAACUUGGUAUGCUUUUUUGAUUAAUUAAUGUAGUUACAAAGACAUGUUCUGUGGACAAAACAAACAAGCUGAAUCCUUAAUGGAUAAAAUAAUUUAUAAAAUAAUAUUUAUUCAAAAAAGUAACAUAACAAGAUGGAAGACCUGAUUAACUAAUUCAACGGGUAAGAUUAUAAGCGUUUAAGGUUUGUUUUAUUAAAUUUUAAGAAAAUACCAGAAAGUCUUAACAAUGGUAUCAGAUAAGAUUUGAAGAUAUCUAACGAUUUCUUUUGACUUGCUUGAAGCUUUCCCAGAAACUCGACGAAUGGAUGUGAAGGAGAGAGAGAAAGAGAAGAAGAAGAUGACGAAUCAAAUUUGAGUCAGUGAAAUGGUCAGUUGAUUAAAUAAAUAUCUAUAUUUUAAACCAGGAUUUCAAAAAAGUAAUGAUUAAAAGGUUAAGGGAAUGAAAGUGUCAAAAAAGUCUAGAUGAUUUUUUGUUUGUUUGUGUGAUGUCUCUUCCACAAAGGUUUGAGAAGCGAGAUGACGUUGUAAGGUUUUGUCGUGGGAUUUUGUCGGACUACCAACUUGUUUAUUCUAUAUUCUUGACUUUUCAAGUUGUGAGGUUUUCGCUGAUAAAUAGUGAAUACAUACGAUUUAUCUUUUGUUUUAGCUUUCUUGUUCAACUACAAUAUGACUCUUCUUUUGCGAAUCUUGUUGUAGUGACAUGAAAUUGAACUUGAUGAUAAUUUUCAUGUGGUUUGACCUUGGUUUUAAAAGCAAAUGAAUCAUGACAUAAUACGUGAGAGAACUUAUCCAUAGCAGCUCCUUUCUUGGACCUCGUUGCGUCGAUAUACCUCCCAGUAAAAUUAUCACAUGAAUCUUCCCGUCACAAUACAAUCUGAACCAAAACGUCUUGUGGUCUAUACUCCAACUAAUAAACUUCUCCGCAUGAAUCUUUAGUAUUUGGGUACUUGAGAAGUUUAACAGUAAAACAGAAAAUCCCCUAUAAAGCUUUCAGAUGCGGAUGCUCACCUCUUAAAUGGAUGCAUGUCAGAUAAGUUAGACGACAAGUUAAUUUGAUCUACUUAUUCAUGCAACAGAGCAAUUGAAAUACAGAUGUACACGUGACCAUUUAUUGAGACUGUCCUUCUACAACUCUUUUGAGUGACAUGUGAACUUUUAAACAAAGUUACUCUCUCCGUUUUUUUAAUAUAAGUCGUUUUAUAAUUAUGUACAUAGAUUAAAAAAAAAAAUUUUUUAUAUUUUCUAAACAAAACAUCAUUAAUUAUUUACCUAACCACAAAUCAAUCAAUAAUAAAAUAAAAACUAUAUUAUCAUUGGUCAUAUAACAUUAAAUGUUAAUAAAUUUUACAUAGAAAACCAAAAACGUCAUAUAAUUUGGAACAUAAAAAUUUCUGUAAAACGACUUAUAUAAAAAAUGGAGGGAAUAUUACGUACCAACUAGUUUGUCAUUUACUCGGUUACUGUACAACCAUUUAAUUACUUGGUUACUGUACAAUUUUUAAUACUCAUUCAGUUUCACAAAACAUUUAAUAUUAUGAAACACAUAUACUAGUAGUAAUAAAUAGCAUUAUUUUCAUUGGAUUACUCUUGGAUGUAUUAUAGUGCAGGUCCAAUAAUAUGAGCAUACAGAUGUACUUUUAGCAUUUAUUAUGUUCAUUAAAUGGCUUUGAGUUGUUAACAUUCAAUGUUGGACAAAAUAACAGGUGCUGGAAAUCUGAGAUAAGGAUGUUAUGGGGAAUAAAACUUUUAAUUAUGCGUUUGAUAAACACAGUUUUAACUUUAUCACUGAUCAUGUGCAUUUAUUGACCUUAACCUCGAGUGGACAUUUCGUGGUUGAUAUGAUAGUGUAGGUGUGGGUUCUUUUCUUGGAGAUGGUCCAACAUCUUCAUAUCAUCAGUCUAUGUAAUUCUAUUUGGACUGAAAUAAGUUUUUAAUAGAAUUUGUAGUUUAGUGGUGUGUAUUAAUGUUGGCAAAAAAUAGAAUGACAAAUCCUUGAUUUAAUGAAAAUAUAAAUCAAGAGUUUUUUUUUCUUAAGGAGGUUCAAAAUGAGAUUACACUUUUAUCAAACAAGAGUAGAAAGAAAUACAAGAAGAUUAAAUCAAAAGACAUAUCUCUUUUCUUUUUCUUUUUGACAAAAAAACAAAACAAAAGACAUAUAUCUCUCUUCAUCUCUAUUGUUGUAAUCUGGCAUCUCAUCACACAAGAAACAAAGGAGGAACGAAAAGCACACACACACAAAAAAAGAUCACUGAACCAAAUUGUACUUAUCUCUCUCAUUAUUAUUUAUUAGAUUUCCACUCCAUGAUUGCUGAGUAAAGAGUGUAAUUAGCAAGAAGGUUCUUGUUAGGCAACGGUAGGUUUGUCACUGGGGACGUAUCAUUCUCUCUAAGCCAGUCCUGUAUAGCUUCACGAUCGUACGUGUACCCAUCUGCAGCCACGCAUGGCUCGUUCAUCACUCCCUAUAAUCAAUACAAAUAAAAUUUAGGUUAAAUCAUUUCUUGCCAUGCAAGUAAAAAAUAAUGUACAAACCUUGAGAAGUGGACAAAUGAAAUGGGAUGGAGGACCAGAAGGUGUUCUCCCGAUAAGGUUUUGAGCUUUGUCAACGACUUUCCUAAGCCGCUCCAAAGCCGGUAUGAUCUGAUCCUUAAGAUCAGGUCUAUCUCUGCGUCUUAGUUCAGUACAACACAGCCCUAAAGCAGCUAAUUCACGAGUCUCGCUAAUAGGCCACGGUCCAGCUUUCACGUCCAACAAUGCCAUAAACUCAGCAUCAUCUCCAAUAGCUUCUUCAACCAUAUGAGUAAUAGCUAUCGCGGGCUUGCCUGUUAUCAGCUGCAGAAUCACAAUCCCUAGUGAAUAUACAUCGGACUUGGGUGAGAUGAUCCCUGUCCGUUGAUACUCAGGGUCGAUGUAACAUAGUGUUCCCACGGGACUUGUUUUCUUGAAGACGGUUAGUUUAGAAGCAGCGUCGUCUUGGUUAACCAUUGUGGAGAGACCAACGUCGCCUAAUUUGCUGACGAAGUUGUGGUCAAGUAAGAUGUUUCCUGGUUUGAGGUCACGGUGAAUGAUUGGUCUAGGCUUGGACUUGUGGAGGAAGACUAGCGCUGAAGCGACUUCUAAAGCGAUCCUGAAACGCUCGAACCAAGGGAUAGCAGGUGUGUCGUUGACUUGCAUCAACCUGUCAUCUAAGCUUCCGUUAUCCAUGUACUCGUAGACCAAGCAGCCUCGUUCGGGACAUGCCCCGAGGAGGAGGACUAGGUGAGGAUGUCGGAUCUUGCUCAAGAUCUCAAGCUGUCAAAACAUAAAUGCGAAAUAUUUUAGACUCUUAUUGGUAAAAUUUGGUAAACAAAAAAGAAACUGAGGAGUGAAGUAAGCCAUUAGAUAAUUUACUAGAGUCGGUCCGAGAGUGCAUAAAAUUUUUAAGGUAAAACUUGAUAAAAUUUUCUUCUUAUAAUAUAGGUCUUAAGACUUAUUUAUAUUUACUUUUAAAAAUUUAGGAGUCAAGACGAAUGUUUCAUAAGACUUGUCAUGUGAUGCAGAUUACAUUUGUAAAUUUAGGAGUCAAGAGGAAUGUUUCAUCAUGCCUUGUUUAAUGUAACUAGAAAACUGACCUCUUGAUCAAACUGUUUAGAGAGCUGAGUUUCUCCUGCAUGAAGCACCUUGACAGCGCCGGUCGUGUGAUGUAGAUUACAUUUGUAAACCGUUCCAUAGGCUCCCAUUCCGAUCUUGAGAUCUUCAGAAAAGUCAGAAGUCGCGACUGCAAUCUCCUCCCAUGAGUAGUGUUGGUACUGGAUCCCUGGAGAGACGAGAGAAGCCUGGAGCUUAUCUUUCUCUUUUGCAUCGCGCUCUGCUUUGAUCUCAGCUUCUCUUCUACGUAAAGCCUCUUUCAUCAUGAGUUCUUUAACCUUCUCUGCCUCCUUCAUCGUCUCUUCGUACCUCUGCUUCUCCUUUGAAGCUGUAUCUUUAGCUAGUUCUUCCUUUUCUUUCAGCUCCAUAAGCUUCUCUGACUCCUCAUGUUUUCGCUGGUUUAGCUCAGUUAGCUGCAACCAAAAACAUAAAUAAGAACACAUAAUGUAACAUAACAAGAAAAAUGCCACGGUCAAAAGUUUAGACUAAAACCUUUUGAGAGGCAUCAACAGUCUCGGUUUGAGCCAUAGCAUACAUCUCCUGAACAUGUUUCAGCUCGGCUCUCAGCUUCUCUAUCUCAAAAUUCAGAUUCACCUACACAAUUAGACAUAACUUCAGUUCCAAACAUAAAUAUGUUCUGUCUCUCCGAAAAAAAGAACAGAAUCAAGAUCAAGACAGUUUGAUUGCCCUGAGUCAGCAAAAUGAUAUGAUACUCUAGAAUCUAGUUCUCUGUUGAAAUUACACAUCGAAAGAUUACAGAAACCAACACUAAUAUAUAAGAGACUUUGGCCCAUUUACCGUUAGUUAAUUGAUUUUAAGUUGGAAGUCCAUGAAAUUUAACCUUCUCAGAUCUCUAGAAAAAGAAUAUCAAGAACCAACACAGUUGACUUACCUGAUUAUUAUCGGUCACGGAAUGGACACUGAGGAGGCCCUCAGACAUGUUAGAAGCUUGAUGAGAAACAAAAGAAUAGUUCUCAGGAACCACUGCUCCCCAAUCCAUAUUGGUUAUAUCGUGGUUGUUGCUCGAUGACGAGCUCAUGAUCGAUCUCCUAUCCUCAUGAUCUCUCCAUUUAGAAGCAAAGCUCAUCGCGUGAUACGCCUCAGCUCCCAUUGGAAACGAUGCACUAAAGCUCUCAUUGCUAGUGUUACUCUUCUUCUCUUCAUUGCCACUGCUCGGUACAAUCUGCAUCGCCCUCCCUGUAGACACUUCCGACUGGUCCGUCUCGCUAGAACUCGUAUCCAUUUGAACCACCGCGCUGCUGCCCACCUCCGAAUGUUUUGCAGGGGGGAGGAAAUGAGAGACUCGGGAUUGCGCUUCCGAAACAAAGGAGAGAAAGUCUUGGUAGUCUGUUCCAGACGACCAAAUAAAUAAUUGUUAAGUUUUAUGGACUUCCAACUUAAAACAAUAAAAUAAAAGACUCGUUACGAUUCAAUCUUAGAGUUUUACCAGAAGGGACUCUAGGACUAGGACUAUCAGUGGAGCCACUGGUGAAGCUGUCUCUCUCUAUUCUCUCGAUCCUUAUCGUUCCGCUAGCGUCUGAAUCAGAAGGACGCACGGAUGCUAGCUUCCCCUUUGAGACUACAUAGACUGUGCAGAAUCUUGGGACAGCAGUGGCGAUCAUAGAAGACAUAUCGAUCUUUCUUGAAAAGAAUCCGCGAAGAGACAUUCCUAUAACGAGUUUGGUGACCCUGGUUCCAGCAAUCUCUUCUGCUAUCGCAGCCACAGGAUCGUGCGACUCCAGCACCAGAAUCUCUACUCGCACCUACGUUACACCAUUUGGGAUACUUUCAGAUUUUGAGAAAACAGAACAAUAAAGGAAAGUCUUGAGACCAAACCUUUCUCCUUUCGAACAUUUUCUUGUAAGGACGGAGCGUCUCGUUUGUGUUCCAAUCCACUUCUUGUCUGUAAGCUGAUACUACGUCAGCUCUUAGCUCGGAUAUCGAUAUCGCAUUCCCCACUGAAACCGAAUAAGAAAGACUCAAAUCUUUGUUCCCAAACACAUAGAUAUUUUGCAUAAGCUAUAAAAAAAUAUUUUAAGUCACAACUUACUAGGGGUAGGGAUGUAAGUGACAGGAGGACGAACAUAGAUCAAUUUGAAAUCAGAGAAGCCUUCAGGGAUGAACUUCUCAAGAGCCCAAAAGGCUACGUAUUUGCUCUUCUUUUUACCAUUAAUGGCUACAGCUACAGCAGGAGAUGGUGUAGGAGGUAGAGAUAGGUGUUCGCUUAAUGAUCUUGCUGGUUUUUUUCCUUCCAUUGUGGUUUUCAGACAAAAGUCAACACGGUACUUACCUUGUAGUUAUGUUCUAACAGAGAACAAUGAGGAGGAAGAAGAACAAAACCCCUAAAGUUUGGUGAUCUUAUGACAUUUUCUUAAAGACAGAAAACUUGCCACAAGCUGACACGUUGUUGCCGCACAAUCUUUAUUUAUAGUUAGCUCACUAAUUAAUUUUUUUUUUCAUACGUUGAAAUAGUAGUACAUACUUUUCUCUGUCUUGUUUCUAUAAAAUUAUCGUUAUAUACGUCGUAAAAGUAUCUACGUCGUAUAUCCCUCAGUUUUUGUUUUAAAUAAACAAAGUCAAACAAAUAAAAUAAAGGCUUGAGAUCUAUACUAUUAAAGCAGGAUCCUAUUGUCAUAAUUACCUUAGGGGCAUGUUUCCUUCACUAACAUUGCAUGUUUCAUUAAGGGCAAUUAAGUAAUAUUAAUAACAAAUCUAUAUUGGGUCAUUAUUUUUGGAUCCAGCCCAAAUCAAAUCUCUCUUGGGCCAUUUGGGCCUAUUAAAAAAUCAGAUUCAAUUCUCACUUUUUUUUUCCUUUGGGCCAUUGAGUCCAAGUUAAAAUAAUUUUUUUUCAACUAUUCUUAAUUAUUUUAUUUUUUUCUUUUCUUAAUAUAAUUUAAGCACUCAUAAAAAUAAUUGAAUUUUUUUAUUGAAAAGUAUAAAUCUUUAUUAAAAGUAUAUAAUUUUUUUAAUUAAAAUAUUAACCCCAUAAUAAAAUUAAUUUAUCAGAGUUAUACCAACUUAAUUCAUUAAAAAAAUAAAGUUUAAUUUUUUUAACAUAAAUAGUCAUUUAAAAUGAAAUACGAUAAAUAAAGAUAAAAAUUUUAAGUCUUUUAUAAAAUAAAGCACAAAUAUAUGAAAAUGUGACAUUUACUAAAUAUUUGUCAAUUGAAAAAAAAAACAAAAAUAAAUCCGCGUUUUGAAAGCGCGGAUCAAAAUCUAGUUGUUAUUAAAAUAUGUAUACAUAUACAAUUAGAAGAUGGUAAAAUUAAUAAAGAUAGAAUUCAUUACAAGUGUAACCUGAGAAGAGUUUUACAUUACUUAAUCAUAAAGAUAUUAGCCCGUAAACUCUUUUUACAUUUGCUUUGAGUUAAGAAAGAAUAUAGAAAUAGAUUUAAAAUACAUUUCUAAUUUGAAUUCAUGGACUGACUACAUUGCUCCACGAGACAAUGUAGAAACUACGAGAUCUUUCUAAAAACAUCUCUCGAUAUCUUAGUAAAAAUGAGAUUUUAAAUCUCCAACUAUUUGAAAUCAGCACUUUUAAUACUCAAUUAUCACUUGCACAAAUUUAAUCCUCAAAUCAUGAUUGACUGUGCAAAAUUAGACUUGAAAAAGUUAAACUUUAAUUACUAGACAGAAACGUUAACUGUAAUUAGAAAAUGGAUCGAGUUUGGCUUUCAAAACUCCAAAAUCAAUGAUAUCAAUUGUGUCAUGUGACUUUGAGUGAUAGAAAGUGAUUCACAACGACUGAAGAUCAAACAAGUGUACUUCCGAUGAGAAAAUAGUGAAAAUCUAUUUCAGAACUAAUGGUGGAACUUGGAAAAAACUCUGAUUUGAAGAGCAUUCAGAAUUUUUAUUCCGAUAGAGAGUGAAAGGUAAAUGAUUAAGCUCCGUUGAAUCAUGUCUGAGUUUCUGAUGGAGAGGAAGCAACGAUAAACAGCUCAACCAAGGGGUUAUGGAACCACGCUUGGGACCUGCCAGCUCAACCAAGGGGUUAUGGAACCACGCUUGGGACCUGCCAGCUCAACCAAGGGAUUCUAGGGAAUCCUCGCUUGGGACCUGCUUCUUGAUUGAUGAAUCUAAUCAAAUCAAUGCAAGGAAUAGAGAAUCCAAUUCUCCCAAAAGCCAAAGCUCUUUAUUAAUCAAAUCAAACUGAAUACAACUUUAGGCUUGAAUGCCUAUUUAUAAUAAAUCCUUAAAUCUAUGAAAACCCUAAUCUUAAUUAAAAUAAGAAAACUACUAAAAUAUAGAAAAUACAAUAACAAGUAAUUAUCUAUGUAAACUAGUGAAUAAUAAAGAUAUUUAGAAUAUUUCCAAAUAUCUUGCUGCAUCAGGUCUCGCCGGCAAAGAAAGAUUCGUCCUCGAAUCUUCAACCGGUUUUUCCACACAGGAUGCUGCACAAAAUCUUCACAAGUCGAAUUUGCACAAAUUUUGCACGAGCCAAAUUCUUCAUAAAAUUGUUUCUGCACGAAUAUUGCACGAACCUGAUUAUGCUUGAAGCCUUCUGCAUAAACGAGAUUUCGUCCUAUGUUUGCACAGACUAAAUUAUCAAAAUCGUUUUCUUCAUAAAAAUCAUAGAUUGGAUCUCCACAAAUCUCUUUGUAGAUCUCAUCAUCUUCAUAAACGUCGUAGAUUGGAUCACCAUAGAUCUCUCGAUAGAUCUCAUGGUAUUCUCUCUCGACAAAAGGACUUUCGUCCACGAAAGGAUAGAGAUUGCAACUGCUAAUCAACAUGACAUCCAGAAUCGUUCUCCGAUUAAGAAACCAAAGAGACGCAGCUCUGAUACCACCUGAUGGAGCGGAAGCAACGAUAAACAGCUCAACCAAGGGGUUAUGGAACCACGCUUGGGACCUGCCAGCUCAACCAAGGGGUUAUGGAACCACGCUUGGGACCUGCCAGCUCAACCAAGGGAUUCUAGGGAAUCCUCGCUUGGGACCUGCUUCUUGAUUGAUGAAUCUAAUCAAAUCAAUGCAAGGAAUAGAGAAUCCAAUUCUCCCAAAAGCCAAAGCUCUUUAUUAAUCAAAUCAAACUGAAUACAACUUUAGGCUUGAAUGCCUAUUUAUAAUAAAUCCUUAAAUCUAUGAAAACCCUAAUCUUAAUUAAAAUAAGAAAACUACUAAAAUAUAGAAAAUACAAUAACAAGUAAUUAUCUAUGUAAACUAGUGAAUAAUAAAGAUAUUUAGAAUAUUUCCAAAUAUCUUGCUGCAUCAGUUUCUAAGUGGGUUUUCACUAUCCUUUCACCGACUUGUUUGAUUUAAAGUCACCGUGAAUUGCUUCUUCUCACUCAGAAUCGCAUAGACAUAACUGAUAUUUGUGAUUGGGGUUUUGUAAGCCAAACUCAAUCUCUUUUCUAAUUACAAUUAACGUUUGAUUUUUUAAGUCUAAUUUUGUGCAAUCAUGAUUUCAAGACUAAAUAUACACAAGUGAUAGUUGGAUAUUAAAAGUGUUGAUUUCAAAUAGUUGGAGAUUUAUAAGUUCCUUUUCCCGGAUAUUUUAUGGUGUAGAAACAUUAACUAGUAUUCUCUUAAAUUAGUAGACUAAGGAUUUUUCUACAAAGAACAUUUAUCAAAAUAAAGAGCUCACUACACUUUUUUUUUUUUUUUUGAGAAAAUCUGUAGAUUAAGGAGUUUUCUACACUUUUAUUACUAUUUAAUAUAUUAAAUUUGAGUCAUAUAACUCUUUGUGUGAUUUUUUAUUUGGACUAUCUCUUAGAAAAUUUAUCAAAUUACACAUAAUUUAAUUACAAUAUCUUUUAAUAUCUUUAUAUUUUAUUUAAAAUACAAAUAAACAACUUUCUUUACAAAAUUCUAACAAAAUCUUUAAAAAAUCUAUUUGCAGUUUAUUUUCGUAAUUAAUUAAUUUAAAUUCUGAUUAUCAUUAAAAUGAAAUUAAAAAUUUAAAUCAAUUCAGUUUUGAUUUAAAAAUUAAAAUUAAAAUCACAUAUAAUAUUUUACUGAUAAUUGAAAUUUAAAUUAAUUGAUUUUUGGAAAUGAAAAUUUUAAAAUAUUUUGUUAGAUUUUUGUAAAAAAAUAUUCAUUUUUAUUUGAAAAAUUAAAAAUAUAUCUAACCUAUUAAAUUAGAGUUAUAUUUUGGACUUCAUAUGUUAUAUUUAAUUUUGAACUAUCAAACAUGGAUUCAUAUAAAUUAUUUAAAUUUGAUUAUAUAAAAUAUUUAUAAAAUAUCUCAAACUAUUUAAAACUGAUGGAAAAUUAAGAUUAAGAUUAUUAGUUCAUGAUGACUCAUUUAGAGUUAGAGAUGGUAUUGACUUUUGGCUAACACUUUAUAUACAAAGAUUUAUAUUCGGUUUCCAAAUCUCAAUGACGGAUCUACGAUCAUUUUAAAAGAUAGAAAAAACAAACUUAAACAAAUUAAAUAUUUAAAAUGAAAUUUAGCCGCGCACAGUGCGAAUUCUAUCCUAGUUAAAGCUUAAUACCCAAUCCAUUAUAAUUUCAAUAAAUAUUUGAUUCUCCGUGAGCAUGAUUUACGGACAUAGUUUGAGUUAUCGCUUACAUAUUAAGAUCAAAAUUGAAAUUAUAGGAUAACAUUUAGUCGCCUACACGACAUUCUCGUCCGUUUUGUCACGUCUUUUCUUGCUUACUAUACCUUAUGACUACUUAUCAUAUGCUUUAUUAAUGAGAAAACUGCAACAACUAGAGAUCUAGUCUUAUAGAAUCGUCGAGGAUAUACCUAGGAAAUCCUUCGACUUUAUGUGCUCGUGUUUUUUUAAUAAGAUUUUGAAUUUUAAUGUAUUACAAAAAGUCAACUAUGUUCAUAUGUUCUGUUGUUUACUGAGAAAAAAAAAAUCCUUUAGUCUCUUUGUCUGAUCAAUUCAGACAAAUCCGAAGAAGCUAAAUAGGCCAAUGGGGAACAGAUUUCUGUUUAAAGAAACAAAACAAUAUUAAAGAAUAAUACUUCAAACGUGAGCACACUAUCCGUGUUCAUGCUGUCGCUCUUCUUGACAAGACCUCCAUGAUGGAAUGUAAUGAAACUCGAAACGAUAAGAUUUUAAUAUUAUUAACAACACUGAAAGUGUUUAGAAUUCACUAGGUUAAUGAUAAUGGAUUAUUGUCUUUUUAAUGUGCUCAUAACUUCAAGCUAAGGCAUUGCCGUGCUUACAACACAUGACAAAAAUAAAAUCAUGGGCCAUGUAUAUUAAAUCUGUUCAGAUGUGUGUUUCGGUAAACAGAUUAGUGUUUGUUGGCCAAGUCGUAAUCCAGCAGAACGUCGCCAAUGAGAGAUGUGUUGUUUCUUCAAGAAGCAAAGCCGAAGAGCUAGGAAGAUGAUCGGAGAUGAUGUGAUCGUUCUUGGUAAUGUUACUGAUGCUAAAUGCGAAUAUGUUUGUGGUCAAUAUAUUGGGGUGUGAUUGUUGAUAUAUAUCUCUUCGUAUAUGUUGUUUUAUGUGAUUGUAGCUUUUUUUUUUUCUUUUUUUGAAGGGUGUUAGGGAGUGAGUAUAUAUGAGUGUACUUCUGCUUUUGUGUAUGAGUGAAAUGUUUUACAUUUUGUUUGGAGAGGAUCAAGUCAACCAAACUCCUACAUUUCUCGGGCUAGUUAGAGUAACUGUCAGUAUGUGGGUCUUUAAGUCUUUUACCCAUUAUCGGCCCGUUUUAUUUCAGCGUAGUCGAUGUACAACUCAAAACGAUUUUGGAACACUUAACAUGUGAACUCCAACUUCUUUGAAAGGAGUCAACAUUAGUAUCAAUUUCAUUUUUAUUAACAUAAAUGCAAAGAAACAAUCAAGCUACGCGACUUCAUUUGAUGAUAUUUCCAUUUAACGUAAAUUCUUAGUCUUACCACUAAUUAUUAUGCAGUUCUUUACUUCGUAUACUAAUCAAUGUAUAUAUUUGGAUUGAAUAUCUUUGACUUCACUUAGUCAAACAAAAACAUAAAUUCUGAUUAAUUUGUAAAUUGACACGUAGAUAUAUUAAAUAUAGAAAAUCUUCUAAAUAAAACAUAAUAAUAUGUACCAUUAAUGUUUUAGUCUUGAUGUUUGACUAACACAAUAUUACUAUGAAUUAUGAAUGGUCUUUAACCAUGUACUAUGUAUGAAUUAUGAGACAUUCUUUAAUCAUGUGGAUUUCUCUAAACCAUAUAGAAUCACUGCAUCAACAUUUACAAAUUUUGUAUUUCGCAAUUUUCUGCUGAAAUUAAAUUCUGAAAGAAAUGUAUAUUCUGUAUAAGCAAUUUUAUGAAAAACACAUAAACUGUAACCAAAUUUUAUUAUUAUAAAGAAAAAAAACUUAAAGGUACGAAAAAUGAAAACAAAAUACGAACUUUAACAAAAGUCUUAUUUAUAAAAUAGAGAAAAUAAACUAAAAAGGGCACAACAACAUAAACAUAUAGAGCAUAAUGCAUUAUUUGUUCAUCCAUAUCAGUUAAUCACCCAAAUUCCACAAUUCAUAGGUUCUAUGUUACUCGGUUGAAGUCGACUAACCAAACAUAACCGAACCUAAUUACAUUUAAUGUAAUGAACCUUCUUGUGACCACCAAGUGCUUGACCAGAUUCAAAUACUCUGCCACAGACUUCACAUUCAUAACGUCGGUCUUGAUCAUUCUUGUCUCAAAUCUUCAACCGUUGGUUUUUAUGGCUCGUUCGAUGACCACCUAAUCCCAUGAGUAGUAUUGGUAUUGGAUCCCGGGACAGACGAGAGAAGCCUGGAGCUCAUCUUUCUCUUUAGCAUCACGCUCUGCUUUGAUCUCAGCUUCUCUUCUACGUAAAGCCUCUUUCAUCAUGAGUUCUUUAACCUUCUCUGCCUCCUUCAUAGUAUCUUCGUACCUCUGCUUCUCCUUUGAAGCUGUAUCUUUAGCUAGUUCUUCCUUUUCUUUUAGCUCCAUAAGCUUCUCUGACUCCUCAUAUUUUCGCUGGUUUAGCUCAGUUAGCUGCAACCAAAACAUAAAUAAGAACACAUAAUGUAACAUAACAAGAAAAAUGCCACGGUCAAAAGUCUAGACUAAAACCUUUUGAGAGGCAUCAACAGUCUCGGUUUGAGCCAUAGCAUACAUCUCCGAACAUGUUUCAGCUCGGCUCUCACCUUCUCCAUCUCAAAUGUCAGAUUCGCCUACACAAUUUGUUGUGAACAAACGCAAAUGAAACUCGAAGAAAACAAGAAAAUUUAGAUAUAAACUCAUAUUGCGAAAAUUACAUGUUUUUUGUAUGUUAAUUACAUAAAUGAAUAAUUUAUGAUAUAGAGAGAAACUCAGAUUGCGAAAAUUACAUGUUUUUAGGGUUUGUAUGUUAAUUACAUAAAUUAAUAAUUUAUGAUAUUAACACAUAUUUAUAUCAAAACUCGAUAUUUCUUUUCUAAAAACUUUCUUAUUUAAUAAAAAAUGGUUUCCUUAAUCCCAAUGAAUACUGGUACACCGAGAUUUAUGUCAUUUCUAGAAUCAACACAAGAUGUAGCUUCAGUUGCAAACAAAAACCAAUGCAGUGUGAUGAGAUGACUCGAGACUCUGGCUCUCAGAUCUCUAGAGAAAAUAGAAUCAAGAAUCAAGACAGUUAACUUACCUGAUUAUUAUCGGUCAUGGAAUGGAGACUGAGGUGACCCUCAGACAUGUUAGAUGCUUGAUGAGAAACAAAAGAAUAGUUCGCAGGAACCACUGCUCCCCAGUCCAUAUUAGGUAUCUCACGGUUGUUGCUCGAAGGGGCUCUGGGACUAGGACUAUCAGGAUCGGAGAGACACUCGUGGAACUGUCUCUCUCCAUUCUUUCGAACCUUAUCGUUCCGCUAGAGUCGGAAUCGGAAGGACGCACAGAAGCUAGUUUCCUCUUUGAGACAACAUAGACUGCAGAAUCUUGGCACAGCAGUUGCGAUCAUAGAGGACAUACCGAUCUUUUUCGCGAAGAAUCCGGGAUGAGACAUUCCUAUAACGAGUUUGGUGACUCCAGUUCCAGCAAUCUCUUCCGCUAUCGCAGCUACAGGAUCGUGUGAUUCCAGCACCAGGAUCUCUACUCGCACCUAUUUUGUAACAUUUUUGAGAAAACACAACAAGAAAGGAGAGACUAAACCUAGUUCUUUGAGACCGUACCUUUCUGCUUUCGAACAUUUGCUUGUAAGGACGAAGCAGCUCGUUUGUGUUCCCAUCUACUUCUUUUCUGUAAGCUGAUACUGCUUCAGCACUUAUCGCUAAAUAUAGAUAUCGCUUUCCCCACUGAAAACAAAUAAAUAAAAACUCAAUAAUCUUUGUUACCAAACACAUAGAUAUUUUGCAGUAGCUACAAGAUUCUGGUGACGACUUACUUGGGGUAAUAAUGUAAGUGAUAGGAGGACGAACAUAGAUCAAUUUGAAAUCAGAAAAGCCUCCAGGGAUGAACUUCUCAAGAGCCCAAUACGCGACGUCUUUGCUCUUCUUAUUUCCAUUAAUAGCUACAGCUACAACAGGAGAUGGUGGAGAUAGAUGAUCGCUUGAUGAUCUUGCUGACAUCUUCUUGUCCAUUGCUUUACCUGCAACUAAUGAAAUGUAAAUUUAAUAAUAGAUCUCAACGAAUAUGCAUGUAAAUAUAACAGAGCGAUGGGGCUUUUAGAAAAAAACCAUGACACAACUUGCCUAGUAGUUUCUGUUCUAGAAGAGAACUAUGAGGAAGAAGAACCCUAAAUUUGGUGAUAUAAUGGCAUUUUCUUAAUAUGAAAUAAUUGCAACAAGCCAUCGUUGUUGCCGCCACAACCUUUAUUUAUAACUUGUUCACUAAUUAAUUAAUUUUCUUUAUAUAUGCGUUGAAAAAAUAAUACAUAUUUUUCUAUAAAAAUAUUCCUUAUUUUCCACAGAGUAUCAUUUUUACAUUUUUCUUGUUAUAUAAAAAGUGUCAUUUUAAAAUUUAAUAUAAUUUAUAUUUAUUUUAAACUUAAUAUUUAUUGCAAAAUUGAUUUUAUAAAAUAUAUUUAUUUCCAAAUACUAAUUAAUACAAUAUAAACACAUUUCAAUCAUUCUUUAAAUUUGUGUGAAAAACUGAAAGUGUCUAACUAACACUCUUUGUAUAUUUGUAUAGAAUGUAUUUAGUCUUAUAGAAUCGUAUACAUGACUAUUUAUCAUGAUUCAUUAAUGUAUGCAACAAGUAGAGAUGUAGGCUUCGAAUGUUACUAACCGCUCUGCCCCUGCAUCGCAGUUAACAGUAACAAAAAUAUCUACAUAUACAAUAUAUCUAUACAUUUUUAUAACCGUUAAAACUGCACCGCAGUUAAAUAGCUUGUUUCGUACCGCUCAAACUGUAGUUACCAUUCGGAGCCGUAAUCAUUAUUUAUAUCGUAUAUGUAGUCAUUAUGUGCUCAUGUACUCAAUACGUGCUCGUGUUCUUACAAAAAAAAAAUUCUAAAUUUCGAUAAUUACAGAAAGUCAACUAUGUUUCUAUGUUCACUGAAAAAAAAAAAAACAAAUCCUAGAGUAUAUUUUUCUGAUCAAUUCAGACAUAUCCGAUGAAACUAAAUCGGCCAAUGGGGGAACAGAUUUCUGUUUAAAGAAACAAUAUAUAUUACAGUAAUAUUGUUCAUGCUACAGCUGGUGAAGUCGGGUCUCCGUUGUGUCAAUGGGAAAAUGUGCUUGGAGCCUCGGUCACUGGAAUUGUCUCGACAAAUGAGAAAGCGGCUCAGUCCAAAGAAGAUAUGGAUGCUACCAUGUUGUUAUGUAAAAGAACCGAGUAUUUUGUUUCACAGGUCAACGAUAUUACACUGGAAAGGAGUUGAAGUUGUCUACGACUCAGUGGAAAAAAACACCUCUUGUGUGGAAACUUUUAUUAUUAUUGUUCAUUUCUGUUCUAUUUUUUUGUGUCUUUUUAUUGUAUAAGUGUUUGUCUCCAUAAUCUGCAUAACAACUUUGAAAGUGUUUAUGUUAAUAAACAAACGACGCGAAUCAAACAUGAAAAGCAAGAAUAUUUAGAGAAAAACAUGAUUAAUACAAAUACCCAUUUUUUAGGGUUUGUUUAUUAAUUCUGUAAGUAAAUAAUUUACGAUCCGUUAAAUCUAUACCCAUGCUUAAAAAUUCGAUAUUUUUUUUUCCUUUUAGAAAAAUUCACUUAUUUCAUAAAAUAGUUUUUCCUUGUCGUAUUAGGUAUUCGAAUGCGGCCUUCUAUUGGUUUACUAAAAAUUUACGUCAUUUCCAAAAUAAACAGUUUAGAACUUCAUAGGCUAAUGAUAAUGCAAUAUUGUCACUUUAGAUGUAACUUCAAGCUAAAGCAUUGUUGUGCUCACAACGCAUGACAAAAGUAAAAACAUAUGGGCUAUGUAAAUUAAAUUUGUUCAGAUGUGUGUUUUUGUAAAUGGAGUAGUGGUUUUCGGCCAAAAAAAUUUAUGCGAUUAAUAGAUUUUUUUUUUAAAGGUUUCUAAUAGAAAUUUAUUUAAGAAAACCUUUUCAUACAUUCAAAGGGAGUUUUGAGUCUUGACAACCUCUGACUCUUGUUUUUUUUUUUGGUUAUAGAAUAUUAUUAGCUUAUAUAUAUCUUUGGUAUAGUUUCCUUUAGCUAACCAUUGGGUUAGUGUGGUUUGGUUUCCUUUUGCUUAACUACCUGAGUAUAAAUACAUAACAAUGUAUGCUUUCUACGGUUAAUGAGAAAGUUUAUUUUCAUCAUCUUCUUUUCUUCAAUAAAUAUCAUGCAUACAAGCUACAAGUGGAUAAAAAGAGUGAUAUCUACAGAUACAGAGUUAUAUUAUUAGAAAUCAUCAAAGGAAAUUAAUAAAUCCGUCGAACUGGGAUUCAGGGAAGGUAACUGUAUUGUGGAUUGGGCUAAGUCAAAGCUGAAGAUACAAGAACAUGUAGUAGAAGAAGUUCUAGACAAAGGCAUGGGUAGGUCUUGUAGUAUGAUAAUAGAAGAGAUGAAACAAAUGUUGAGAAUUGCAUCGUUAUGUACAAGUUGAAAUCCGACAGAUCGGCCGCCAAUGAGAGAAGUGUUGUUGUUUCUUCAAGAGGCAAAGCCUAAGAGGAAAAUGAUAGGAGCUAAUGUGAUCGUUCUUGGUAAUGUUAGUGAUGCUAAUAUUGAAGAUGUUUGUGGUCAAAAGAUUGAGGUGUUGUGAGGUGUUGAUAUACAUUUCUUUGUAUGGUGUUUUUAAUGUAAUUGUAGAAUUGUUUUUGAAGGGUGUUAGAGAGGAUAUAUAUGAGAGUACUUUUGCCUUUGCUUCCUUUCAUAUAUGAAAGAAAUGAUUUUUUUUUUUUUUUUUUGAACACAAGCUCAUAGAAAUGGUUUUAAAGGAUCAACCAAGCUCAUAUAUUUGUCGGGCUGAAGAGAGUGACUGGGUCUUUUACUCAUUAUCGGCCCGUUUAAUUUCACCGUUAUCGAUUUACAACUCCAAACGAUUUUGGAACACUUAAUUGAAUAUAUUUGACUUCGCUUAGUCAAACAAAAACAUAAAUUAUGAUUAAUUUGUAAAUUUACACGUAUGUAGAUAUAUUAAAUAUAGGAAAUUUUCUAAAUAAAGCAUAAUAAUGUUCCAUUAAUGUUUUAGUCUUGUUGUUUGACUGGCACAAUAUUACUAUGAAUUAUGAAUAGUUUUUAAUCUUGCACUAUGAAUUAUGUUUUUUUAUGAAUUAUGUCCUUAAUCAUAUUAAUUGCUCUACACCAUAUAGAAUCACUACAUCGACAUUUAUUUCGCUAUUUUGUGCUGAAAAUAAAUUCCGAAAGUAUAUUCUGAACAAGAAACUUUAUGAUAAACACAAACUGUAACCAAACUUUUAUUAUUAUUAUUCUUAUUAUAUUUUUUUAUAACUUUUAUUAUUAUACAAAACAGAAAAUAAACUAAAAAGGGUAAAAAAAACAUAAACAUAAGGAGCAUAAUUCAUAAUUUGUUCAUCCAUAUCAGUUAAUGACCCAAAUCAAUUCAUAGGUUCUAUGUCACUCGGUUGAAGUCGACUAACCAAUAAUAACAGAACUAAUUAUAUGUAAUGAGUCUUCAUGUGACCACCAAGUGCUUGACCAGAUUCAAAUUCUCUGCCACAAACUCCACACUGGUGACGUCGGUCUUGAUCAUUCUUUUUGUUUGGAACUAAUUCUCGGUCUUGAUCAUUCUUGUCGCAAAUCUUCAACCGUUUGCACUUAUGGCUCGUUCGAUGACCACCUAAUGCCUGAUACGAACCAAAAACUUUUCCACAUACAUCACAUAUAAAUUCUUUCUUACACUUUUUCUCUCUCGUAACCAAAUUUGUUUCGUCAGCAUCAUUAUCCUCAUCAUCUUCACCGUUGUCUUCUGUUAGGGUUUCCACGUUUUGAGUGAGAAGCUCAGCAACAGACUUGUAUUUGACUUCUUUAUUAUCAUCAUCAGAAUCUAAAUCUGUUUCGUAAUAUUCUUCUUUACCGUUUGGAGUUGCUAACAAACGAUCAAUAGCAUUCCAAUUCUGAGAAUUUUCUGGCCUCUGCCCCUUAGACAGUGCAACAAGAAUUAAACCAGCUUCUUCGACAGCUGUCAAAGGACUACCAGACCCGGUAGAAUCUGCCUCGUCCACGAUCAUCUUUCUCUCGCCUUUUAUUUGAUGUGCACCGUCUUCUCUCUUUAGAUCUGGUCCCCCAAUCAAAACGGUUUCAUUGUUGGAUGUCUCUAGCGAUGGAAGGGUCGAGCCACUCGCUGAUUCUGACAUCAUGUGCUCUCUUAGAGUACUCCCAUUUGAAAAUGACUUAUUGCAACUCAUUUUGAUGAAAAAGAAACAAGGAAUAAAAAAAGCUAUAGAAGUUUUUUGGUGAUAAUGAUUUUGAUUGCUUUUGCUGCGAGAAGAGUUUGCUUGAAUAUAUUGUUGUAUGAUUUGUGCAUAUAUAUAGCUUCAGAAAUCUGAAGAAAUCAUAAAUACGUACAAAUACUAUUCAAAAGGUAAUCCAGAAAUCGGAAGAAAACAUAAAUACGUACGAAUACUAUUCAAAAGGAGUUAACCACUUACCAUAAGUGUUUAGUGCACUAUGCUCUUAAGUCUUAACAAUUAAUUACUAACUGCUUAUUUAGGUCUAUCGAUUAAGUGGUAAUUAAUUAACUGUAGCUUUAUAAAUUAUUAGUCACAUUGUGUCAUUAACUCAGUCUCCGUCAAAACCGUUUAUAUAAGAUAUUUUGCGUGAGAGAUGAAUAGCCCAAACUAGAAACAUGAAAUAAAAGCAGUAGUUAGCCAUAUAAAACCAUGCCAUUAAAAAAAACACCUUUUCUCUCCCAACCCCAUUAGGGUUUUCCUGUGAAAGUCUUCGCCGCCGUCGGUGUGGCCUCUCGCCCACCGACGAGAACACUCCUCUUUCUCCCUCCUCUUCCUUUCUUCCAUGGUUCUGCUUGUUCCUUGUCCCUUUGCACCGUUGCUCCUUCCUCCGCCUCCAGAACUGCCGCCGCUCGUGUUUCUCCUAGAUCUGCCAGUCGAGUGCUCUCCUCAUGUCCUUUCCGUUCCUCUCCACCCACCGGAUCUGUCCCUGUUCCUUUGCCGCUUCUUCGACUCUGCAGUGAUUAUACUGUCCGUCCGUUUAGUAAAUCUAUCAUUUUCAGUGGUGUUUGUUCUUAUGGUUUUCUGUGACUCCUUUACUGCAGUAUGCGGGUUCAAUUCCGGGUUAUAUCCGGCUCGUUCUAACUCUGUUAAGUUCGAUUUUGGUCUCUUAAUCUACUGGCCUCAAGUUCCUCAGAUCUGUGUUUAUUCACUAGUACUUGAUAUAAAAAUUGACAUGGUCUCUGGUUGGAAUUAUGAAUCUGUGUCUUGUGCAUUUGCUUCCGUCUCUUGGUUGCUCAUUGUCCCAAGUUUCAUAGUUCAUUUGUCAAGAAGUUUGGAGAGUACGCAAAGUCUCAUUGAGAAUGAACUCAUAGCCUUGGUUGGUUUGGGGUCUCAUUCCUCUGUUCUCAGGUUCUUCAGUAGCAAUUAUGUUGCCUUGGCUCAUUCCUUUUCUGCAGUAUGCAGGGUUUUAUAUGUCUGUGAUUUAAAUGUGGAGGUGUAUGUAUUGUUUUCUAACCAUUGGUGGCAAUUUGGAAAGAAAAGCAACAGUAUUUGCUUCCUUACAUUGCAUCAGAUUUAUUUGGUCUCACGAAGACUUGGUUGCUCAUUGUUCCGGUAUCAUGACCUCACUGCCUUUGUUGCAGAGUGUCUAGCCCUUUUGGGCAUUUCUCAGCUGGUUUGCAAGUCAGACUGCCAUGAACUCAGUCGCCUCCUUUCAGAGAGUUGGUCUUCUGAUGUGUUGUGUUUUCAUGUGUUUGUAAUAUGGCAAGUUGUGCCUUUCUACUUUGUAUUUCCUCCGCUGAUGGAGGUUGAGACUUUAAGUUAAUGGAAUUGUUGUUUGAUCAAAAAAACCAUGCCAUUAACAUCAAAAAAGAAUUAAAAAUGAAAUAAGAUCGACAGAGAAGAGAAAGAAAACAAUUAUUUAGUAGAUAACAAUCAUAACAUUAUUAUACAUCACUUUUUGUCAAGGUAUUAUACAUAACUUUAUUUCUUAGUUUUACGCAAAUAGAGAAUCGAGUAUAUACUUGGAAAAUAUGAAAACAAGAACCUGUUAAUAAAAAAGAAAGAGAUCAUUACACUCUUCUAGGCAAUCCGAUGAACAAAUCAGUUUCGACAUUGGAUAUGUGGAUGUUUUCACAGCCAGAGGAAGAUGCAUUCUUCUCACUCUCUAAGUUCCUCGACUGCAUCCACAAGGGCUUUUCUUCAAACUGAAAUGAUAACAAGUUAAAUCCUAAACAAAAGAAACUCAAUAAUCAGAGAGAAACAAACAAAAAGUUCACGAAAAACGAAUAACUUUUUGACGGACGAUUUUCAGAUUUCCUCAAGUUAGAUUUCAGUCGAAAGCACUAUUAAUCAACCACAAGAUUUUUCAUGAGAGUUAAGUCAUGGAUGUCAAAGGUUAAUCCACCAUGAUGUCUAUAGACUAUAGCUGAAUGAUAUUUUUGUUAUUUAAAGAAUAAAGAGAUAAAGCGCUAAACGAUUUUGUUUUUUAACAUCAAAAGAUUAUUAUAUUAUUAAAUUAGAUGAUCUUUGUAACUAGUAGAUUAGAAUAUGACAGUCAACAACAAAAACAUUAUAUAUAUGGAACGCUCUAACAAUCUUAGCUAAUGAAUCUAUCAUUGUGUUCUAUUGAGAAAUCAUGAAAACUUCCCUUCAGAGUUGUGAACUUAUAUAUAGUAUCCAUAUGUACUAGUUAUAAAUAUAGAUAGCAAAGACUAAGUUCAUGAUUAAAUAAGUGUAGGGCGUGCAAGAAUGAAUACAUGCAUAUAUGUCCUUGGAUGGUAUAUAUAUGCGUAUGCGUAUACCAUUUCGUGCAGCCUAGUUCUCUCGUUCAACAGCUCUCUUUUUCCUGCAAUCUAAUAAGAUCAAACCCAAAAAAAAGCACAAUGAAAUUUAUAUAUUAUAUGCCGUAAAGAACCAACUAAAAUAAUAAAGUAAAAUUACCUCUGCUUUUAGUUUCCCCACCUCAUCUUCAUUUAACUUAGCCUGCCAAAAUUGUAGAAUCCGGAAUAAGCAGUUGCACAUGCUGGUUCGAUAGCUAAUCAUUUAGACUCAGAAGUCCCAGAGAACAUAUGUUGAUAUGUGUAACAGAAAAUACUCUAGAAGACCCUAAUUAUAAGCCAUUAGUGCUAAACACAUUAUAACAAACACGUAAAGAUUUCAAAAUCAAGUACUAUGUAUUUAUUAAGUUUACCUUCCUUGAUCUAACAAUAGUAAGGCUUUUCUCAAUUUGAAUAGUUAUCUCUUUGAGCUCCUCCACCGAACAAGUAUCUAAAUCUUCCCCCAUUAGCCUCCUAAGAUGCAUAUUAUCGCCUUCAUGAGCUUAUAUAGAAUCACCUAUUGCAUUAUCUAUAGAAAUAUCAGAAACUAACCGGCAAUGACGUUGAAGAAGUUCAAUGGAGUUCACCAUAAUCGUGAUUUCAUCCUUGAGAUCCUGCACCUGCUGCUCUUUUUGGAGUCUCUCUUCAUGAAAAUAUUCCCUUCUAUGUAACUCACAUCGUUCGAUCAUCUUCUUCAUGCUGAAUUAGUUUUCAGGAUCACUUCAUCAAUCAUCAUUAUAAUAUUUCUAAAGUAUACAAUUACUAUUUUCCGAAAAUGUUAUCAUGACCAACAAGAACAUUCACACAUAUGCAAGAUUUAUGGAUUGUAUGCAUAUUUUCCGAGCCUAAAUUCGAUACGUGUUGUCGAUAUGCGCUUGGCCUAUCUCAGGAUUAGUAUAAUUAAAAACUAUGAAAGAUUUCCGAAGGAUGAAGAAUGUACAUUGUAAGGUUUUCGAUAUGCCAUUCCACCUAUUAAAGGAGAAGAAAUAGCUGAAUAUAUAAUAUCAAUUUGUUAGUAAUAUAUGUCUUUUUAAUUUGUGUAACUUGGUUUCCUAUCUAUACAAACUCAAUGGCAAAAGCAUUACUAUAAGCUAGGAUGCACUCGCCUUUCCAUUACGUACCAACGAUUUGCUUUAAAUGGUCAAACUUGGUAAACUCGAAACUGUGAAUGAAACAUAAACUCUUGUUCCAAAAGUUUUGGUUGGUUAAUUAUCUAAACCCACUCAAGUGUAGAUAUUGGCAAUUCGCUAACAAAAUAAUGGGAAGAGAUGAUUAGUACAGUUCACCUAGUGACUAUCAAUAUAUGGUUUCACAUGAUUAUGAUCAUUGUUUGGGUUUGAUAAUCAUUAGUGGCAUCAUUUAAGUUUGGAUUUGGUUUAAGAAACUAACUCACCUAUCGGCUAUAUAAGAGAUCAACACAUUUAAUAGCAUGAAAACUUCUCGAGGGCUAGAGUUUGAGACCCUAGCAAAAAUCCAAAAGAUCUUCUCUCAUACUUCAUGGGUUAUUUUUAAAUUGGUCCAAUUGUACUCUUGACAGUAUGGCAUGAACACUAGGAUGUUUCAAUAUAAUUAUAAACAUGUCAAGUGGUUUCAGCAUGAGUUUCAAGGCAUACUAGGUUCAAAGUUCAAGAACACUUCUUUGGAAAGUCCUAAAUUGAUUGCUCGUGCUUAAAGAAGAACUGUGAUUAGGUUUGAAUUCAUUUAAAUAAAAACUUCGUGGUACUAUUGAGUAAAUAAAUGACAAAAAAAAAACUUUAAGAAGGCAUAAUUUGUUGAGAAGUUAAACGCAACAGCUACAAUUAGCUAGAAAUCUAUUGUGCGAUACAUAAAUAAAUUAGCAAAGUAAACUAAGAACAAUAGAUUCAUUUCUAUAGAAUAAACAGUAGAUUGUAAAUAUGUAUAAAUGUGUAUUAAUUGGAUUAAAAGUUAUAGAAAUGUUAGGUUACUUACUCGGAGCUAGCGUAUUCGUAUAGUUUGCCUUUCUGGGAAAAGACAAUGGCUGCGACUUGAGCAUCGCAUAGAACUGAAAGCUCGUGAGCCUUCUUCAUGAGACCUUUCCUACGCUUGGAGAACGUGACUUGCCUGCUCGUUAGGUUUUCGAUUCUCUUGAUCUCGAUCUUCCCUUUCACCAUCCUCCUGCCAUGAUUAGUGGGUGAAUCCAUAUGAAACCCUAAGUCUGAACAAUUUUAUAGGAAAGAGAAAAUUAGUUUCUUUUUCUUUAGAAACAAACUCACUUGGAUCCAAAUCAAAACCAAGGUACUGUUUCUUGAUAACAAAAGAGAGAUCUAAACACAAGAUCAGCUGUCCACACAAAAGUCAAUAAGUGAUAACUUCCCUAGGAAAAUGAUGAAAAAUCUGGGGAAAAAACGAAACCAAACAAAACCUUUUUUCUAAAUCUGUCAAGAUUCGUUUCAAAGGCCUCAAGAAUCAGAAAACGACCAAGAAGAUCUGUGAUAUUAAUAAGGACGAACUUUCACAAGAAAAAAAAGAGAUGAAAUGAACAGAACAAUAAGAUCGAUGAUAACUAGAAAUGAAUGAAUUGAUGAGUCAAAUCACUUUGAUGAUUUAGUCUUUCUUUGGUCAAACCUAUGUUAUGCAGGGAGGAACAAACCCUAAGGUUAAUAGUCUUGCUUUUGCUCUCUGAUUUACAUACUCUCAGGAACUAAAAAUAUAUAAAUGCCAUUUUGCAGAUAUUACUUUCGAUUAUCACACACUGCUUUGCCUGCUGACUAAAAAUGUCUGCUUCGCUUUUUUCUACUAAUUAAAAAUAUGUUAAUUAUCGAUUUUAAUGAAGCUUCAUAUGAUUUAUGUUUUUUUGUAACUAUCGGUCCAAUUAGAUUGGUCUAUAGAUCAUUUUAUAAAAUAUUUGAUCACAAAAAUAAAAUAUACAUACUUGAUAUCAAAUAUUUUCAAAUAAUUUAAUUUGGUAUUUUCAAAUGAGUUCUAUCAAAAUUAAAUACUUUUAUAAAAAUAAAUUAAAUACUUUAAUUAAUUAAUUAUGCAGACCUAACCAUUUUAAAAGUGACAUAAAUACAUUUAUCAUUUGCAUAAUAUUCUUCAAUUAAUUUAGGGGUUAUAUAGGUUUCUGAGAUUUCUGUUUUCUUACAAUAAGCACUUGAAAUUGAUCUUAUGUACUUGAAAUUUUAUUCAGCCUAUGAUUUGGUGAAUCUAUGUUAUUCGACGCAAAAGUCACUAUUUUCUAAGUAUCCGGGUAAAAAUGAGAAAAUCUAAAUUUAUUAGAUGAAAACGAGGCAGAAAAAGUGAUUACUUCAUAUACUUGUAGUGAUCUGAUACUUAUUUUCUUCACUUUGACGUUGUAAUUGUCAAAGUUUGUGAUCAUAAUAUGUCAUGCUAUCACAGUCGACUUAAUGGGUUAUACGGGCCCUGAGCAAAAUAUAAGAAGUGGUCUCUCCUAUAUAAAUAUGAUGAUUAAACGGGCCUUAUUAUGAGCUGGUCUAACUAAACACGUACACUCAAUUCACAGGAUGGGCUCAAAUAAACGGGCUUUAGUAGUGCAAGAAAAAAUGUUUAGGGUAAAAAAAAAGGUGGACAAGCGGAAUAUCGAUCCCGGUGCCUCUCGAAUGCUAAGCGAGCGCUCUACCAUCUGAGCUACAUGCCCAUUGAUGUUAACUGGCUACAUAAUAACAAAUAUUCUUUCAUCUAAUUGCUCAAGUCUCCCCCAAAACCCUAACUUCCAGUCUCUGUAUCUGAUUAUAAAACGGUGAAAGUCCUAAACUUUAGUUUCUUCAACCCAAUCUAAAUUUAUUUUUCUUUUUCUUUUUGGUUUCAGCUUCUUGCUUAUAUGUUGAGAAUACUAUGAUUCUUGAAAGUUCUCAGACAUCUUUGGUAUUGAUACCUUAUACUAAAUCUAUUUUACAAAACAACUUUUUGGGUUCGUGAAUCUUUGUGUUUCUGUUGUGAAGUGGGGUUUGUGUUCUUUGCAAGUGACGAUUAAACAGACAGGGACAUCAGAAAUUAUCUGUGUUGACUAAAGUCUAUAAUGGGAAUAUCUGAUGCAUUAACAAUCCUCUUUACCUUUCAGUUUUCAAAAUCCCUUUUUAUUAUCUACAAUUGUUUUGAUUGGAAGUUUGAGGCUUUACCAAUGAUGGAAUUCAAAUAAAUCAUCAGAUCCGAUGUGUAACAACAUAUGUGAUUACAAUCUUGAUGCUGAGUUAAAGCCUUUGAAUUAUCCUUAAUAUUUGAACCUUGCUCUUGAUAGUUGAGAUAGGUAAUCCAAAACCCAGAUUUAAAGAACAAAGUCAGUUUCUGUUUUAUUGCUACUAUUCAAAAUGUUAUGAAAAUUCCAAAAUAUUUUUGACGUUUCUGACUUCUGUAGCAAUGGUGCAGCUGAAACGUCAUAGUUUUACCCUCUGCCCUAUAGAAGCACAUGAACAUUGAGGCCAUCUGGCCAUGUCACGUAGUUCUAAUCUUUUCUUGAUUCAAUUAGUGAAACAUCACAUUUGGGAUUGACUCAGCCAAUUGACAGAUAUAUUAUAUACAAGAGAAAAACCAUAAUAUAUAAUUAUAACACAUCAAAACACAGUGAAAAAUUGAGCAAAAAUAUGAAACUAGCUCUUGUUUAUGCAUAUAUAUACCUUUGGGUGGGAAAGAUUUACAGAAUAUAUGCCGCGUCUCCAAUUAGAGAGUCUAUCUGCUGGGCUGGUGAAUCUACUAAACUUAAGGUCCAGAUCAAAACAAAACCCACGUAACACACAGUUAAAUGAAAGGUGCGGAUCACAUUUCAUUGACACGUGGCACGUUCAGAAGAACCUAUUUUAUGACGUGUCAAACUCAGAGAAGAGAGUAACUCUUCUUUAUAGUAUUAGAUAUACCUUUGGGUGGGAAAGAUUUACAGAAUAUCUCAUUCGUUCGAAGCCCACAAUACUUAAACAAUAGUAUACAAGCCCAAUAACUGUAGAUACGCGCCACACUUUAUGAUCCAAACCCAAUAGUGUAAUAGUGUACAAGCCCAAUAUUUCUUUUCUUUUCUAAUACGCGCCACACUAUUUGGGUCCUCUGCUUCGGCAGUGUACGAUGCCGAACGAAAGAAGACACCGAAGAUGUUAAGGCUCUUCCAUCACAUCAUGUAUACUUUUCCAGUUUGGACCUCUCUUAGGAGCAUAUACCUUAAUCACUAUAGUAAGCAUAUAUAUGGAGAAAGAAACCCCACAACCAUAAUUUUUUGUUUGCUCAUAGUUUGGAUUUCAAAAUUUUAAAUCAACAUCCUACAAUUUACAGAUCAGUUUCUGUAACAAUUAAUUUAUAAUUAUAAAAUAGAUGGUUUAGAUAACAAGUAUAGUUAGAAUACAUUAAUUUAUUCGUCAUAUAUUAAUUUAGUUUUGUAAUUGUGUUUUCGUUUUAAAAUAAAGAUCAUUUGGGAAGGUGAUCAAUUAUAUACCGAUAAGAGUGCCAGUCGUAAUUGUUUGGUACUUUGGUGAAACCCAACUAUGCCAAAGAUGAAAAGUGAAAAUAUCCAUCGUGCUUAUUGUUCGUUCAUCAUUUUCUUUUCUUUUUUGACUGAAGGCUUAUUCGUCAAAUUAUUAAUAAUGUAUGUUUACUACUAGCAAAUGGAAAACAUGGAAUGGCGCUGCCCAAAACUUUUAGCGUUAUAUUUCUCUUAUCAAUAUAUUUUGGAGAAAUAGUGAAAAUGUUAUUUUGAUCAUUUAAUAUGUUUCAAUAAUUCAUACUUUCUAUUUAAAAGAAUUUUUUCUUUUUUUUUGAACAAAGUGCUUUCAGUUUGUGGUAUGAACCUCGGUAAAAAAAGUAACUAGACUGGUUGUUUGUCAUCUGUUAGAUUAAAUUGAAUAUAUAAUAUUUUUUACAUUUUUUUAACUUUAAAAGGUUAAACCUGAGUCUAUUAAAAACAGAGAACCAACCUUCCGAUAGGAGGUACAACUCACGGAUAGAGCUUCUCCCGAGUAUUCAAAUGGGCUGAAAUGCAGUAGUCCAUGUCCGUAUAGAAUGACCAGAAAAGUGUGACUUAGUUUCGCAUGACAGGUGGAUCGAACCUGAAAUGUAGUGAUAUAAUUUUUUACAUUAAUCGGCAAAGAAUACAUUCUUUCUGAAACCAUAAGCCAAUAAGGAUCACAAUCUUUCUGGAGCCAAAUGAAACUUAAGAAUAUGAACAAACGAAAAGAUGAAAUACUAAAAUUGAAGCCUAGAACACAUUGGAAAAACAAAGUGAAUGUCCUGAUUAUAGCGACCAACGGGUAAGAACGGGCAAGAGUGCGCCGAUCGUCAAAUUACAAAUAGAAACAAGUUAAAGAAUCUUGUUUGUGGACUUGAAAUAACUUCCAAAUUGAAAGCUGCCAAAUUGGUUCUUUGGAUACGAAGUUACUGUGACAGGACAGAUAGGUUUUAAAUUUGAAGUUAAAAUUUAGAUUUUCUGUAUACAAAUUAUUUAUUUUAAACGAGGGUUAUAAUGUUGAGAUUAAGAUCUAAAUUUCACAGCUAAUCCCAUAAUAGCUAUAGUUGUUGCGAACCUAUUUUGUUAACCAAGUGAUCCGAACAAACCUGGCUAAUCCAAUAAUAACUAAAACGGUGGAAACAUUAGUACAUUACCUACCAGAUUUUCAACUAGGAGUUUGAUCCAGUUCUGUAAAGAUCACGUGCAUAUAUUUUUGUUUCUGAUGGAUAACGCGGAAAGAAUGCGAAUAUAUGCUUUGUACCUUCUUUAAGUUACAAACCUCUGCCCACAUUCAAUAUCAUAUGUGCAUAUCUCAUGGUUCACUUCUGUGGUGUUUUCUAUCAUGACCUAAAAAAGUGGACCACUAGAUCUAGUUUUCUACUGAUCAAUACUAUUAAAACAGAAACAUGACUUAUUGAUAUAGGUGUUAUCCAACUAUUUUAAUACAAUUAUUAAAAUUUCUUAUUAAUCAUUUAAGAUAAAUAUUAUACAAAGAAAAACAUAUAUAUGACUAAAAACACAAAUAUAAAAAUUAAAUUUCAACAAAAAUAUAAAACAAAAAAUAUACCCGUUUUUUAAGGGUGGAUUAAAAUCUAGUUAAGAUAUAAAAUUGUGUCACAAAAAAUAGAUAUAAAUUAAAUAUGAAAGACUUAAACAAAUACAAUACCAGAGACCAUACAUAUGUUUGUUUUUAAAUGAUGCAUAUUCUGUUUAUGCAAAUAUAUAAUUUAAUUAUAAGGAUAAUCACAGGUUGAUUUAAAAAUGAUAAAUAAUGAUUUAUUAAUCUUGAUUUAAGAUUAAAAACAAAAUUUAUAUGCAUAUUCAUACUGAGUCAUACAAAUAAAUUGUGUGUUCAAUAAAAAGUAAUUGCAACGAUUAUAGAUUGGAACCGUUCAUCCUGAGAUUUGUGUUUUACAAAAUGAGAUUUAUCGUAAAAUAUUUAUUAGUAGAAUUGUUUAUCAAAAUUACAUAUAUCAGUUUUAAGAAAACAUAUAUCAACUGAAUUUGAGUAGGAUUAACUCCAAAUGUUUCCCACCAUAUAACACACGAUUAAAAACUAAAUAAAUAAUGCGAUUCUAGGCGAACACCCACUUCAAGUGUCCAACACAUAUUCCUCUUUUUUUAGUCCAACACAUAUUCCGAAAUCAAAGUGUGUUAGCAAUGCACCGAACGCACUUCGCUCUUCAAAACAGAAUAACCUUUUAAAAAGAAUAUUAUACAUAGACUCCUUUGACCUUUUCUAAGUGGUUCUUCUAUUUGUAAUAAAAGAUUUCAAUUUUGACGAAUAAGGUAACAAGACUAAAGAACCAAUAAGGGUAUCAGCAGAAACAUCAAACAUCAAACAUGUUUGAUGUUUGAUUCUUCCUUGAAAGAGAGUUCCAAAACUUAUAAACUAUAAAAAUUAAAUAUUAGUACUAUUUUGUUUGCUAAAUAUUACUAUAUAUAUAUGUAUAUCAAAAAGUACUACUACUGAAACAUCAACCUUUUAUCAUUUUUAUUUUCUAGCAUGCACCUACUUCUUUAAUUAAAGUAAACUAUUUCAUCUCAAAAGUGGUUGGAUUAUUGUUACUUGAUAAAUAAAAUAUAAAAAUCAUACAAGGUAAUUUAUUUAUUUUCAAAUAAUGAUUAUAAAUGUUCUCAACAGAUGAUACUACAACAUAUUUGCAUUUUAAAAAAUAUUCUGCUAUAGUUUAUAGUGUGUAUAUAUAGACAUGUUGAUCUCUAAGUCUAAUUAACUUUUGUUCUAUUAAAUUAAUAUCGAAAAUCUGAACCCUAAACUCAUUCACUAUUUUUGUAUAUGAAUGUUAAAGAACUUUUCACUUUUUAUUUUUAUUUUUUGCAACUGAAGAACUUUUCACUCUUUCCACCAUAAAUAUUCAAUACCAUAUAUCACAGAUUUAUUUCUUUGCAACUUAUUUUCGAAAGUAUUGUCUUUAUUCAUUGUACUACUUAACUGACGUAAUCAUUCAUUGUAUUUCAUUACAAUUAUAGUAACUAUGCUUAAUGCGUUAGAUUCAAAGAAUCGUAGUUAUCUGUUCUCUUGUUAGUUUUGCAAAUAUGUUUUUAUUUUGUAGCUCCUAUAAUUUAUUAAUUUUUUUCAUUAAGUCUAGUAAUAUAUUUUCAAAUUUAAUUAAUUUUAUUGAUACUAAAAAAGCUCAGAAAAGUUAUUUUUUUCUUUAAAAGUGGCAAGUGCUAAAACAACCUACUCAAGUUGCGUUACACAUUACGUAUCUUUCUCCUCUCACACUCACACACACAAAUAUGGGGAACUAUAUUUUUUUUAUUUUCCAAAUUCUAGAAAAAAUGUUUUAAUUCUUAUAAUUAACAAAAUAAAAUAUUUUAAUAUUUUUUCUCCAAUCCUUUAUAGUUUCAUUUGGCCUUUUCCUUUAUACUUUCACUUCAUCUUCCUAACCUUUCUCCCCAACUUCUCUGUUCAUCGUUUUCUCCUCUUUAUUUAUAAUAAAUAUAAUCACAUAGUAUUCUCUGAAUCCAUCUCUCCAAAAAACACCGUUCAAGAUCAAAUAAAUAAACCAUAUGUUGGUUAUUCAUUCAAUAUUUAGGGUUUAAGGUUUCUUGGGCCGGGGAGGGAUAAAAGAUGGAGAGCUUUUGUGAGUUUCAGAAGGAAGAAGAGCAGAUAGAUCUUCCUCCAGGGUUCAGGUUUCAUCCAACAGAUGAAGAACUCAUAACUCAAUAUCUCCACAAGAAGGUUCUUGACAUCAGCUUCUCAGCUAAAGCUGUUGGUGAAGUUGACUUCAAUAAGUCUGAGCCAUGGGAGUUACCGUGUAUGUUUUCAAUGAUCACCAUAAUGAUCAGAACUGUUCUUUUCUUUGUCCUCUUCUUGAAACAUAACAUUGUUGGGGACUGAUUUUACAGGGAUGGCAAAAAUGGGUGAGAAAGAAUGGUACUUCUUCUGUGUGAGGGACAAAAAAUAUCCAACCGGUUUGAGGACAAACCGGGCUACUGAAGCCGGUUAUUGGAAGGCCACCGGGAAAGAUAAGGAGAUUUACCGAGGUAAAUCACUUGUUGGAAUGAAGAAGACACUUGUAUUCUAUAGAGGAAGAGCUCCUAAAGGUCAGAAAACCAAUUGGGUGAUGCAUGAGUUUAGGCUUGAAGGAAAACUCUCUGCUCAUAAUUUACCUAAAACCGCAAAGGUUUUUUUCUAUCUAAAAGUUCUGUUUCUGCUUUGUUUUUCUCUUUUUCUUUGGUUUAGUAACACUUUUGUUGGAGUUUUCAGAAUGAAUGGGUGAUAUGUAGAGUGUUCCAGAAGACUGCUGGAGGGAAGAAGAUCCCUAUUUCAAGUCUAAUCCGAAUCGGUUCACUUGGAACCGGCUUUAACCCUUCUCCUUUGCCCCAUUUAACCGAUAAUUCGAGUUACAAUGAUAAAACCAAAACAGAACCGGUUUACGUGCCCUGCUUCUCCAACCAAACUGAUCAAGCCCAAGGAAACACACUCAAUGGCUUCAUCAGCCCUGUUCUUAACUCGAUCCAAGCCGACAUUUUCCACAGGAUUCCACUCUACCAAAGCCCGAUGCUCGCUCAAGAACGUUCGGUUCUACAGGCUAUGGUUGAUAACAACACAAGGCAGAGUCUCAAAGCGAUGAGUGUCUCACAAGAAACCGCAGUUUCUACUGACAUGAACACUGAUACUUCGUCGGAUUUUGAAUACGGUAAGAGACGACUCAGUGCUCAAGAAGACCCGUAUUCCUCCACUGGACUGGUUGAUCUUGAACCUUUCUGGAAUUACUGAAGAAGAUUCAGUAGCCUCAUGUCUACGAUUCACUGUCAUGAAAGAACGUAAGAAAACUUUUGACUUUUCCACCUUAUAGUAUGGUGUGUUAAAGUUUGUAUAAUUUUUAACCAUCUCAACUUCCACUAUAUAUUAUACUCUUGAAAAAACUUAAUUUAUGAAUUGGUACAAAUGGGUAUUAUAUAAUAUAAAUGAUGAUAAUAUGCAUAUAUAUGCCCUAAGAGUCUGUAGGAUAAUUUUACCCUUUAAUCACCGUUUUUUUGUGUUUUGAAAUUUGAAGCUGAAGGUCUUAUAGUGUGAAAGUUAAUUCAUAAGAGGCUUACAUUUUAAUAUUACUUGGUGAUAGAAGUCUGCCAAUUUUUGUAAUAACAAUCUAACAUAAAGUAUAUGUGGUGACCGUUCAUACCAUGUAUACUAAUUUUGAAGACAUGCUAUAUUUGUUUUUGAAUGAAAAUAAUAUGCACCCUCCUAUAUUUUAAUUGUAAAUACAGUUCAGAUUAUUAUGGCAUGGCCUUAGUUUGUACUAAAAAUAGUAAUUAUCAUCUGAUUUAUAAGCCGUAGAAUGUGUGGGUGAACUAUUGAAGAAUAAACGAAAUAAACACAGUUCAAAUUAUAUAUACUGUAUAUGUUUAUGCAUCCCCAUCUGGUUUAUUAAAAUAUCGGGAAUGUGUAAAGUGAAACACAAUUUCCAUGAAAAUAAAACCUAAAUUCACGUAACGUAUCAAUUAGUAGAGUUUCAAAAGUAUGUCAUUUCUAAUACUACUAGAAAUAUGUGAGGAGAAAUAGGUAUUUAAGGUUUACCGCUUACGAUAUCAUAUAGUUCUUUUUUUUUGGCAUCAUAAGAAACAUAUAAUUCUACAGGCUUCACUGAAAGUGGAGUGAAGCCAUUAGACACACACACAAAUUCAUUUAAAGUAAAUAACGACACAUAAAACAAGUCUUUGUAACAACGAAAUCUCUUCCAACACUGGAAGCAUGCACCCUUAAUUUUUUUUAUUGCAAAUACUCGUACUCAGAGUCAGUAGAUGGAUACUUAGACUCCUCGGAGCUGAGCUCCUAGUAUCCUUCUCCUUUGCCUUUGCCUUUGCCUUUGCCUUCUCCUUCCUUCUCCUUUGAUGUGUCCUUCUCCUUUUCCUUCAAUGUCUUCUGCUGUUAAAGGGCAUUCUGCGAGACAUAGGCUAUUCCAAAGCCAUAAUGCUCCGACAGAACUAAGUAGCUCCUUUGAUAUCAGGUCAAGACGUGGCUGUGAUAAAAGAAUAUUGAUAUUUUUUCUCCCUUUGCAAAACUCAAGAGCAUGGAGGAUCUCCGGGUGUUCUGAGAUGUCCUCCAUGAUUACCACCAGAUUUAAUGGUUGACGAUGGCCAAUAGCCUUGCCCAUAAAGUCCACGAAAACCUUCUUGCGUCUCUCUUCUUUAGUGCCUGCGUGUCGCAUGGGGAAUGGGAAAUAGAUAUUCCCCAAGACAUCACACAUCUUAAAAGCGUCACAAUAAACAAAGAAUGAUCUUGACAUCAUCAGAUUACGGCAACCCGUAACACGAAUCGAAUAUUCAAUGUUUGAAACAGCAUUAUUAACGGGGAGACCCUCAGGGACCGGGCAUCCAGAGAAGUCCCAGAAGAGGAUUGUUUCGGCCAUGUUGUAGUAAUGGUAUCCUCUUCCAAGAUUGGCAAGUACUUAGGCUGUGCUAAGAUACAGUUGUAUCGUUUCAUUUCCAGUAGAUUAAAAGCGCAUUCGAAGUUGAACUGGGAAUGCCUUGAGAUGUCUCCAAUGAUCCCACCAUGUCCCAGCACACCACUACUUCUGCCGUUCUGAACCGGGCGAUUUCUUUGUCGGUGAAGCGAACCAUGGUUUCCAGGAGACUGUUGCUUUCGCCGCAAAAGAAAAAUCCAAGACGAAUUAACUUAUUUUAGGGUUCCUCUCUGUGGCUGCGUAUAUCACCGAGCGAGAGACGCGAGCCUUUAUAGCUCUGCCCUCACGUGUUCAGGGCCUCAUUUUUUGACGAUAUCAUAUAGUUUAGAAAUGUUUUAUUAUUAAAUAGUCUUAAUAAGAAUAAUAUUUCUAACUAAAUAAUUAAGAAAUGAAAACAGUGCAUAUAUUAUUUUGACAAGAAUAACUAUAUACUAUACUAUAUAUGUAUAAUAAUAGUAGUUAAACUAGUUAGCAUUUUUAGAAAUGUGACAUUAGCAAAAAAAAAAAAAAAACUUUGAAAUGUCGUCUAGUUAACUUUUUCAAUCCCUAUUGGCUAUUGCAUUCGUCAUCACGGAUCUAUUCCGUUAUAAAGCUGUUAUGCGUGAUGCUUGAAAUUUGUGUUUCUAUCUUGUUACGUAGCACAUCUUUUAUUUCAUAUAUAUCUAUAUAUAUAAUAUAUGUCUCAUACAGCUUUAUUAUGGUUGAGAUUUAUAAUUAGUUUACAUGCAUGGUUACACAUUAUUUAUUGUGGUUACUAUUCAACUUUUGUGCUCCUUCCAUACAAUUUUUUUUCGUUUUUUUUUCAUUGAUUAACCAAGUAAAAUAAAAUAAAAGUUAGAACCAUGAUACUCUAUUCAUACUGCAAUACACAACCUGUUAAAUAAACUUAAAUUUUACAAAAAUAAAUAUCCAGAUAUACUACUUAAUUUGAUGAGAAUUUCUUAAGGGCCAUAAAAAUGAUAAGUGGUUUAGGAGUUCUUAUUAAAUACUAGAGAUUUUUUCCGCGCUUCGCGCGGAUUGUGUCUUAUAAAUUUAUAUUAUUUAUAAUAUUAUUUGUCGGUUUUUUCUUUUACAUUAACUUCUUGUCUUUUCAAUGUUAGUUUUUCUUAAUUUAAAUUUAUAUGUUUAUAGUUUUUCAUUUUUCUUGUUGUAGAUGGAGAAUUAUAUUUUUUAUUGAUGGUUUUUUGUAUGUGAUAAACUUUUUGAAAUUUUAAAAUAAUGUUAUAUAUAGUACGAUUAACACAUUAAAGAAGAUAAACAUAUUCAGACACAUUUUACACAGGUUUUAUAUGCAUAAUUUUAAAUAUUAUAUAUGUAUAUAUUGUAAGUUUGAAACAUGUAAAUGCUUUCUAAAGCUAAAUACUUGUUCUAAGUUUACAUAACUUAUCGAAAGUUUUAUCUCUUUUUAAAUUCAAAUCACAGAAAAAAAUAUCAAAAAGUCAGUAUAUAUGGGUUUUUGGGCUUUUAAAUCAAUACUGAAAAAUUACAUGAAUCAGAUAACAACAGUUUUGUAAACAACUAUAAAAUUUGACCGAGCCAAAGAUUUUCACACAGUAUGUUAUUUAUUCUUCAAAUUGCGAAGAGUCUAUAGGCACAAGAAAAAAAAAAUCAUAAUUUUUGUUUUCACUUAUAUAACAUUUUUCCUCCUUUACACACGGAGUUUAUUACACUGCUAUAAGCAAUGGAGAAACAAGUUGUUUUGCGAAAAGAAAGUUAAGAAUAUGUUUUAAACAUCCGCAAAAAAAGUUAUAAAUUCAAGAAAAGUUAGAAGGAUAAACGCAAUCUAAAUGCUUGGAUGAGAUUCGAUGCGAACAUCGUGAAAGGAUAAUGAUAAGUUUUAGUCUGCGAGAUAAACUAUGAUCAUAAACAAAAUGAAAUGGACAUGUUACGACCGAUGAGAUUGGAUGUUAAGCAGAUCAGUUGUUCUUUUUUUUGCUUCCAAGUAUAUAUAGUAGAUUGAUGCAUAGAAGAGCAAGUGGAGAACAUUCUGAAAUGAGUUUUGAGGCUUAAGGCUUGCAUUGUUCAUAGAGAUCAGCCAUAUGCUAAGGAAGUUAUAGUAGAAAAACUUAUUCGGAAAAACGAUGCGUGCACCAUAUGAUUUUGCCCCAAGGGACAUUAAAAUAACUACAAUGAACCAAGACAAAGUGAAGAAUAUUGUGGGAUUAUCUUAACUUGGUUAACAUAUAGAAGCAUCUAGAACGAGGAUCUUAGUGAUUUAAUUUGGUUUUCUAUAAUCAAGGAUUCCUCUCUAUAUGCUACAAUCCAAACUGGUCCUCACUAAAUUGUAGAUGCGCAGCUUUUUUCUUCCAAAGAUAUGGUGGUGUUGGUGUUGGUAUCGGCAUUUAGUUGAAUAGUGAAUUAUGACCCGUGGAAUCAAUAAACACGUCAUGGCCUACUUGGGUGGGUUUCCAAAUUUAUGGUGUGAUUACAUCAUCUAGCUUCUUUUUUUUUGUCAGCCAUCAUCUAGCUCAAUGUCAAGAACGAGAGAUGGUGAAAUAUAACGUGUGCCCAAAAAUAUGCCGAUCAGCAGAUGAAAUCUUAUGUAAUAUAAUUAUGCAUGGGUAAGACGCGGAUGACUGGAUGAGAUACCUAGUUAUAUAUACAUAGAAAGUAAGCCUACAUAUUCGUGUGAUGAAACAUCAUAAUACAAAACAAAAUUUGGAAGGAGGAGGGAAACCUAGUACAUAUAUGUAUACAUAACUUAAAACACCGUGCAACUACUCCAAUCACAGAUUAAAGCCUUAGAACCGAUCAUCAAGGUGGAUUCCAAACUAAUUAACCCCAAAGAGGAAAAAAGAGAAUCAAGUAAACAAGAAGUUACAAGUUUUUGUUAAAAGAAAUGAGAAUAUAGAGAAUGGAUGAAUUGAGGGUGUUCAAAAAAAAAAGGAAGGGAAAUGAGAAUAUGUGAGGGGUGGUAAGAGACGAACAAUAAUGGAAAAACAAAAAAAGUGGCAAACAAAAUAGGACCACGUCGAAAAUAACGAGUGGUGUUACAGUAUCCCUUCAAUUCUCAAUGAUCAAGACAAUUUUGUCCAAAACAAAAUGAUCAAGACAAUAAUGUCUAUCACUUUUCCACUUCACUAUAUCUACAGUAUCCAUGACCCAACUGUUUCUUAUUUAUUUUCUUCUUUUGUGUUUAUAAAAUUAGAUUUAUUAAUUUCCAGAUAUAUCUAAUAAAUAACUUGAUUUAGAUUCCGAUUGGUGACACAUAGUAUUAACAUUGAGUUGUAAUAUGUAUUAUAACUUAAUAUAAUUUAGAGUAAAAAUUAUGUGGUAAAAAUAUAGAUUUAUGUAGUAUGUUUGCAGUAAAAAUAUGAGUUAUUAUUUUUAUUAAAAUAAAUGAUUGAUAAAAUUUACGGUGUAGAAGUUGCAGUAUAUUUUUAUACAAUUUAAAUUAAUUAAAAUAUAAAUAUUAAGUAGGUAUUGGAAAAUAAAUAAUAACUAAAAUAAUUAAACAAUUAUUAUUACUUAUUACUAUGUAUGCAAUUUUAAUAAUUGAAAAUAAGCUACAUAAUGCAUUAAUUUCAAAAUUAUAGUUAUAAGUAAUACUAUUUAUUAUAAUAUCAAUAUUAAAAUAAAUUACACAAUUAUUAAUAACUUCAUUUUAAAAUUAAAAAUUAAUAGUAAAAAAUAGUGUGCAUUCCAAAUCACAUUUGAAAUUUCAUUUUGCAUAUUGAAUUAUGCAGUAUCGACUAUAUAUUUAUAUUCUUGAUAUAUAUAUAAGCCAUACAAUUAUGUUUUGAACAAAAUUUGGUUCUUGGGUAAAUCAAAUCAUCUUAUUUUUUCAUGAUAUCAUAAGAAUAACCACCUACUAUCAUUUUAAUAUAAACGAUAUGUUGCAUAGUACUUUUCAUUAGUGCUAAUCCUUCUUUUUGUGCUAGAAAUGCUUGAAAAUAAAUAUGUAUAGCUAAAUGUAGUAAUAUAUACAGCAUCAAUUUGCAAAUAUUCUUCUUGUUAGAAAAUAAUUGCGAGCUAGUUUAAACAAAUUGAUCUAUUUAAAUAAUUAAUAAUUCGCGUACCAAAAUAUCUAUCAUAAUCAACAUUGUCAGUAUGUACGUGUGUAUAUAUAGAAGAGAAUAGCUCUUAAGCUCACCACCAUCACACAAUUCAUUGCUCUUCUUCACAAGUUUCUUUAGUCUAAUCUUAUAGUGUUAUAAAAAUACAUAUUUCAAGGAUAUAUAGAAAGCAAAAAUUCAAAGUCUACUUGAAAAACAUGAAAACACCUAGCAGCUCUGUGGGCAAGACCCAAGAGCGCUUCUCGAUUAGUCUCAUAUUCAGAUGUAUCAGAGUUCUCAUUAACAGAUCUAUUUCUUUCUUACCUUUUUAGAAUAUUUCCUUUCUGAUUUUAGUUUCCCAAUAUAGUAUUUCCUUUGGUGUUGUUUGAACCUUUAACACAUUAGUGUUCAUAUAUAUAUAUCGGAGAAAAUGUCAAGAAAGCCAUGUUGUGUCGGAGAAGGGUUGAAGAAAGGUGCAUGGACCACCGAGGAAGACAAGACGCUCAUCUCUUACAUUCACGAACAUGGAGAAGGUGGCUGGCGCGACAUUCCCCAAAAAGCUGGUUAGUAUAUAUAUAGUAUACACAGGCAUGUAUAAUUAGUAUUUAUUGUAUAAUAUUUUGAUGAGAAUAUGGUGUUUAAUUAGGGUUGAAAAGGUGUGGAAAGAGUUGUAGACUGCGAUGGACUAACUACCUAAAACCUGAGAUCAAAAGAGGCGAGUUUAGUUCAGAGGAGGAACAGAUUAUCAUCAUGCUCCAUGCUGCUCGUGGCAACAAGUACGUUUAUUUUUAACAAAAAGGACUAUUAUAUGUUUUUUAUGUGCGUAUGAAUCCUCCGGUAAUCAUCAUUCUAGUUGUCUCUUUUUUUUUUAUUACCGCAAACAAAUUUUAUUAGUAAAAAAUUUAAAUUACAAAGUCCAUAUUCAAAACACACAAAAUGUUAUAUAAUCUAUAUAUACAUCAUAUAUUAAAAAGUACAACAUGAUAAAUAAAUUUAACGAUGCUUCUAAAGUGAAGUUUUACUUCGAAAAAAUUUAUUCGUUAUUUUUUCCAAUGUAUUUGACAAUUCUCUGAUGCAAAAUAUGUGUUUGGUUAGCACACAUCAUUUAGUCUAUAUUCCAUAAAAAAACUUCAAAAUAAAUUUUAUUAACUGUGGUCUUCCAUCUUAUCUCUUUCACUAUUCUUGUCUUUAGGUGGUCGGUCAUAGCGAGACAUUUACCUAGAAGAACCGACAAUGAGAUCAAGAAUUACUGGAACACGCAUCUCAAAAAACGUCUGAUCGAACAGGGUAUUGACCCCGUGACUCACAAGCCACUAGCUUCUAAUACUAGCCCUACUGCCACCACCACGCAGCCUGGGAACUUGCAUUCUCUAGAUGCAUCUAGUUCCGACAAACGAUACUCCCGGUCAAGCUCAAUGCCUUCCAUGUCUCGUCCUCUUUCCUCCGGUUUCAACCCAUCUUCCGAGAUCACCACACCAGUUCAGGGAGGUUCCUUGAGUUGCAAGAAAAGUAUUAAGAAAUCGAACUCUACAUCAAGGCUUUUAAACAAAGUUGCGGCUAAGGCCACUUCCAUCAAAGAUAUCUUGAAUGCUACUACAAUACCAUAUGAAAGCUUUUCCAAUGGCUUCCCUGAGCAGACUCGCAAUGAAGAAGAUAGUUCCAAUGCUCUCGCUGACUUCGAUCCCUUUUCUCAAUCAUUGUUGUACACUGAUCACGAGAUACAUGCUACUUCUGAUCUCGAUAUGGAUCAGGGUUACGAUUUCUCAUAUUUUCUCGAGACACUCGGGAGAGAUGAGCACAACAUGAAUGUCGAUCAGUAUGGUCAUGAUCUUCCUAUGUCAGAUGUGUCACAAGACGUCGUCUCAUCAACUAGCGUUGAUGAUCAAGACAAUAUGACUGGAAACUUCGAGGGUUGGUCAAAUUAUCUUCUUGACCAUGCUGGUUUGAUAUAUGACGACACUGAAUAUGAUUUCUUCGAUAAGCAAAUCAUAUGAAUCUUUUUAUAUUCGAACUGAACGGUUUCAAACUAUUUGAAACUUUCCUGAACGAGAAGUUAUGUAUGUAUUUGUCAUUUGGAUUGUUAAGUAUAUGCCCGAGAAGGCGAGAACUCAUGUUUAUUAAUCCGUAGGGUUUGUAUGACGUUAAAUCAGGGUUAAUGUUAGGUCACCGCAAGAAAUAAGAAAAUAGUACUCGAGCUAGGGUUUCUCUUACACUGAGAACCACCGUGCAUGCCUCACGGAUCAAUUGGUAGUUGAUUAGGGCCAGUCACAAUGUUUCAUAAUAUUUAUUGCAAUAAAGGUUGUUUUAUACACAGUUCCACAAAAAUGCAUGUUUAAAAUUUUUCACACAUUAAUAAAACAUAUUGUAAUUAAUUUCAGUAUUAAUAUAUACUUUUGUGAUUAUCUAUUUUAUAUAAUCCUAAACCAAUGAAAAUUUAGUAAAUGUAAUUAAUUUUUGAAAUAAAUUAUUUUUAUAAAACAAACAUCUUUAUGAAACGGAGAUAAUAUUUUUUUUAUAGUACACAUUAUCAGUAUUCUUUUGCUAAAAGUUAAAGUCGAUUCUAAUCAUCAGUCAUGCUCUUCUUUAUGAUUAUAUCAGUGUUUCCAACUUUCCAUGGCAUGAAGUUGGUGGUAUCUUUCGUUGGAUUGGAAACUGACCACACGAAAAAGACGUUUCAAUAGAAAAUGUACAUGUGGUCCAUAAGCAAGUAAAUGAAAGCUAAAGAUCAAGAUGGGAAACAGAUAAUCGGAAGUGUGAGCCGAUAAAUCUUAAUCAUAUAACUUUUAAUAUAAUAUAUAGUAUUUGUGUGAAAAUUUCAAGACUGCUAUUAUACAACAAAAUCACCCCAAGUUUUUUUUUUUUUCUUAAAGCAAAAGCACCUCAUUAGCUAUAAUUCUUCGAUUUAUAGUUUUCAUUUUUCCUAUAUGAUUUUCCAUUUCCUUGUUUCAGUAUAUACACAAACUAUUUCAAUAUAUAUAUAUAACUUACCAUGAAAAUAUAGGUUCAAUUCACGCUGGGAUAAACUAUUUACAAUGCUUGGAUUUAUGGCAAAGAGGUGAAACCAUCUUUUUUUGCACAAAAAAGAAAAACUUAACAUGAAAAUACCUUAACCCUUAGAAACACAAAUCAUUUAGUGAAGUCUUACUCUCCUUCCGUAAAUGACCCCCCCGGCCCUCAGUGAUUUUUAUAGUGAUUUAUAAAAAUGCAGUAGGAUCUAAACAAAGUGACACGGAACUACGCAAUUUACACGACCAAUGUCAUCCAUCACGCACUCGAUCAUUCGUCCGAAGUGUUGCUUGCGUCGACGAUCGCCUCUUUCAAUUGUCUCUACUUUUUUUUUCUUUUAUGAGUUUAUCCCACUCCUCUUGAUAUGAUAGUCUCACCCUCGUCCAUGAAUAUUCGUUACUGUAAAUUAUAAACAACUUUUGUAUUAGUUAGAUUAUUUUAUUUAUGAAUUUCCUAUCCAAUUUUAUAUGUCACCAUAACCUUUACGUACCUUCUUUGUCAUUUUUCUUACAAAGACCUUAUUUAUCGAAAUAUUGAGAAUAAAUUAUAGUAACACACGAAUGAAAGCAAUACAACUAUGCAUGUUAUCAGUUAUAUUUAGAAUGCAUUACUAAUAAUUUAAUUUAAUAACUUGUUGCAAUUCCAACCAUUUUAAGCCUAUUUUAGUAGUUUCUUGGCCGGUUUUGUUAUUUUUUCUUAAAGAGUAUUUAAUUUAAGUAUAAUCGGUUACAAGAUACGACAAUUAUACUGCUAAAGUUUGCAUGAAUAUUUUCAUAAUAUUUGGAACCUUUUUUAGCCUACAUAAAAGUAAAAAAAAAAAAAAAAAAACUUAGGGAAAAUUUUAAACAAACAAAACAACGUGAAAUGAUCGGUUUUGUUUAUCUGUUUUGGAUAUGGCUUUGAGUUGCUAGCAUUAGUUAAUUAGUUUGAGGUUUUGCUCUUGUGGUGUUCAGUUUAGUUAACUUUGGUCUAAACAGGUGUUUUCAUCAUCUCUAAAUUUUUAAAAUGUGUGAACUGUUAUAAAAUAUGUUGUUGUAGUUCUUAUGUAAUCUGAAAUAUUUUCAGCCUCCAAAUAAAUAAGCUCUCUCUUCACAUGUGAAUCAUAAAUAAUAGGGCAAAGAUUUUUAACGGAACCCAACUUGUCUAACCAAAAUUUUUGGUGAUUUUCGGUUAGUUUGGUUUUCUAAAAAAACAUUUGUUGCUACUUUAUCACAUUUAUUCAUCGCAUCCAAGUUUUUUUGCGCACUUAUUUUCCUCUUUCUACCCUCAAACUAAAUCAAUUAAAAAUCUAACUCAUGUAGAUCCACCCGCGUUGGACUUAACUGCAAGGCCGCUCCUGGACUAAAACCCGUAAAACCAGAAUAUUAGGCUCCAAACCUUCUAGAUAAUUUAGGAGCACCAAAUCUGAACAAUUUAUUACCUUAAUCUAAUGGUUUAUUUCCUUCUCAUCAAGUCCUACAGUUGAUGUAUUUGAUUCACUCUCUCUUUUAGUACUACUUUUCUUUUAGUUUCUUACUUUUUCUAACAAAGUUAGUCUCUCUAUCACAUACAUUAAAUAAAUCAUUUAAUUAAGCAAACCUUAGUUAUAUUUCAAAGUAGACGUUCUUCUUCCUAUUUUGUUUUCAGUUCUUUUUCUUCGGAGAAUAACUUAUUAAUGAUCAAAGUAAUCAUUUGUUUUCUAUUUUAUUUUUUGAUAAAUAGUUACGUACAAGACAUUUAUUAUAACAAGCGAUUUAAAUUACCAGUUGCUUAACUUCUACACUUUUCUUAACAAAAGAAAAUUGAUGUUGAUGUUAAUGUAAUUUUAUUAUAUGUUGCUAUAUUAUAUAACUUUUAUUUUUAUUUACAGAAAAUGUUACAAAAAUAAGAUUAGUAACCAACCUGGAUUAUAUAUUUUAGUUAUUCAAAGUUCAUGAAUACAAACAUUAUUUUCAUGAAUACUAUGAUUUAAAGCUCUUUGAAUUUUCUUUCAUUUUGUUAACAAAUUAGGAUUUAAUAGUAUAUUGCAUUAUUUUGAUUACAUACCUAAAAAUGCAGUUUAAAAUUUAGUUAUAUUUAAGGGCAUAAGUUUUUUGUCUGCUUUAGGCGCCACGUAAGUUCGGACCGGCACUGUCUAGCUAGCUGUAUGUUUCAUUUUCGGAUUAUUUAUUUUACCUAAAUACUAUUUUGUUUUUUAUUUUCGGAUUUUUUUUAUUUUCGUUUACCAACACAUUUUUGCAGUUCUUUUUAUUAAUUUUCUAAUUUGAAUGAUAGAGAACCAUCCAAAAAUUAUAUUAUAUAUAUUCAACCAUCAUGUUUGAAUGAAUCAUUUAUUAAUGGGCUCUAAUAGGCCCACAUUUAUUUUGUACGUUUAUAAAUCAUUUAUUACUGGGCUAACCCCAAUAGGCCCACAUUUGUUUUGUACGUUCAGAUGAAUAUACAAGUCAGCAGUACAUAGCCAACCGUUUGUGAUAACCCUGCACUGGAUCAGAAGAUGAAGAAGGCGUUGUCCACGAGACCGUAAUCACACGUGGCGAAACAGUAGAAAAUUGCAAGAUUUUUGCCGUAAAAAAAAAACAACAACAACUUUCUUGGAGGAGGAAGAGUCAAAAGAGAGAUAGAACGAUUUGGUGGGAGGUUUCUCUUCAGUACUAACCUUAAAAAGUUAAAACCCACCAACAAACUCUUUUGGGUUUCUGUCUGAAAGAAAAGAAGACAUGUCGUUGUGUUGUUCAUCAACCCAACAAGUCAAUGGGUUCGGUCUCAGGCCUCAAAGGUCGCUCCUUUACCAACAACCCACUUCCUUUUUCUUUCUCCAGGUACUUAAAAGUGAAUGCCUUUCAUGAGUUUGUGGAUAUGAUUGGGAGAGUAAACGUUAUCAUUUGAAAAAGAAUCAGUCUUUCUUGCAUUAACUGUUAUCCUCAAAGUCACACACUUUGGUAAUCUAAACGUUUUGUUCAGAAGGAGAGCUCAUGGCGUUGUGAAGGCAUCAGCUCGUGUUGAUAAGUUUUCCAAAAGUGACAUCAUUGUCUCUCCUUCGAUCCUCUCUGCCAAUUUCGCCAAACUAGGAGAGCAGGUUAAAGCAGUAGAGUUGGCAGGUUGUGAUUGGAUCCACGUUGAUGUGAUGGACGGUCGUUUUGUGCGCCAUAGAAAUCUCUGGAUUGUGAAUCUUUUUGUGAGUUGUGUAAUAGGUUAUUGAAGCUGGAGCCAAUGCUUUAGUAGCUGGAUCAGCUGUAUUUGGAGCUAAAGACUAUGCAGAAGGUAUAGACUUUGGAAAGUUAUAUAUAAAUUUGCUCAGUUUAUGGGAGAAUAAUCUUUUUGUUUGUUUUGAAAAAAUCUACAGCUAUAAAAGGAAUCAAGACCAGCAAGAAACCAGAAGCUGUGGCUGUGUAAUGUUGAAGCAACAAGCUAAAAAAAUACUCUGUUAUAAUCUUAGGUUGGUUGGUUUCGCCUUAACUGAAUAUCUAUGUUAGUAUCUUAAGACUUGGCUUGCGAUGCACAUGUUUGAUCUGAACUGCAGUAACUCUUGUUUCAGGAUAAACUAAAAGGGUCCAGAUGUUGUUGUUUUUGCCAUUCAACAGAGGUACUCUACAGUUUCAAAAUAGUUCAUAUAUACUUGUGUACCAUUGUCUUGUAGAUUGGGGAUCUGCAGAUUCCAUACAUUGUGCAAUGAAACACUGUAAUAGUUAAUAAACUGGUGCAUUAUGUAUUUUUGUUUUUGGGAAAAUAAAGCAUGGUCACUUGUAUACAUAACUCUGAUCACUUAGCUUCCUCUUCUGUAAGAACAUGAUCAUAAACAUCUCCUAUAUAUUAAUUGUGAAAUAUUACAACUUCUUUUUGUAAACAUAUGUCAUCACUAGGAUGAUUCUUAGAAUCCUUAGAUAAAUAGGUUGGUCCAUCUGAUUAUAUAAUAAGUUUUUUAUUAUCUAAUCAUAAAUUCAUUAUUAAUGUUGUUUAUUAUUUCCUUAAAUAAAAGUUACGGAAUUUCCUAAUGUGUCUAAAGUAUAUAUGACAAUUAAUGAUUCUGAAUAAUAAAGAUUGGAUAAAAAAUAAUGUAUCUUAUAUCAUAUUUGUUUAAUUUUAAUCUAUUAAAAUAAAUUAAACAACCACAUUAACCAUAUAAUAAAAAUUCAGAUUUUUUUUAUAAGUUAUAUUUUGAAUUUUUAAAAACGAUUAUAAAUUACUAAAACCAUUACAAGAUAUAUAUAUAUAUACCAUAUAUCUUUUAAAAUUAAACUAUAUACCAUAUAAAACACAUAAAUAUUUUAAUUUCGAAAUUUACUUUGAACAAUUUCUUUUGAUAAAAUAUUUGAACAAACAUUAACAACUUAAUUUUUUUUAAAAAUAUUAAUUACUAAAACUAUUAAUCCACAUUCCACAAUGAAAAUUUUGUUAGUAGUAAUUUAAAAUUUUUGCUAUAAAAUAUACAAAUGAGAAAAAAAAAACAUAUGAGUAAAAAGCAUCAUUUAGUAGACAAUAAUAUUAAAAAUAUACUAUAUAUGUUAAUAUCUUUUAAAUUUAAUUAUAUAUCAUUUUAAAUAAAAAAAUUGUUUGGAUUCAUAAAAUUUAUGUUCUCACCAAUUUAAUUAUAUAUGUAAUAGUUACUGAAUUUUUAAUUAUUCAAUAUAUAUUUAUUAUUUCAUAAUAUGUAAAAAAUAUAUAAUAUCUAAAAUAAUUUAUAUAUAAUGUUCAUCCCGCGCAAGGUGCAGAUCUUAACCUAGUUAGUUAGUUAUUCUAAUGGAACUCAACAAUUGAUGGAUCACGCAUGAAUUAUUUUGUAUCUGCCAUUAAUUAAAAAAAUGGAUAGUAGAUAACAAGAAACGAUAGAAAUAGAGAAUCAUAAACAAGAAACAAAACAAAACUCACACAAUUUAAUGAAAAACUCUCUAGCCACCAAGUCCAAGUCAUUAACUCUGCAAACCAAAUGCAUGCCACAAUUGCAUCAUAAAAAAGCAUAAUGUACAAUAGAAACUUCAUAAAUUAAUCCUAAUCAACAUGAUAAAUAAAUAAUUUUUAGCAGUCGCAAGUUUUUCGGUGUAAAAUAUGACACAAUUUGAUAAGAUAAUUUGAUAAGAUAAUAAAUUAAUGAUUAAUUGUAUACAACAAUUAUAAAUAUAAAAAACAUUGUACAAUUUAUUUAUCCACAUUAAAUUCUAUCUUUAAUUUUUCUAAAUAUAUUGAUGUUAUUUUGUCAUUUUAAAUCUAAAAAUAUUCAUUUACAUUGACAGCACAUAUUUUUUAUACACCAAAAAUUCGAAUAAGAAUAACAUAAAAUUUGUAUAUGUAAAAUUUAAUCAAUACAAUUACCAUAAAAUUAAGUUUUUUUUUUUAAUUUUACAUAAAAACAUAAUUCAAAAUAUAUAAAUAUAAAAAAAAAAAAAAUUUCUGUAAAUUAAUAACUCUAUAAAAUAAUAAAUUAUCAAAGUCCCGACAUUAUUAAUUUAUAGAGUUUUUACUGUAUUUCAUGUUAUUGUAUGAAAAUAUAUAUUAUGUAUACAAUGUCAUAAACUUUAAAUAAUAAUUAAAAACAUUAAAAAUAUAAUUUUUAACUUCAAAUAGUUUGAAAAUAUAAAAUCUAAAAACUAUUUGUAAUAGCAUGAAAUUUAGUGAUAAUUCAACAAUAUUAAUUUAAGUCAUCAAAAAUAUAUAUUAAUUUAAGUCAUAAAAUGUUUAGAAAACCGGCUCACAAUAAACUUAAUUUUGGUGCAAAUUAAUUAUCAAUCGUAAAGUUUCCAUAAAUUUGGUGUAAAAAUAACUUAUGAAUAUGUAGUAAUAACAAAUGUUUGUGGAAUUGUAUAUGUAAUUAUCACAUUAACUUCUCCAACCAAUAUUAGACAUCUUCUUCGGCCUCUUCUUAUUUUUUCGUUAUCAUUUUGUUCUUAUUAUCAAAUUUUUGCUAAUGUUUUUCUAUCUUUUUAUAUUUUUGUCAAAUAUUUAUUUCUCUCUCUAAAUAAUAAUGCAAACUAUACAAUCAAUGAACCAAAGAGCAUCCUUUGCCAUGAACCUCUACUUCCGACGGUUCAGAAAAACAGAAACCAGCUGCUACUUCCAUGGAACCGCUCUCAUCAUCCAGGAGAACCCUGGCUCGCCUUUCUGUGAAUUCAAAGAAAUUUGCGGCGGUGGUAGUGGCGUUCGUGUCGGAUUGAUCCUCACCCUUAUUGGAGCUCUCCUCGUGAUCGUAGUUCUACUCGUCUUUUUCUGUGUUACAAAGAGGCUGCUGCCGUCUUAGUGUCUUCUUCGUCUCACUGGGGAAAUUUUUUUUUUUUGUAUGGAAAGUUACUGUGUUAAAGUUUGGUAAUAAAAACGUCACUAUUUUGCAUUGUUAUAUGAACUCGGUUUCUAGUUAAAUUUUUGUUAAUAGUUUAUCAAUUAUCAAAUGGCAAAUGACGCUCUUUGGUUCAUUGAUUGUAUGGUUUGUAUUACUAUUUAAAGAGAGAAAAUAAAUAUUUGGCAAAAAAAUAUAUAAAAAUUAGCAAAACAUUAGCAAAAAAUUUAAUAAAAAGAACGAAAUAAUAACGAGAAAAAUAAGAAGAGGCCAAAGAAGAUGCAUAAUAUGUGUUGGAGAAGUUAAUGUGAUAAUUACAUAUUUAUAAUUCCACCAGCAUUUGUUAUUACUAAGUAUUCACCAAUUAUUUUAUAUCAAAUUUAUAGAAACUUUACGACUGAUUUUUAAACUAUUUGAAGUUAAAAAAAAAUAUAUAUUUAUUUAAUAUAAUUCAAAAUUUAUGGUAUUGUAUACAUAUAUAUAUAUAUAUAUUCAUACAAUAUUUAUAGCCAACCUAGUUAUGAUAAAGGCAUAAGCCUAGCACCAUUUUUUCAAUAUAGAAAUUAGCUUACUCUUUUAAGCUCUUAUCAUCAUUCAAUUUCUUGAAAGCUAAGCCUUCCAAAUUCCUCAAACCUAUAAUUAUUAUGCUUUCAGUUGAAUACUAAUACAUAGAAUCAUUCUCCCACAAUUCAAUAUGUGGUUAUAAUAUAUGCAAUGGAGGGUAUUGUAAGCAUCCAAAUCCAAUUGCAUCACUAAGCAUAUCACACAAGCAAAAGACUUUUCUAGUUAUUGUAUCAAAAUAUUAGAUUCAUAUAUAUAUGUCACAACAACAUUACCUAAGAAACAAAUAUACAUUAUCUAUCUUAUUAAAACUCAAGUACAAAAUUGGAGUGUUUGUAGACUUGAAUAGGACUUUUAAAAAUUUGGAGUGUUUGGAAACAUGGAUUGCAGUCUUUUAAAAAAAAAUAUUUUUGUUUGAAAACAAGGAUAGUAGUAUUAAGAAAAAAAGUAAUGGGCUUAUGUUUUUUUAAAAAAUUGAAAGUUAUCUAGGCCACUUUUAAAAUAUACCAAAAUGGGUCAAUCUAAUUCCCUAAAAAAAAUUUUUCUAAACUAACCAUAAAACAAAAUUUAAACUUUAUAUACAUAUUUCAAAUCAAAAUAAUAAUUCAAAUUUGAUUUAUAUCAAAAAUUGAUUCAAAAAUAUACAUAUAUUCAAAAAUGGAUUUUUACUAAACUAUUUUUCAAUAACCAUUAUAAAAAAAUAUUGUCAAUAUAUAUAAGAAAAAUAUAAUACAAAGCCCAAUUUGAAAUACCAACUCAAAUUAUGGUUUUCAUAUUUCAUAUUAAGUUUUAAAAAUAUAAUAUAUGUAAUUAUUUAUAUGAUGGUAUGUAUAAAAUACUAUUAAUUAUAUGAUUACUUAUAUGAUGGUACAUAUAAAAUACGAUUAAUUAUAUGAUGAUAAAAUACGAUAUAUAAUAAUGACUAGGGAUGGGCUUUUGAAUCACAUAUGUCAUAAUACUUAAACUUAACAUAUCAAUUGGCUUGAUUUAAAAUUUUGGAAACGAAAUCAAUAAUUAUUUUAAGUAUUUUUGGUGAUUUGAGUAUACUUUAACUAUUUCAGAUAUUUACUUUUGACUAUCUAUAUAUAUUUUCAAGUAUUUAAACCAAUUUAAAAGUAUCAUUUUUGAUGUUUUAUAUACGUUAAAUCUAAAAAUAAUUAAUAUAUAUAAGUAUAUAAAUCUAUUUUUAGAUAAAUUCGGAUACCUAAAUACUUCGGUUCGGAUCAGAUUCGGUUCUCUAAAUAACAAAAUUUUGAAUAAUUAGAAUAUUUAAUCAAUUUAUGUUUGGGUUUGGUACUAUAUCUUUGGAUCGAUAUCGGUUAUGUUCCUCGGAUUCAUUUUUUCAAAUCCUAAUAAUUACAUGAAAAACAAAUAUCAACAUAUUUUUCAAAAUAUACACCCGCGCGCCUGCGCGGGUCAAAAUCUAGUUCCCAAUUAAACUUGACAAGGAAACGUUAUGUAUAAUACAUGAUUUGUAUUCUACUCACAAGAAAAUAUCAUUUCCAUUGCUUUUUUGUGGCUUUAGAAGAAAAAUAAAAUCUUAUUUUAUUAAUUCCUCUAAACAACUCCUUAUCACCAGGAAAAAUCCCUUGGCCUCUCUUUAUUCCGUUCUUUAACAUCCAUCCAACCCACAAUUAAUUCAAAAAUAUAAUGAUAAUUAUUAUUAUAUGAUAAAUUAUAUAAGGACCUUAUUUGAGAAAACUCAUUCAAGAUUUGGUGGAUCACUCAAGAACACAUCUUCAAAGAAAAAGAUUGCAAAAACUAGAAUGAAGAAGACAAUGGAAGAUUCAAGCAAGAUCAUGAGAAGAUCAAUCCACACUUUCCUCCAAAACUACCACCAUGCCACCACCGCAGCCGCCAUUGCCCUCCCUUUCUCUGCCGCUCUCCUCCUCUCUCAAGCCUUCUUCUCCUCCUCUUCCUCCUCCUCAUUUCACUUGAGGUUAAACACACUCUUCCACGGAGCGGGUUUCACUUCUUCACUUUACUUCUUCAACAUGUUAAGCCUUAAACUCUCACAAACACUUUCUUCCUCUUUGCUCACUCUCCUUUUCUCCCUCACUUUCCUCCUCUUCUCCAAAGCUUACGUCAUCAAACUCCUUUCAAACAACCACGACUCUUUUUGUUAUUACCUUCCUCUUCUCAGAACUUACGUUUGCAACUCUCUCUUCCUCCUCUCAGCAAACGCCUCUGCUUUUGCUCUGUGCUUCUUCAUAGCAUCCUUUGGAUUCUAUUCAAGAAGCUUCUACACUCUAUUCUCCUUAGCCUCAGCCAUUAUCUACUCGAUCAUCCUCGCAAACGCCUAUGUCAUCACCAACCUAGCCUUGGUUUCAUCAACAUCCUCUCCCUCCUCAGGAGGAUACACAACAACACUUCUCAAGGCGUGUCUUCUCAUUCGUGGAAGAGCUUCAACAGCAUUGGCACUUGCUCUGCCUACUAAUCUCGGCUUAGCAGGAGUGGAAGCCUUGUUUCAGUACAGAGUAGGGAGGUCUUAUUACAAAGAGGACAGAGGUAUCACCUCGAUAGCUGUAGAAGGAAUGUUAAUAGCUUACUUAUACGCUCUCUUCUUGGUUCUUGACACUAUAGUCAGCUUCCUCUUUUACCAAAGCUGCCUCAAGAACGAUGAGGAUCAGAAGAAAGGUAGAGAAGAUGAGUAUACGAUCAAGAUCCAAAUAUGUGGAACAGAUGACAUGAAGAUAUGCAUCAAAGGUCCAAAAUGUUUCCAAGAAAUCUUGUGAAUUUCGUGUUUUGGUUUGAUGUCAAUUAUUGAUAAAGAACCAAGAAAGGAGGUGACAAACUUUUUAAAGAUUAACGAUUUUUUAAAGGAUAAUUUCUCAAGUAGCUUUCACUUCAAUCAAUUACAUGAUCAGUAUAAUUCUCUUAUUGAUCUGAUUUUAAUUUAUUUUCUUAUAAUGUAAAGUCGUAUAUAUACAAACAAAACUAUAGUUAAUGUCAAUCUUGAAAUUCACAUUUGAUUAUUCCUACAAUGGAAUUUCAUUGCCGACAUAAUGUGUGUAUAUUCCUUCAAUGAUUUAAUUACUUCCUUUAGUUGACGAAUAUGUUGAGCAGAUUCACAUUAAGACAGGGAAUGUUUUGUUGUGGAGCAUAUAUAAGUCCAAGCACAAUCUUUCAUUACAAAGAUAGAAGAAGAAGAUGUCACAUUUAUAUUGAAACUGACAAAAGAUCAAUAUAAGUUUUGUCUUUUUGUCCUUUGAAUUAAAAUAAUCUUAAAAUCAUUUUAUGUUAGUGAUCGUGUUUACACUAAAAAGGACAAAAGCUAGUGAGUGGUCCCUAUCACUAAUCUCUCUACUUGAAGUUAAGUUUCUUUUGAACUGACAGUGAACUGUUUGGAACAAAAGCAAAGUUCUCUAAGACAACAUAUCUAAUUUUCUUAUAAUGGAGAGAAUCUGAACAAACCAAUUUACUUUUUUUAUGAGCUGAAAAGAUUCAGGCUAGAAUUAAAAAUGGUUGUAGAGCAUUUUAUGAAAUGGUGUCUUAGCUCAAAAGGAAUGAAGAAACAACUAAAACUGUAAAUGUUAAACAUAAGAGGCGACAGAUGAAAUAAAAACCAAUGAGUCAUUUUAUUAAUUUCUUGUCAAGAUUGCAAAUUUUUUUUUUUUUUUGUGGAAUUAAUAGAAUGAUCAUCCCAUUUUAUUCAAGUUAAAUAAUCACCCUUUACUUUUAACAUUUUUUCGUUAUUUUAUUUUGAAAAGAACAAAUGAUUAUUCAAAAUUAAAAACAUAACAUGCUCAUAGUGGCAUUGCGUGGUAAUACAUUUGAAAAUACGGGGGCAAAAACGUCUAACACUCGCUUUUUUUUUUUAAUUCCGCAUGAUGUGCUCGUGUGUUAUAUAUCUUUCAUUCCACCUCCUCUGCACAAUCUUCUUCUUCUUCUCAUUCUCUUCAGCUCCUUGUUUCUUCCUCAGAUUCAAUCAUAGAGAUUCAAGAUAGAUUUUCGUUCACCUCUUCUCCAGAUCUAGCUCCCUCCCCCCUUAUCACGGAACAAUCCAGGUUCGUUCAUCGGAAUCAUCAUUCGUUAGAUCCAAAUCGAUGUAACCCAAUCCGUUUCUUGUGGAUCGAGACGAAUGCAUAGAGCUUCGUGAAUUCAAUUGUGAUUUUUUUGCAUAACCGAUCUGAGAGAUGAAUUUCGUGUUAAUUGAUUGAUUCGAGCCAAUGCAGGAUCUUAGCCAAGAUGGCAAGUGAGGAGCAGUGGUUUAAAGGGAGAGUGAAGGCUGUUACCUCCGGAGACUGCUUGGUCAUCACGGCUUUGGCCCAAAGCAGGCCCGGCCCACCUCCUGAAAAGACCAUCACUUUGUCUUCUCUCAUGGCUCCUAAACUGGUGAGUCACUCUAUUAAUCUUUUUUCUCUUAUAGGCGUUUCUUUUUCCUUUUUUUUUUUUUUUAAGUUAAAAGUUAAAUGACUGUUUCUUAUAUUUCGCUCAGAACUUCACUAUAAGAAUCCCAUUAAUCAUGUUUUAAGUGGAUGAAAUGAAUACUUCACCAACAGAAAGUUUCAAAAACUUUUUUUUUUUUAACAACAAAAGUUUCAAAAGCUAUAUAAGUGCUGUUCGUUUAGUUGAAGCAGCUACCUGCAGCUGCGUCGUCAAUUUUUUUAAUAAAUUCUUGUUCGUUUCAUUAACGCUGGUACUGCGUCUAAACGAUGCGUCCUCGCGUCAGAUUGUCGAAAAAAUCUGCGUCUGUGACGACGUCUACGAAACGAACAACAAUUAUUUUCAUUGACGCUGACGCCGAAAACUGCGGCAACCAAACGAACAUGACUUAUAAUAACUUUUCAUAUGUACGGAAAUUGGAAAAAGUAAAUCACUUUCUUACACAGCAUUGGAAUAAAUCAUAUGUGUAGAACGUUAGCUUACAUGAUUUUUGUUAGAGUCUAGGCUUUUUCUCUCAUUGUUUGGUUUGUUCCUUGGUUUCAGGCUCGUAGGGGAGGUAUAGACGAGCCUUUUGCGUGGGAGAGCAGGGAGUUUCUGAGGAAGCUUUGCAUUGGGAAGGUGCUAUGUCCAAACACUUAAUCAUUUAUGCUAGUAAUUGACAAUAUUCUUUAUAUUGAUAGCUUUUUUCUUGUUGCGCAGGAGAUCACUUUCAAAGUGGACUACAAAGUGGAAGCUAUUGGCAGAGAAUUUGGCUCUGUUUACCUUGGCAGUGAAAAUCUUGCUAAGCUUGUUGUUCAAAAUGGCUGGGCUAAGGUGAUCAACCGUUUUAAAAAACUUCACUAGAUAGGGGCUUGUUUAUGGUGUAUGAUGCUUGUGUCAGCUUUCUGAUAUGGUUGAGAAAUGCCUUUACUGUGGAUAGGUCAGAGAGCCAGGUCAGCAGAAUCAGGAUAAAGUUAGUCCUUACGUUGCGGAGCUGUUACAGCUUGAAGAGAUGGCUAAGCAGGAAGGGCUUGGCCGUUGGAGCAAGGUUGGUGCUCUCUUUUACUGUUUCUCUGGUUUUGACUUAUGAAAGUUAGUCUCAUGUACUCUUUCUUGGUUUGUUGAUGGAAUUUUACUUGAUCCAGGUUCCUGGUGCUGCCGAGGCAUCUGUCAGGAACCUUCCUCCUUCUGCCGUUGGGGACUCUGGGAAUUUUGACGCCAUGGGUCUUUUAGCCGCAAGUAAAGGCAAGCCCAUGGAAGCUAUUGUUGAGCAAGUCCGCGAUGGCAGUACCAUCCGUGUCUAUCUUCUUCCUGAAUUUCAGUUUGUGCAAGUGUUUGUUGCUGGACUCCAGGUGUGUAAUCUUGUUUCUUCUUCUUUUUUUGAUGUGUGAGGAGUUUACAUUAAUUUCAUGAUAUAUCCUAUGUAGGCUCCAUCAAUGGGAAGGAGAUCCACACAAGAAACUGUUGUUGAGCCAGAUGUUACAUCAGCUCCAAAUGAAGAUGCUUCUGCUGAGCCCCGUGGUCCUCUAACAUCCGCCCAGAGACUCGCUGCUUCAGCAGUAUCGUCCGUUGAGGUUUCCUCUGAUCCGUUUGCAUUGGAAGCCAAGUAUUUUACUGAGCUUCGUGUUCUUAAUAGAGAUGUAAGGACUAAUUGCAACAAAUUAAUUCGCAUGUAUCUGUAUCUAAAAUUUGAAUGAUCUAAGUCUGAGCUGGAUUUUUCAGGUUCGCAUUGUUCUUGAAGGUGUUGACAAAUUCAACAAUCUGAUUGGGUCAGUUUACUACUCUGUUGGGGAAACAGUUAAAGACUUGGGUCUGGAGCUGGUUGAAAAUGUAUGUGGUCUAACUUAAACAGUUAUUUUCUUUUCAACAUGAUUACAUAAUGAACUAAUUGGCCAAAAAAUUUUUCACUUUGCCACAACAAUGUACUUACUUAAGAAGUCACUGGCAAUAUAAUAUAUUGAUGGUGCUGAAUAAAAGUUAUGACGUUUGUUGCUAUUCUUUUUGCUCAGGGUCUUGCUAAGUAUGUUGAGUGGAGUGCCAACAUGAUGGAGGAAGAAGCCAAAAAGAAGCUGAAAGCUGCAGAGCUUCAAUGCAAGAAGAACCGGGUGAAAAUGUGGUCAAACUAUGUCCCUCCAGCUAGCAACUCUAAGGCAAUUCAUGACCAGAACUUUACUGGGAAGGUAAUUGCUUGCUUGCUUGCACACGUUGCACACUAUGUCCCCAUUUCACUAGUCCUUAGUUCUUAAUAGUUUUUACUCUCUUCAGGUAGUGGAAGUUGUGAGUGGGGACUGCUUAGUAGUAGCUGAUGACUCUGUACCAUUCGGGAGUCCCAUGGCAGAGCGACGAGUCUGUCUUUCCAGCAUUAGGUCUCCUAAAAUCGGUAACCCACGCAGAGAGGAGAAACCUGCCCCUUAUGCUCGGGAAGCCAAGGAGUUUCUGAGACAGAAGCUUAUUGGAAAACAGGUAUUAGUUGCUUCGUGCCUCCUUAUUGGAAAAGAAACCUGACUUCUUCUUUUUCCGGUGAAGGUUAAUGUGCAAAUGGAAUACCAAAGGAAGAUCAGCCCAGCAGAUGGUGCUACUACUUCUGGAGCUGGCGAUUCCAGGGUUAUGGAUUUUGGUUCAGUGUUCCUACCAUCUGCUACCAAGGGUGAUGCAGCUGCAGAAACUCCCGGAGUCAAUAUAGCUGAACUCAUAAUCGCCCGUGGCUUAGGGACUGUGGUUAGACAUCGCGACUUUGAAGAGAGGUCAAACCAUUACGAAGCUCUACUGGCUGCUGAAGCUCGUGCUAUUGCCGGGAAGAAAGGAAUCCAAUCGACAAAGGACUCUCCAGCAAUGCACGUCACAGACCUGACUGUGGCCUCGGCCAAGAAGGCUAAAGAUUUCCUUCCAUCCCUGCACAGAAGUAGGAGAAUAUCUGCUGUUGUGGAAUAUGUACUGAGCGGACAUCGGUUCAAGCUUUACAUUCCAAAAGAAACAUGCAGUAUUGCAUUUGCAUUCUCUGGUGUCAGAUGUCCUGGCCGUGGAGAACCCUAUUCAGAAGAAGCUAUUGCUUUAAUGAGACGCAAGAUCAUGCAGAGAGAUGUCGAGGUAAUACGAGAUCUCAUUUGUUUUUAUUCCCUUUGUUCUAUAUAUGAGUCUUAUACUGUCUUUUUAUAAUCAACAGAUCGAAAUUGAAACUGUGGAUAGAACCGGCACUUUCUUGGGAUCAAUGUGGGAGGGGAAGACCAACGCAGCAACGUUUCUUCUUGAAGCUGGGGUGGCAAAAAUGCAGACUGGCUUUGGUGCAGACAGGAUUCCAGAAGCUCAUCUUCUUGAAUUGGCGGAACGAUCUGCUAAGAAUCAGAAAGUGAAGGUAACUACCAAUAGAUAUUAAUAUAUCUCUUUUUUUUUUUCCAAAAGAAAAGCAUUGCUGAACUGUUUUAUUCCACAGAUCUGGGAAAACUAUGUUGAAGGAGAGGAGGUUGUGAAUGGUGGUGGUUCUAAAGUAGAAACAAGACAGAAGGAAACACUAAAGGUGAAUUUUAACCAACGAGUCAAGAGUUUUAAUACUAAAAGCAAAACAUUAACUCACUCUUAAUUUCCCUUUGGCUACAGGUUGUUGUUACGGAAGUGCUUGGAGGCGGUAAGUUUUAUGUGCAAACGGUUGGAGAUCAGAAAGUAGCUUCUAUUCAAAACCAGCUUGCAUCUCUGAGUCUUAAAGACGCUCCAAUUGUUGGAUCGUUUAACCCUAAGAAGGGUGACAUCGUCCUUGCACAGUUCAGCCUCGAUAACUCCUGGAACCGUGCAAUGGUAACUCAUCAAACCUCUAAUAUCCCAUCCUUUAGUUCUUCUUAUUGUAUGUUUACUUUGAAUUCAGAUUGUUAAUGCACCACGAGGAGCAGUUCAAUCUCCAGAGGACAAACUCGAAGUGUUCUACAUCGAUUAUGGGAACCAAGAAACAGUUCCGUACAGCGCAAUUCGCCCUGUAGAGGCUUCAGUGUCCUCAGCACCAGGACUCGCGCAGCUCUGCAGACUUGCCUAUUUAAAAGUUCCAAGCCUGGAAGAGGACUUUGGUCCUGAAGCGGGAGAGUAUCUACAUUCGGUGACGCUGGGGAGUGGUAAAGAGUUCAAGGCAGUGGUGGAGGAAAGAGAUACAUCAGGAGGCAAAGUGAAAGGCCAAGGAACUGGAACAGAGCUCGCUGUUACUCUCAUCGCUGUCGAUGAUGAGAUCUCUGUCAAUGCAGCAAUGCUCCAGGUCAGUGCCUCGCCUCCUCUUUCUCAUUAUUAUAAACCUGAGAGUGUAAUGUGUGUUGUGGUAUGAGAACAGGAAGGAAUAGCGAGGAUGGAGAAACGGAAGAGGUGGGAGCAUAAAGACAAGAAAGCAGGUCUUGAUGCUCUUGAGAAGUACCAAGAAGAAGCUCGCAAAUCUAGGACAGGAAUAUGGCAGUAUGGAGACAUUCAAUCUGAUGAUGAGGACAGUGUUCCGGUCAGGAAACCUGGUCGCGGGUGAGUGUGUUUUUCCAACUUUUAUGAUCAAUGGUUGGUUCCAAAGAGGGGAUCAACCUUGUUCAAGAUUGUUGCUUACAAAGCAUCAAACUUUUUGUAACGUUUAGAAAUUCUCUUUUUUUUUCAUAUACUUUUUUUUGGGUUUAUAGAUCAUAAAGUGACGAUGUUCUUGUUAUUUAUUUUUGUUUGACAAAAGAAUCUCAUAAUAAGGUAAGGUGAUGUAUUAACUUAAGGGGACUUUCAUUUGCUUCGCUAAUGUUUUAAUUAAACUUUGAGCUUCAUCCUCUUUUGUAUUUUCCUCCAAAGUUCAUCUUCUUCAGAUAGUUAAAUUUAAUAAGCGUUAUUAUAAACUGAGCUUAUUAAUGUCGUUGGAUUCUUAUAAUCGUUAUUAUAAUUCGAGUUGCAUCAAUGUUGCUCAGCAAGGCCCAAGUCAUGGCCCCAAGUAGUAAUAUGAUUUUGUGUCAUUGCCAAGGCUAUGACAUGAGAUUAUGUUUAAUGAAGACGUCCAACGACAAUAGUUACAAGAACUGCAACUAAGCAACAUAAGAACAAUUGAGAUCAGUGAAUAGCCGACUCUCAACUCGAAUAAAGACACUAGAAUCUUUUUGGACUUUGGAGUAACCAGUUUUGCUUUUAUGAGAGUAAAAAAACAAAGUAACAGAAACUACAAUUUAGCUCUAAUCCCAACUUGGUUUUACACCUCAAAAAAGGCUCUACAGCAGAAAAGACAAAUUCGACACAAGUAAAAAUCAAAAAUAAUAAUUUCAACAUCUCGAAAACAUUCCCUUUUCUUCUGUCAUUCUAAAACACCACUUUUCUAAUUGUCACGCCUCGGUUGCCUUUUGCGAGGAGCAGCAGCGGUUUCUUCCUUCUUCUCUGUCUCAUCUUCACUCUUUGAGCUCUCUCCUACUUCUGGUUUCUUCUUCUUCUCCACGGUUGCUGCCGGCGCCGCCUGUAAACAAACCAUUUUAAUUUCUUUAUCUUUUUUUCACUUACUUCCAUAUUAAAAUGACAGAGGGAAUAUUACCUUUUUGCCACCGAAGAUAAGCUUGAUGAAGAGCGAGAAGAAUACUACGACAAUGGAGACUAGGACACCAAUGGUUAAGUUUGGUUGUUCCUCAGCUUUCUCAAUCAGUUCCUACAAAAACAACACCAUAUUCAAAAUUCACUUUAGGUCGAUUCAUCAUCAUCAUAACAUGAAACAAAUUUUAAACGAGGGAGGAGAAACUUACUGUGAUCUUAGACUUGUAGGCACUUAGGAAAGAAAUGUCUGCAACCUUGUUCAAGAGGUCGAACACAACCUUCUGCAAACAUCAUGCACAGAUAUAACUGUAAGAAUCAUAACGAGAAGCUAUAUGUUAUAAAAAAAGGUUUAGUUUCUUUACCUGGUAGCUCUUGAGACCAUCAGCAGAGCUAGCAGCCUCCUCUUCCGCCUUUUGUUUCUCUUUCUCAACAUCGAACUUCGGCUUCCAUGUCGUCUGUCUGUAACUCUCAGCGACCUUCUCGUCUUUCGCUAUCAACAUGUUAUCAAACAAGAUACCGUCUUGCAUCGUCCAGAUCUCAAUACCGAUUGCCGCAAUGGGUUCGAAGUCAGGUCUGUCCAGCUCAAAGUAGUCAGGGUUAGGGAUGUCUCUGGGCUUCCAGAUUCCCUUGUAAGCAGGGUUGUCUAUCAUAGGCGCACUCCAUUUGCCCUUGUAAGCAGGAUUCUUCUUCAUGGGUCUCUUCCAUUCACCACAGCCUGGUGCUGCUUCACACUUGGGGUUGUCAAUCUUUGGAGCCUCCCACAUACCAUCUUCCUCAUCAUCCCAGUCUUCAGGCUUGGUCGCCUCUGGGUCGUCCACCUCCUCAGGCUCGUCAUCUAACCAUCCUUCGGGUUUCUCAGCUUCCUCGUCUUCGAUCUCCAUGGGCGCCUCCUCGUCCCAGUCUUCAGGCUUCACGGCGUUAGGAUCAGGGAUCUUGGCUCUCUCAUCCCAGUCUUCUGGUUUCUUGUCUUCAGGGUCAGGGAUGGUCUUGGCAGGGAUCAACGCAGGCUCAAAGUCCUCCCCAGAAAGUAAAUUAGCCUUCUUCUUCUCCUCUCCAUCAACCAGAAUCCUAACCUCGUUGUCUGGCUUCAAGAUAGCGGUGUAGACAUGGGAAAGCUUGUCGUAAGGAACAGAGGGAGGGAACUUGAGAUGGUGCUCAACGUACUCGCCGCUCUUUGGGUUCUUGUGUUUCAAGAUGAAAUGAACUUUGUUUGUGGCUCCACACUUGUCAGGCCCAAACAUGAUAGAGUAAGGAGAUUCGCUAUCGAACCCUUCAGGUGUCCAUCCAGCUUCCUGAGGACGGAGGUACUUCAAGUAAGCACCACCACACUCAAGCCCUUCCUGGAAACGAACCUCGUACUGAAGAACAAUGGUUCCUUCCUUGAGGUUUAGAGGCUCGUCAAGCUCCUUCACUAUACCGUACUUACGAGCCUUCUCGCUUACGAGAAGUCCGUAAUCAUCAUGUCCCUCACUCUUCGCAUGCUUCCACACACCUGAAACAGAUAAAGCGGUCUUAACAAAGAAGCUUCUACCACAUCAUAAAACCAACAACUCAUCUAUACUACCACAACAUUUUCAAUUUGAUUCUAUUAGCAUGUGGACAAUCAUAUACUCGCAUAUAAUGGUCAAGACUCUGGAAUGUCCGGUUUAUUAUCUUAAUUAGUAUAUAAACCAUCUGGAUCUAUACUACUACUAUUCAUAUACGUGCAUAUAAAGCCAACCAUUCAACAACAUCGUGACGUGAAGGUGACGAAGUCUUAUAAUCUUAUUUGAUUCAAACAUCCAUCAACACUCUUGAUUUGAUUCUAUUAGCACAUAAUAGUUUCUUAAUUGACUCAGGAAUGCCUGGUUUAUUAAUUAUAUUAUAAUAAUGAUGUAAACCAUUUGGUUAUUUCUGGUUUAGGUUCCAAAUAGUAACUGCAGUUUGAGCGGUGCGGGACAAACGGUUUAACUGCGGUGCGGUUUUAACAGUUAUAAAAGCGUAUAGAUAUAUGGUAUAUGUAGAGAUUUUUAUUACAGUUAACUGCGGUGCGGGGCAGGGCGGUUCGUAACACUAUUAUAAGCUUUAGUUUGUUAACACUAUUAUACAAGAUUUGUAACAAACUUUAAGAUCAUUAAUGAAUAAAUCAACAUUCUUCUUUGAAUCAAGAACACUUCAAUAACUCCACUCUAAAUCAUUAUAAUCCAAUCAGAUCAGAACCAUAUACUAACCACAAACGCGUUUCAGAGAGUUUAGCGAUAUACAAUACCUUCGUAAUCACCAUUCUUCGAAACGAUCCAGCGACCAUCAAACGCCUCAUCGAACGAUUCAUACAACACCUGAACACAAAUCCAACGAGCUCAGAUCUAAAAAAUCUUCAGAUCUACGAUAACAUUCGGAAACAUUUUCCCGAGAAAAAUCGAAAUCUACCGUAUUAUCGUCGCAGUGGCAAAGGUUCUGGAGCGAGAGGAGAGCUAGGAUAAGCAUAAGGCCGGAGAAUAGCUGCCGGUCUCUCAUCAUCGGAACGGUUCGAGUAGAUCGGAGGGAGAAGAGAGAGAGAGAGAGAGAGAGUGGAAUCUAUUUUUUUUUUUUCCUGAAGAUUUUAGUUUCUCUGAGUGAUUUAUAUAUUUAAAUCCCGUAGACUCGGUCGAGUGUGUCGAUUUUUGUUGUUUCCACCAAUGAGAUCGCUCGCCACGUGGUGAGAGCCAAUAGAUGGACGCCACGUCAUGCGAAAGAGAGGUAUCCUACGUGCGCAAUUUGUAUUGCUACGUAAUGUGCAUGUUUAUUAUACAGAUAGUCUAACGUCAGUAUUGGGCUGGGCCUGUAAUCAAUUUAAAAGUCUCUGGUAGAGUAAGAGUCUUCUAGAAGCAAAAGUAACACAUUUAUCAGGAACAAAGAACCAAAUCAAACUAAACUAAAAAAAAUGAGGUUUGGUUCGGAUUUAGAUCAUAUAAUACACGAAUGAACGGAUCCUAUAACUUUUGAACUGAAAAACCAAAACCAAACUGGAGCAAACAAAGACCCGAAUGGAUACCCGAAUUUUUAUAAUAUAAUAUAUACACUUAUAAAUAUUAACUACAUUUAGUUUCAAAAUGAUAAAAUAAUUUGAAAUACUAUUUCUAAAAACUAAAUCUCCAAAUACAUUUUAUCCGAAAUAUUUUAAAUUAUUUGAACUAUCCAAAUUUUACCUAAAUUAUUGGAUAAAAAUCUAACAUUUAGUAAAAAAAAGACUGAAUUUACUUACUUUUUUUUGAAACACAUCUGAAUUUUCUUACUUUUAACAAAACUUAACAAAAAAACUAAAAUCGAACGGCUAACGAAUAUGAUCCAAAAAUGACCUCGGAUAUUAUUCGGUUUUUAAUUUUGUUAUCUAAACUAAACUGAAAAAUGAAAUAACCGAAUCAGAACCAAAGUGAAUCCUAAACAUCUAAAACUGAAAAGCAGAAAAAAUCGAAAGAACCGAACCGGAACCGAAUCCAAAAUUCUUUAGCGGAGCAAGAGUCUCUAUUGGGCUGGGCCUACUAAUCAAUUUGAAAGUCUCUAGCUGAGCAAGAGUCUUCCACAUACCAUUGACAAAAGCAAACUUUUUACACACGUAAGUCGUAAUAACCAUUACAGAAAUGUCACACACUAGUGGAAGAGUACAAGAUACUUUGUUAUUUUAAUAUUUGGUAUUAGAAAAAGUGGAAAACUAUAAAAUGUUGAAGAUGAAUAUCUAUAGUUUUACUGUUUAGGUACUAAGUGAUUGGUAACCAUCUUCCCGGUUCUUUCUCCGGUAUACCACGGCGACUAUUAGAACCACAACCGCCACCGUCACUGCAAGAAAGGCUAAAAAGCUCAUACUGCUCGAAUGUGCCUGCAAAGAAAUAAUGAAUACUGACGUUAAGUAAAGUAACACACAUGGUAAUAACCGGUUUGACCUAAACCGAGAUCUGUUACCGGCAGUUUCGGUCCAGGCAGCUGCUGAGAAACGAGGAUGUAAAAGAGUCCCAUGACUCCUGUAUGACCAAUGACAUUACUGUAAUUGAACUCCAAAGACAGUGUCUCUCCAUUAGUCACUUUCACCGGUUCAGGAUAACAAGACGACAUUCCAACGAUGUAACCAGCUUCGCUUCCAGGCUCAUCUCCAUUGCCAUACUUCGGCAUCGAGGAGCAUAUUACCUCACCGUCCUGAUCAAAAUCCAUAACACAAGAGUCUCAGUUUUUGAGUAAAAAGUUUUUGCCUUAGCUUAAAACCUUAGGUUGGGUGUUUAUACCCAAACCCGAAAUCCGAACUGAGACCAAACCAAAAUUCUAUCUAAACCAUCAUAAAAAAUAUCCAAAUAGAGUCUAAGAAUACUUUCGGACUCGGGUACAAUCCAAACCAAACUAAAAUCCGUACUAGAAUCCAAAAAAUCCACAUUAGUUAAUCUGUUAAUGUUUUUUUCUACAUAUGUUACGUUAAGAUAGUUUAGAAAUUUUUAAAAAAAUUAGAAUUUUUUGUAGUUUUUAUAGGAAUUGCGAAUCGUUAUUUUGGAAUACUUUUAAUUAGUUUAGGUAGCUUGACAAGUUUUUAAUCAGAUUUUUGAUUUUUUUAUAUAUUUUAAAUAUGUUUUUGUCAAUUUCAUUAAUUUUAUUUCCAGAUUUAAGUACGAUUUUUAGACAAUGGUUAUAAUUUGAUUUGAACCAAACUCAUACCAAAUCGAAUCAAACCCGAUCCAAAAACUAGUAAAAUAUGAAUAAGACCAUUGUGCAUGAUACCGAAAAUCCAAAACAAACCCCGAACAAGACACCAAACGUCCGGGCCUGUUAAAAACUAACCUCUCGGUACAGAGCUGCACCGAUACCACCUGCGUGCUGGUGAGCUACUCCAUAGACAAUAUACCCGUUAAACGGCAUCAAUGGUUAUAAUUUGAUUUGAAUCAAACACAUACGAAAUCGAAUCAAACCCGAUCCAAAAACUAGUAAAAUAUGAAUAAGACCAUUGUGCAUGAUACCGAAAAUCCAAAACAAACCCCUAACAAGACACCAAACGUCCGGGCCUGUUAAAAACUAACCUCUCGGUACAGAGCUGCACCGAUACCACCUGCGUGCUGGUGAGCUACUCCAUAGACAAUAUACCCGUUAAACGGCAUCAUUAAGCUCUUUUUCUUAACAUCGACACACCCAUCACCCUUAGUUUUGCACGGUUUCACGUCAUAUUCCACCUGAAAAGAAAACAAUUAAUACACCUUAGCUAACGUUAAAAGCAUUAAUAAGCAGAGAUGUGAAAAGUCUUUACUGACAUGACAAAAAUGUUCUUGGUUAUCUCCUGUUGAUCCUUCUGACCGUUCCCAAGAAUCCGUUACAUCGAGAAUAUAAACCUUAGCCGGCAACAAAACCGAGCUGUCCCAAUCAACCCAUCUCACAGUAUACUUAAGAUACACAGUUCUUGUUUUGUUUCCACUUUCGAAUCCGUUUCUUAACCGACAUUGAGUCUUAUCGUAGCAGCAGUCUUGACCUCCUUUGUAUCCAGGUUCUAAAGCUCGACCGUACUCAUCAACCGUUACAUUAUAAAGACCACACCGACACUCGGUGCAUCCUUGUUUAUCCACAACCCCUCUAGUGUCAAUAGCGUGAAUAUUUAGAAGCCAUUUGAACUCAUACCCAUCAGGUACUUUCUCCGGGUUACCGAUCUCGAUCGCGUAAGGAUCAGGAACAUACGUCGAAGUCUUGCGUGUUUCUGAUCCUAACCCAAAGUAUUGUCUAACUCUGUUCCUACACAACCCUCCGUUACUAACGAGAAUAUAAUCAGGGCUCGAACCAAGGUUCCUAGGCGUGUCUAGGUGCGAAAGGUUGAGACCUUUACGCACGUAGUAAGGGUGCACAACCCAGUGGUGGAGAUAUGUCUCGUGUAACGGGACGGGGUUACCGUCUUGGUCGACUACUUCGGCGUCGAAACCUUUGAGGCCGAUGUGGCCUCUAGGGAAAUCGAUGUCGAACAGGUAAGGGUCUGCGACUGAUCCUGGAGUCAUGACUUGUUUUGGUGAUAGGAAACUUGCGGACUUGAUGUUAAUGCUGUGGCUAGGCGAUAUGCUUAACGCGACCAGAAGAAGAAGUAAGGACGAGAUGAUCAGGUAACAACGAGCCAUUUUGUCCUGUUUCGAUAUCGUUAUAGAGAGGUAAUAAAUGAAGUAAAACUGAUAAAAUACGUAAUCAUGAACCGGUUUGACCUAAACCGAGAUCUGUUACCGGCAGUUUACCUGCAAGAAGCUCUCCGGUCCAGGCAGCUGCUGAGAAACGAGGAUGUAAAAGAGUCCCAUGACUCCUGUAUGACCAAUGACAUUACUGUAAUUGAACUCCAAAGACAGUGUCUCUCCAUUAGUCACUUUCACCGGUUCAGGAUAACAAGACGACAUUCCAACGAUGUAACCAGCUUCGCUUCCAGGCUCAUCUCCAUUGCCAUACUUCGGCAUCGAGGAGCAUAUUACCUCACCGUCCUGAUCAAAAUCCAUAACACAAGAGUCUCAGUUUUUGAGUAAAAAGUUUUUGCCUUAGCUUAAAACCUUAGGUUGGGUGUUUAUACCCAAACCCGAAAUCCGAACUGAGACCAAACCAAAAUUCUAUCUAAACCAUCAUAAAAAAUAUCCAAAUAGAGUCUAAGAAUACUUUCGGACUCGGGUACAAUCCAAACCAAACUAAAAUCCGUACUAGAAUCCAAAAAAUCCACAUUAGUUAAUCUGUUAAUGUUUUUUUCUACAUAUGUUACGUUAAGAUAGUUUAGAAAUUUUUAAAAAAAUUAGAAUUUUUUGUAGUUUUUAUAGGAAUUGCGAAUCGUUAUUUUGGAAUACUUUUAAUUAGUUUAGGUAGCUUGACAAGUUUUUAAUCAGAUUUUUGAUUUUUUUGUAUAUUUUAAAUAUGUUUUUGUCAAUUUCAUUAAUUUUAUUUCCAGAUUUAAGUACGAUUUUUAGACAAUGGUUAUAAUUUGAUUUGAAUCAAACACAUACGAAAUCGAAUCAAACCCGAUCCAAAAACUAGUAAAAUAUGAAUAAGACCAUUGUGCAUGAUACCGAAAAUCCAAAACAAACCCCUAACAAGACACCAAACGUCCGGGCCUGUUAAAAACUAACCUCUCGGUACAGAGCUGCACCGAUACCACCUGCGUGCUGGUGAGCUACUCCAUAGACAAUAUACCCGUUAAACGGCAUCAUUAAGCUCUUUUUCUUAACAUCAACACACCCAUCACCCUUAGUUUUGCACGGUUUCACGUCAUAUUCCACCUGAAAAGAAAGCAAUUAAUACACCUUAGCUAACGUUUUUAAGUAAUAAAAGCAUUAAUAAGCAGAGAUGUGAAAAGUCUUUACUGACAUGACAAAAAUGUUCUUGGUUAUCUCCUGUUGAUCCUUCUGACCGUUCCCAAGAAUCCGUUACAUCGAGAAUAUAAACCUUAGCCGGCAACAAAACCGAGCUGUCCCAAUCAACCCAUCUCACAGUAUACUUAAGAUACACAGUUCUUGUUUUGUUUCCACUUUCGAAUCCGUUUCUUAACCGACAUUGAGUACUAUUAUAAGCUUUAGUUUGUUAACACUAUUAUACAAGAUUUGUAACAAACUUUAAGAUCAUUAAUGAAUAAAUCAACAUUCUUCUUUGAAUCAAGAACACUUCAAUAACUCCACUCUAAAUCAUCAUAAUCCAAUCAGAUCAGAACCAUAUACUAACCACAAACGCGUUUCAGAGAGUUUAGCGAUAUACAAUACCUUCGUAAUCACCAUUCUUCGAAACGAUCCAGCGACCAUCAAACGCCUCAUCGAACGAUUCAUACAACACCUGAACACAAAUCCAACGAGCUCAGAUCUAAAAAAUCUUCAGAUCUACGAUAACAUUCGGAAACAUUUUCCCGAGAAAAAUCGAAAUCUACCGUAUUAUCGUCGCAGUGGCAAAGGUUCUGGAGCGAGAGGAGAGCUAGGAUAAGCAUAAGGCCGGAGAAUAGCUGCCGGUCUCUCAUCAUCGGAACGGUUCGAGUAGAUCGGAGGGAGAAGAGAGAGAGAGAGAGAGAGAGUGGAAUCUAUUUUUUUUUUUUCCUGAAGAUUUUAGUUUCUCUGAGUGAUUUAUAUAUUUAAAUCCCGUAGACUCGGUCGAGUGUGUCGAUUUUUGUUGUUUCCACCAAUGAGAUCGCUCGCCACGUGGUGAGAGCCAAUAGAUGGACGCCACGUCAUGCGAAAGAGAGGUAUCCUACGUGCGCAAUUUGUAUUGCUACGUAAUGUGCAUGUUUAUUAUACAGAUAGUCUAACGUCAGUAUUGGGCUGGGCCUGUAAUCAAUUUAAAAGUCUCUGGUAGAGUAAGAGUCUUCUAGAAGCAAAAGUAACACAUUUAUCAGGAACAAAGAACCAAAUCAAACUAAACUAAAAAAAAUGAGGUUUGGUUCGGAUUUAGAUCAUAUAAUACACGAAUGAACGGAUCCUAUAACUUUUGAACUGAAAAACCAAAACCAAACUGGAGCAAACAAAGACCCGAAUGGAUACCCGAAUUUUUAUAAUAUAAUAUAUACACUUAUAAAUAUUAACUACAUUUAGUUUCAAAAUGAUAAAAUAAUUUGAAAUACUAUUUCUAAAAACUAAAUCUCCAAAUACAUUUUAUCCGAAAUAUUUUAAAUUAUUUGAACUAUCCAAAUUUUACCUAAAUUAUUGGAUAAAAAUCUAACAUUUAGUAAAAAAAAGACUGAAUUUACUUACUUUUUUUUGAAACACAUCUGAAUUUUCUUACUUUUAACAAAACUUAACAAAAAAACUAAAAUCGAACGGCUAACGAAUAUGAUCCAAAAAUGACCUCGGAUAUUAUUCGGUUUUUAAUUUUGUUAUCUAAACUAAACUGAAAAAUGAAAUAACCGAAUCAGAACCAAAGUGAAUCCUAAACAUCUAAAACUGAAAAGCAGAAAAAAUCGAAAGAACCGAACCGGAACCGAAUCCAAAAUUCUUUAGCGGAGCAAGAGUCUCUAUUGGGCUGGGCCUACUAAUCAAUUUGAAAGUCUCUAGCUGAGCAAGAGUCUUCCACAUACCAUUGACAAAAGCAAACUUUUUACACACGUAAGUCGUAAUAACCAUUACAGAAAUGUCACACACUAGUGGAAGAGUACAAGAUACUUUGUUAUUUUAAUAUUUGGUAUUAGAAAAAGUGGAAAACUAUAAAAUGUUGAAGAUGAAUAUCUAUAGUUUUACUGUUUAGGUACUAAGUGAUUGGUAACCAUCUUCCCGGUUCUUUCUCCGGUAUACCACGGCGACUAUUAGAACCACAACCGCCACCGUCACUGCAAGAAAGGCUAAAAAGCUCAUACUGCUCGAAUGUGCCUGCAAAGAAAUAAUGAAUACUGACGUUAAGUAAAGUAACACACAUGGUAAUAACCGGUUUGACCUAAACCGAGAUCUGUUACCGGCAGUUUACCUGCAAGAAGCUCUCCGGUCCAGGCAGCUGCUGAGAAACGAGGAUGUAAAAGAGUCCCAUGACUCCUGUAUGACCAAUGACAUUACUGUAAUUGAACUCCAAAGACAGUGUCUCUCCAUUAGUCACUUUCACCGGUUCAGGAUAACAAGACGACAUUCCAACGAUGUAACCAGCUUCGCUUCCAGGCUCAUCUCCAUUGCCAUACUUCGGCAUCGAGGAGCAUAUUACCUCACCGUCCUGAUCAAAAUCCAUAACACAAGAGUCUCAGUUUUUGAGUAAAAAGUUUUUGCCUUAGCUUAAAACCUUAGGUUGGGUGUUUAUACCCAAACCCGAAAUCCGAACUGAGACCAAACCAAAAUUCUAUCUAAACCAUCAUAAAAAAUAUCCAAAUAGAGUCUAAGAAUACUUUCGGACUCGGGUACAAUCCAAACCAAACUAAAAUCCGUACUAGAAUCCAAAAAAUCCACAUUAGUUAAUCUGUUAAUGUUUUUUUCUACAUAUGUUACGUUAAGAUAGUUUAGAAAUUUUUAAAAAAAUUAGAAUUUUUUGUAGUUUUUAUAGGAAUUGCGAAUCGUUAUUUUGGAAUACUUUUAAUCAGUUUAGGUAGCUUGACAAGUUUUUAAUCAGAUUUUUGAUUUUUUUUUUUGUAUAUUUUAAAUAUGUUUUUGUCAAUUUCAUUAAUUUUAUUUCCAGAUUUAAGUACGAUUUUUAGACAAUGGUUAUAAUUUGAUUUGAAUCAAACACAUACGAAAUCGAAUCAAACCCGAUCCAAAAACUAGUAAAAUAUGAAUAAGACCAUUGUGCAUGAUACCGAAAAUCCAAAACAAACCCCUAACAAGACACCAAACGUCCGGGCCUGUUAAAAACUAACCUCUCGGUACAGAGCUGCACCGAUACCACCUGCGUGCUGGUGAGCUACUCCAUAGACAAUAUACCCGUUAAACGGCAUCAUUAAGCUCUUUUUCUUAACAUCGACACACCCAUCACCCUUAGUUUUGCACGGUUUCACGUCAUAUUCCACCUGAAAAGAAAACAAUUAAUACACCUUAGCUAACGUUAAAAGCAUUAAUAAGCAGAGAUGUGAAAAGUCUUUACUGACAUGACAAAAAUGUUCUUGGUUAUCUCCUGUUGAUCCUUCUGACCGUUCCCAAGAAUCCGUUACAUCGAGAAUAUAAACCUUAGCCGGCAACAAAACCGAGCUGUCCCAAUCAACCCAUCUCACAGUAUACUUAAGAUACACAGUUCUUGUUUUGUUUCCACUGUCGAAUCCGUUUCUUAACCGACAUUGAGUCUUAUCGUAGCAGCAGUCUUGACCUCCUUUGUAUCCAGGUUCUAAAGCUCGACCGUACUCAUCAACCGUUACAUUAUAAAGACCACACCGACACUCGGUGCAUCCUUGUUUAUCCACAACCCCUCUAGUGUCAAUAGCGUGAAUAUUUAGAAGCCAUUUGAACUCAUACCCAUCAGGUACUUUCUCCGGGUUACCGAUCUCGAUCGCGUAAGGAUCAGGAACAUACGUCGAAGUCUUGCGUGUUUCUGAUCCUAACCCAAAGUAUUGUCUAACUCUGUUCCUACACAACCCUCCGUUACUAACGAGAAUAUAAUCAGGGCUCGAACCAAGGUUCCUAGGCGUGUCUAGGUGCGAAAGGUUGAGACCUUUACGCACGUAGUAAGGGUGCACAACCCAGUGGUGGAGAUAUGUCUCGUGUAACGGGACGGGGUUACCGUCUUGGUCGACUACUUCGGCGUCGAAACCUUUGAGGCCGAUGUGGCCUCUAGGGAAAUCGAUGUCGAACAGGUAAGGGUCUGCGACUGAUCCUGGAGUCAUGACUUGUUUUGGUGAUAGGAAACUUGCGGACUUGAUGUUAAUGCUGUGGCUAGGCGAUAUGCUUAACGCGACCAGAAGAAGAAGUAAGGACGAGAUGAUCAGGUAACAACGAGCCAUUUUGUCCUGUUUCGAUAUCGUUAUAGAGAGGUAAUAAAUGAAGUAAAACUGAUAAAAUACGUAAUCAUGCAUGGAUAAAUUAACAUCUCAAACUCUUAACCUAGUUUUGUUUGAAAUAAAACUGUGGACACAACAAACCCACUUGAAAGUUUGAAACCUGAUUUAACUACAAGAUGUCAAGUUACAAAAACGAAUAAUCUAGCAUAAUCUUAAAUAAGUUUGUUGGGACCAGGGCCCGCACUGAGAUUUUGAGGAGGGAGGAUUAUACAUGGUUUAAGAAUGAUUUCUAUACUUUAGGAACCUAUAAAUUUUUUUUUUAUAAAUUUAGAAGUCUAUUUAUAUAUAUAUUUAAAAAAAAAAUGGAAGUUUGAAACAAAUGUUUCAUCGAGCUUGGUUGAGGACCGGUCUUGAAGCCGGAUCUGAAAUUUCAGGAGAUAUAAAUAUUUUUUCUAAAACUUUAAUUAAAAAUUGCAAUUUAGGAGCUUAUCACUAUAUAAAAACCUGCAUAAAUUUUGGAGGCCAAAACUAAUGUUUUUUUUUUGAAAAAUAGGCCAAAACUAAUGUUUCACACGGUUAUUCUUAAUCUGAACUCUGAAGCUCAUACAUAAAGGGACGCAGAGAUGUUAGAUAAGUUCCUGAUUCGAACCUAUCUACUACGUAACUGUCUUCCCUAUCAACAAAAAAACACGAUUACAAAAGACAGAAAGCUAGGGAGUGAGAGAUUUACGUG